rnacentral:lncRNA from 1 species
GCUCCCAUGCCGCCGUCGCCGGGCCCGCCGGGCCCUCGCCUACCUCGCGCUGGCGGUCACCAUCCUCUUCCAUUGCAUGUACGCCAGCGCCGUCUGGGUCUUCCUCGCCGCCGACCUAGGAUACAUCUUCGGCAGGAUCUACUUCACCACGGGCCUCUGCUUCUUCGUGGUGGGCGACCUCCUCAGCUUCCGGGUCCUCCUGGGUGGUGAGGGGUGGGGCAUGAAGUACGUAGCCUAUUUCUUCUGAUCAUGUUCGUGGAUCAGCUCACUGCGUACUGAUGAGAGCGUGGAGUAUGCAUUAAGUAUGCUGUGACGAUUGAUGGAGUAGUGCCAUAUUUGCGAAUCUAGUAGCUGGUGUAGUGUUAAUUAGUAUCCAGAUCGACUCUAUUAGUAGUUACUCCAUUUGGGCAAUGCUUUGCUGGCUAGUAUAUAAUUAGACUGGAUGGAUUGGUAGAUUGCGGUUAUCUUUGCUGUAUUAUUCAACCCUCUAUGUAUGCAUGUGAUCAUCAGACAUGAGUUAUAUGCUUACAUAGGUCCAGCUUCGCUAUAAUUUGAUGUCUCUGAAAUUGCUGCUGCAGUGUAUAUCUAUGCACACAUGUUGUUUCUGAUGUUAAAUUUUGUUUUUCAUUCAUUCCGGCAACCGCUGGCUUGUCCUCUCGGCUGGGCUGCGUGGGGUGCUCUCAGCUGAGAUUGAGUGACCCCCGUCCCGACCAUGCUUGUGACCAUGCAAUCACAAUUUGAUGUAUGGGACAACAUGAUUUGGAAUGCCCUCCUGCCGAUUGAGGUUCUUUUUUAUGCCUUUUCCUAUAUGGGGAUCCACACGCCGUCACUUGACUUGUGGGAGCGGUUUCACCACAACGCCGUGCAUGUAGCCACAUAUGGCGGAUGUAAUACAAAAAUAAAGAACACAAUGAUCCUCCUUGAACCUUCAAAAAUUAAGUUUCUUCUGAUCGUGGAGUCAAUAUUUAGCUCAUGAGUUAUCAAUCAUCCAAAGAGUUGUGAAAUUGUUCCACAACUUACACAUCCCGGAACGCCUCAAACUAAUGGGGUAUCCGAAAGGCGUAAUUGAACUUUGUUGGACAUGGUCGACUGAGAGAAAUACAUAUUUCAACCUUAUCAACUUCUAGUUUAAUUUACAACCCCAACUCCAAAUAUGAUUAGGACAACGUUCAAUUAACGGCAUAGGACGAUUGGAUGGUGGUUCUGCAUGAUGUAGCAUCUAGGCUAACUAGUCAAGGUUGAUGGCAGCUAGGUCAUAAAAGUAAAAGAUAUUUUGUUUGCCCCACAUAUCAAUACCAUAAUCAUAUAAUCAUAUCGUUCCAUCCUCUAUCCCGCUUCUAUACCCAUAUUUCUCUUCAACUUUAGUGCAAUGUCGUCUCCUUCAUGUUGCCCAUCCCGCUGCAUCGACCUCAUCCGCACAAGUCCUUGGACACGUGUUGCCACGAGUACCUCCCCGCCCCGCCUAUAUGGGGUCCCAUCUCCCCUGCAACGCCACAAACUCCUCCCUGGACCAGAGCUCCUCCACUUGGGAAUGUUGGGGGUUUGCGCGGCUCAGGUGCCGGGCCGGAAGUUGUACGUCGAGAAAUGGCCCGCGGAUAAGUUCAUCCUGUGAUUUGACUACAUCUACGACAUGUUCCACAUGACCAAGCUGGAUUUUUAGUUCAUACACAUGUAUGCGUUGUAUCUCAACUACAUCAUCAGGCGCGAGAACAUGCACUAUAUAUGCGUCGCGGACCCGUACUAUUUGCACGAGAGCUUCUUGGCAGUCUGCAAAGAGCACCAUGACUAUGCGAGCAAGUACAUCGGCGAGUUCAUGAUCGCUAAUAAGGACAAGGAAACGAUUCUCCUGCCUUAUCAUCCCACGUAAGUCAUCCGCGGAUAUCCUUUCGUAAGUUUUAAUCAUUCCUUUGCAAGCAGGGAGGCUANNNNNNNNNNNNNNNNNNNNNNNNNNNNNNNNNNNNNNNNNNNNNNNNNNNNNNNNNNNNNNNNNNNNNNNNNNNNNNNNNNNNNNNNNNNNNNNNNNNNNNNNNNNNNNNNNNNNNNNNNNNNNNNNNNNNNNNNNNNNNNNNNNNNNNNNNNNNNNNNNNNNNNNNNNNNNNNNNNNNNNNNNNNNNNNNNNNNNNNNNNNNNNNNNNNNNNNNNNNNNNNNNNNNNNNNNNNNNNNNNNNNNNNNNNNNNNNNNNNNNNNNNUUUGCACAGCCGGGGGAGGGGGGGGGGGGCAUUCUCAUCUAUCUUUACCCACAAUACUCCCAUGCUCUGUACUUGGACACAUCGAAGAACAUCAAGAAAAAGGAUUACACACACAUAAAGAGUGUUCUCGAUAGUUCCCUGUUAACCUUCAGCCUGUUUGGUGGAUAUAUCAAGGUGAAGAAGUACAGGAAGAACUGGUUUCGGCCAUAAGACCGACUUCUGCUGCAUCCAGCAACAAAACAAUAGUAAGGCUGAUGGAUUCUACCUCAUGCAUCACCUGAUCGAGUACAGAAGGGAUAAUCAACGCCUUCGCAUGUUAGCUACUUCCAACGAUGCCGAGAUUGUCAACUGGGCCACAAGAAUAGGAAGGACACCGGAUCAUCUAAUUUGAGAUGAGUUUUAUCACGUACAGUGUGAACUUGCUCAAGUGAUCAUGACGGAGGUCCUCGAACAAACAUGGAUGUUCUACCAUGGGCCAAUGACGCGGGACGAUGUCCGAGCACUGCUAGUCGCUCAGCGUCUGGACUUGAAGCCUUUCACGAAGCUCAGGUGCUUCCUCCCUGAGUAUGAAGAUUGGUUCGCCGACAUGGAGGAAUGAUUGAUGAUGACACUGUGUCACUACUGUCUUUCUAUGACAAAACUUUGAAUUUAUACACGGCGAAACUCCGUGAUAUAAUUAAACCAUCCUCCUAAACUAGCAUAGAUCGCUCUAGUUAAUUAGUUUGGGUACGAGGAACUUCGUUAUUUAUGUUUACUAUAGGUUUCUUGUAUUUUGCUAAUUAUGCCUCUUUGUGUUUCUCAAGUACAUUAUGUUGCAUAUUACCGUUGAAUUCAUCAACUGACGAUGCAGGUACAUAGAUCAGAGUGAAGGAAAUAUGCCCUAGAUGCAAUAAUAAAGUUGUUAUUUAUAUUUCCUUAUAUCAUGAUAAAUGUUUAUUAUUCAUGCUAGCACGGGAAGCCUCUCGACAGACCCGAGCAGCUCCCGUUCUACCAACCAUGAUGUGAAGAUUACAUGACUAGUACUUGGAAGCCCCAAAGCAAGGGGGCGACUGAUACGUCUCCAACAUAUCUAUAAUUUUUGAUUGUUCCAUGCUAUUAUAUUAUUUGUUUUGGAUGUUUUAUAUGCAUUUAUAUGCUAUUUUAUAUUAUUUGUGGGACUAACCUAUUAACCUAGAGCCCAGUGCCAAUUUAUGUUUUUUUUCUUGUUUUUGAGUUUUCAGAAAAGGAAUAUCAAACGGAGUCCAAACAAUAAAACUUUCAUGGUGAUUUUUCUUGGACCAGAAGACACCCGUAGGACUUGAAGAGGGGGCCAGAAGGUUCGCGAGGCGACCACAAGCCCGCUAGGCGCACCCUAGGGGGGCGCGCCUUGAGGGCUUGUGGGUCCCCCGGAGGUCCUCUAACCCUAACUCCGCCUCUUUAAAUGCCCAAAUAUUCCCAAACCACCAGAAGCGUCCACCAAAAUACUUUUUCAUCUCCGCAAGCCUCUGUUCCCGUGAGAUCCCAUCUUGGGGCCUUUUCCGACGAUCAGGCCGAGGGGGGUUUGAUCACGGAGGGCAUCUACAUCAACCUUGCCGCCCUUCCAAUGAAGCGUCAGUAGUUUACCACAGAUCUACGGGUCCAGAGCUAGUAGCUAGAUGGCUUCUUCUCUCUCUUUGAUCUUCAAUAUAAUGUUCUCCUCGAUGUUCUUGGAGAUCUAUUCAAUGUAAUACUUUUUUGCGGUGCGUUCGUUGAGAUAUGAUGAAGUGUGGAUUUACGAUCAGAUUAUCUAUGAAUAUUAUUUGAGUCUUCUUUGAAAUCUUUUAUGCAUGAUUAAGAUAUCUUUGUAUUUCUAUUCGAACUAUCUAUUUGGUUUGGCCAACUAUAUUGGUGUUUCUUGCAACGAGAGAGGUGCUUAGUUUUGGGUUCAAUCCUGAAGUGUCCUCACCCGGUGACAUAGUAGGGGUAGCGAGGCACGUAUUGUGUUGUUGCCAUCGAGGAUAAAAAGAUGGGGUUUUCAUCAUAUUGCUUGAGUUUAUCCCUCUACAUCAUGUCAUCUUGCUUAAGGCGUUACUCCGUUCUUAUGAAACUAAUACUCUAGAUGCAUGUUGGAUAGUGGUCGAUGUGUGGAGUAAUAGUAGUAGAUGCAGGCAAGAGUCGGUCUACUAUCACAGACGUGAUGCCUAUAUUCAUGAACAUUGCCUUAGAUAUCGCCAUAACUUUGCGCUUUUCUAUCAAUUGUUCAACAAUAAUUUGUUCACCCAUCGUAUGCUGUCUUUAAGAGAGAAGGCUCUAGUGAAACCUAUGGCCCCCGGGUCUAUUUUCCAUCAUAUAUUUUCAGAUGUAUAAACCAAAAACCCAAAAAUACCUUGCUGCAAUUUAUUUAGAUUUACUUUAGUUUGAUCUUUUAUUUAUCUUUUAUACCUAUCUCUAUUAGAUCUCACUCUUGUUCGAGACCGUGAAGGGAUUGACAACCCCUUUUUCGCAUUGAGUGUAAGUGUUUAUUAGUUUGUGCAGGUGAAUAGAUUGGAGACUUGCUUGUGCCUCCUACUAGAUUAAUCCCUUGGUUCUCAACUGAGGUAAAUACUUAUCUCUACUUUGCUGCAUCACCCUUUCCUCUUCAAGGGAAAAAUAACCGCAAGCUCAGGAAGUAGCAGGAAGUAUUUCUGGCGCCGUUGCAGGGGAGGUUCUACAUCAAGCCUACAAAGUACCCAUCAUAAACUCUCAUCUCUUGCACUUACAUUAUUUUUCAUUUGCGUCUCGUUUUCCUCUCCCCCACUUCUAAAACAUUUUCAUAAAAACACAAAAAUAUUUGCCGUUUUAUUUGCCAUCUUUCAGUUUGCCUUUAUGUCUUACUUGGUUUGUUUGCUCGUUCGCUUGGCAUAAUUGUGUGUUUAUUGAAAAUCAGAAACAAAAAGCUUAUGGAUCCUCAUCCACUUGCUAAUAUUUUUAAAAGAUCCAAUUAUUAUGAACCAAUUUCUAGUGAGUUGAGUGCACUAGAUUAUCUUUAUGAAAUUUUGCUUGAGAUUCGUGAAUUUGAAAAUUGUGACGAAGUAUUAAAAGAAGAAAUUUAUAAAGUGAUUCACGAUAGCUGCUUGAAUGAAAAGCAUGAUUGCAAUGAUGUUAUUAUAAAUCCUAUUAAUGUCAAUUGUGUUAAUAUUAAGCAAAACCCUAAUCUUGGGGAUGCUAAUUUUUCUAUGCCCGCUACUUAUUGUACUGAUCAUGAUUGGGGUGAUUCUUCUUAUGAUCUUGAAAAUUUAUUUAAGGCUCAUGACAAAUAUGUUUGCAAUAAUAUUGAAAGUGGGUUUGGAAGAGUGCCAACUCUAGGUAAUGAUGAUCCCACUACUUUGGAGAAUGAUCAAUCUUAUGAAUUUUUUGAUAAAAGUGGGCUUGGAGAGGUCAUGCCUUUAUUUGGUGAUAAUCCCACUAUUUUGGAAGAGUGUCAACUUUCCAUGCAUGCGAUCAUGUAGACAAAUUUUUACGUGAUAGCUAUAUUGUUGAAUUUGAUUAUGAUCCAACAGGUAAUUAUUAUGAGAGAGGAAAAUAUGGUUGUAGAAAUUUUCAUGUCACUAAAUUACCUCUCGUUAUGUUGAGAUUGCUAUUGUUUCCUUCUUCUUCCUUGCAUAUGCUAGUUUUUGCUUGUCUUGAUAAUUUGUUUGCUUAUAAAAUGCCUAUGCAUAGGAAGUAUGUUAGACAUAAACUUGUUUUUCACAUGCUACAUGAUGUUCUCUUUGUGUUUCAAGUGCUAUCUUUCAUGUGAGCAUCAUUAAAAUUAUCAACGCCUAGCUAAGAGGCUUUAAAGAAAAGCGAUUGUUGGGAGAUAACCCAAUAUAUUUAUUUUAUGUUUUUAUGAAAAUACACAUUAUUACCUAUGUAGUAAUUGUGUUUUGGUGUUUUAAUUAGUGUUUGAGCCAAGUAAGACCUUUGGGAUGGUCUACGGUGAUAAUUGAUUUGAUCUUGCUGAAAAACAGAAACUUUUGCGCUCAUUGCCAGAAUUUUAAAAAAUCUCAGAAAAGUUAUUUUGAUAUGAAUUCUUUAAACAAGAUUUAUAUACAAAUUUCCCAGGUUUUCCUAAUUUUUAAGAAGUUGUGGAGUAACAGAAGUAUACGAAAUUUCCAGAUUACUACAGACUGUUCUGUUUUUGAUAAAUUCUGUUUUCUAUGUGUUGUUUGCUUAUUUUGAUGAAUCUAUGGGUAGUAUCGGGGGGUAUAAACCAUGGAGAAGUUGGAAUAAAUUAGAUAUAACACCAAUAUAAAUUAAUAAUGAGUUCAUAACAGUACCUAAGUGGUGAUUUAUUUUAUUAUACUAACGGAUCUGAUGAGUUUUCUGUUGAGUUUUGUGUUGUGAAGUUUUCAAGUUUUGGGUAAAGAUUUGAUGGACAACGGAAUAAGGAGUGGCAAGAGCCUAAGCUUGGGGAUGCACAUGGCACCCUAAGGUAAUAUUCAAGGACAACCAAGCAUCUAAGCUUGGGGAUGCCCCGGAUGGCAUCCCCUCAUUUGUCUUGAAUCCAUCGAUAUGUGUUUUGCUUGGAGCGUCUUGUAUGAUAUGAGUCUUUGCUUUUUAGUUAUCCACAAGCAUCCUUGUUGUACAAACCUUUUGAUAGGGACACACAUUCAUCGUGAAUUUGUUAAAAUACCCUAUGUGCUUCACUUAUAUCUUUUGAGCUAGGCGGUUUGCUCUAGUACUUCACUUAUGUCUUUUUAGAGCACGGCGGUGGCUUUAUUUUAUAGAAAUUGUUGAACUCUCAUGAUUCACUUAUAUUAUGUUGAGAGUCUUAAAUAGCAUAGUAAUUUGCUUAGGCUAUGAAUUUAGUCCUAAUAUGAUGGGCAUCCAAGAGGGAUAUAAUAAAACCUUUCAUGUAAAGAGCAUUGAAUAGAUGAGAAGUUUGAUUCCUUGCAUUUGUUUUGAGAUAUAAAUAUGGUGAUAUUAGAGUCAUGCUAGUGAGUAAUUCUGGAUUGGUAUAAAUACUUGUGUUAAAGUUUGUGAUUCCCGUAGCAUGCACGUAUGAUGAACCGUUAUGUGAUGAAGUCGGAGCAUGAUAUUUUUUUUGAUUGUCUUCCUUAUGAGUGGCGGUCGGGAACGGGCGAUGGUCUUUUCCUACCAAUCUAUCCCCCUAGGAGCAUGAGUGCAGUACUUUGUUCCAAUAGCUAAUAACUUUUUGCAAUAAGUUUGUGAGUUCUUUAUGACUAAUGUUGAGUCCAUGGAUUAUACGCACUCUCACCCUUCCACCAUUGCUAGCCUCUCUAGUACCACGCAACUUUCGCUGGUGCAUUAAACCCACUAUAUACCUUCCUCAAAACAGCCACCAUACCUACCUACUAUGGCAUUUCCAUAGCCAUUCCGAGAUAUAUUUCCAUGCAACUUCCACUGUUCCGUUUUACUAUGACACGCACCAUCAUUGUCAUAUUGCUUUGCAUGAUCAUGUAGUUGGCAUAGUAUUUGUGGCAAGGCCACCGUCCAUAUUUAUUAUACAUGUCACUCUUGAUCAUAGCACAUUCCGGUACACCGUUAGAGGCAUUCAUAUACAGUCAUAUCUUGUUCUAAGUAUUGAGUUGUAAUUUUUGAGUUGUAAGUAAAUAAAAGUGUGACGAUCAUAAUUAUUAGAGCAUUGUCCCAUGUGAGGAAAGAAGGAUGGAAACUUCCCUCACAAGUUGGGAUGAGUCUUUGGACUUUAUAAAAAAUAAAAGAGGCUAAAGAAGCCCAAACAAAAAAAGAGAGAAAGAAAAAAUGAGAGAAAAGAGAGAAGGGACAAUGUUACUAUCCUUUUUCCACACUUGUGCUUCAAAGUAGCACCAUGAUCUUCAUGAUAGAGAGUCUCCUAUUUUGUCACUUUCAUAUACUAGUGGGAAUUUUUCAUUAUAGAACUUGGCUUCUAUAUGCCAAUGAUGGGCUUCCACAAAUUGCCCUAGGUCUUCGUGAGCACUUAGUUUUUUUUAUUGAGCUUUCAUACACUUAUAGCUCUAGUGCAUCCAUUGCAUGGCAAUCCCUACUCACUCGCAUCGAUAUUAAUUGAUGGGCAUCUCCAUAGCCCAAUAAUUUGCCUAGCUGAUGUGAGACUUUCUCCUUUUUUGUCUUCUCCACAACCAUCAUAUUCUAUUCCACCUAUAGUGCUAUAUCCAUGACUCACGCUCAUAUAUUGCGUGAAAGUUGAAAAAGUUUGAGAACACCAAAAGUAUGAAACAAUUGAUUGGCUUGUCAUCGGGGUUGUGCAUGAUGAAAUACUUUAUGUGAUGAAGAUGGAGCAUAGCCAGACUAUAUGAUUUUAUAGGGAUAACUUUCUUUGGCCAUGUUAUUUUGAGAAGACAUGAUUGCUUUAUUAGUAUGCUUGAAGUAUUAUUUUUAUGUAAAUAUUAAAGUUUUGUUUUGAAUCUAAUGGAUUUGAAUAUCCAUGCCACAAUAAAGAAGAGUACAUUGAUGAAUAUGUUAGGUAGCAUUACACAUCAAAAAUUCUGUUUUUAUCAUUUACCUACUCGAGGAAGAGCAGGAAUUAAGCUUGGGGAUGCUUGAAACGUCUCCAACAUAUUUAUAAUUUUUUAUUGUUCCCUGCUAUUAUAUUAUCUGUUUUGGAUGUUUUAUACGCAUUCAUAUGUUAUUUUAUAUUAUUUUUUAGACUAACCUAUUAACCUAGAGACCAGUGCUAGUUUUUGUUUUUUCCUUGUUUUUGAGUUUUACAGAAAAGGAAUAUCAAACGGAGUCCAAACGGAAUAAAACUUUCGUGAUGGUUUUUCCUGGACCAGAAGAUAGUCGUAGGACUUGGAGAGGGGGGCACAAGGUCCGCGAGCCGAGCAAAAGCCAGCUAGGCGCGCUCUAGGGGCGCCCUGAGGGCUUGUGGGUCCCUCUGGGGUCCUCUAACCCUAACUCCGCCUCUAUAAAUUUUCAAAUAUUCCCAAACCACCAGAAGCAUCCACCAAAAUACUUUUCCGCCGCAGCAAGCCUCUGUUCCUGUGAGAUCCCAUCUUGGGUUCUUUUCCGAUGAUAUGCCGGAGGGGGAUUCGAUCACGGAGGGCAUCUACAUCAACCUUGCGUCCCUUCCGAUGAAGCCUGAGUAGUAUACCACGGACCUACGGGUCCAUAGCUAGUAGCUAGAUGUCUUCUUCUCUCUCUUUGAUCUUCAAUAUAAUGUUCUCCUCGAUGUUCUUGGAGAUCUAUUCAAUGUAAUACUUUCUUGCAGUGUAUUUAUUGAGAUCCGGUGAGUUGUGGAUUUAUGAUCAGAUUAUCUAUGAAUAUUAUUUGAGUCUUUCUGAACUCUUUUAUGCAUGAUUAAGAUAUCUUUGUAUUUCUUUUCGAACUAUCGAUUUGGUUUGGUCAACUAGAUUGGUUUUUUCUUGCAAUGGGAGAGGUGCUUAGGUUUGGGUUUAAUCUUGUUGUGUCCUCACCUAGUGGCAUAGUAGGGGUAGAGAGGCACGUAUUGUACUGUUGCCAUCGAUGAUAAAAAUAUGGGGUUUUCAUCAUAUUGCUUGAGUUUAUCCCUCUACAUCAUGUCAUCUUCCUUAAGGCGUUACUCCGUUCUUAUGAACUUAAUACUCUAGAUGCAUGCUGGAUAGCGGUCGAUGUGUGGAGCAAUAGUAGUAGAUGCAGGCAGGAGUCGGUCUACUUGUCACAGACGUGAUGCCUAUAUCCAUGAUCAUUGCCUUAGAUAUCGUCAUAACUUUGCGCUUUUCUAUCAAUUGCUCAACAGUAAUUUGUUCACCCACCGUAUGCUAUCUUCAAGAGUGAAGCCUCUAGUGAAACCUAUGGCCCCCAGGUCUAUUUUCCAUCAUAUAUUUUCAGAUCUAUCAACCAAAAAAUCCAAAAAUACCUUGCUGCAAUUUAUUUGGAUUUACUUUAGUUUACUCUUUUAUUUAUGCUUUAUACCUAUCUCUAUUAGAUCUCACUAUUGUUCGAGACCGUGAAGGGAUUGACAAGCCCUUUUUCGCGUUGAGUGCAAGUGUUUGUUAGUUUGUACAGGUUCAUUGAUUGGAGACUUGCUUGUGCCUCCUACUGGAUUGAUACCUUGGUUCUUAACUGAGGGAAAUACUUAUCUCUACUUUGCUGCAUCACCCUUUCCUCUUCAAGGGAAAAAUCAACGCAAGCUCAAGAAUUAGCACAGACUAUAUUAUGGCGGGGGUUAAAGAAGAGCAUUACUUCAGCAGAGACGAGGAGAUUUACGCUCAAUUUGAAGAAUUAUUCUAGUUAUACAAUAAAGAAGAGCAUUAUUUUAGUUAUGCCAAAGAUGUCAUAUGCAAUUUUUUCAUGUAACUUGCUUUGAAAUAUCUUAGAUAUAGUAUAUGAAUAUAUUUAAAAUGAUAAAGUAGUAUAUAUAGUACCACAUGAUAGUAUAUGAGACAUGUGGGUUAACUAUCCCCGGGUGGUAGGAUGAAUUUUCCCUAUAUAUAUAUAUAUCGAAUGUCUCGCACCACCAUUCACACAUAAACAUGUAUAUAUACAAUUUGGUAUAUACAAUUUCUCCUACAAUUUGUAGAUCAUUACAUGGAGACAUUACUGCGAUAUCGGGUAAUGGAAUUCUCCUUUGGGAUCUAUGAACUGGUUGAACAAAAAUCCCGUUAUUUCAUGUUGAAGUGCUCCUACGCGAGCCUCCAAUAGGAGUCGAUCCCGCAUCUCCUUCAUCUUUAAAGAAGAAAUCAAAAUACACAUGUAUUAUUAGUUGUGUGUAUAUUUGAUAAUGAUGUACAAAAUUGUGAAUAGUGUUCUGGCAAACGUACCCAUUGGUCUCUAUCAGUUCUGGUCCUUUUGGUAGUCAUCAUGCGAAUGUUCUCGCAAAUGUAGAAUGAACAUAAAUCAGUCCCCGACGCCUGCUUCAGGGCCUUUAUGAGAAUAGAAUUCAAUCAGAUAAUAAUUAGUCAAGCAUGAUAGUUAAUGGUAUUGAAACUAGAAUUAAAGAGAUGGUAGCUAGCUGGUACUAGCUACUUAAUUAAUUACCUUGGGUCGGAUCCAUUUCAUCUCUUUUUUCCAUGAGCCAUCAACCUAUUUGAUGAGCUUUUGCCAAGACGUGCCCGCCGGCAAAUAAAAUGAAUAAAGGAGUUAUUAGUUAUUGAUAUCAGGAAAUGACAAACUAAAGAGGCCGACAUGUAGUUCGAUAAUGAUUGAAAUUAUCUGUUGACCAUCCCCUUCACGAUUUCGUAGUCACUAGCUUUUUUAAAUAGUGAGUCCAGUACUUGAACUUUUCCCUCGUCAACUUCAAUGAUUAACAAGAUCCAGUGGAAACUGCAUGCACAUACAUUUGCAUGUAUAAUUAAGCGGGUAUGUGCAUAACUCAUCAACUACCCUAAACCCUAUACACUUAUUAACAUCAAGCUAGUAAGCAAAAACACAAUUUGUAGUACAAGACAGUGUGACUCACCCGAAGUUGUAAGGAAGUAGAAUUUUUGGACAGGCAUUUAGGUGCUUCAAGAACUCUAGCAAGAUUUUCUCUGUGUAUGGUCGAUCAUAUUCUUGUGACCAUGUCUUUUCAUUAAUGAUAUUUGGGUCAAUGAACCCAAUGCCAUAGCGUCCAACUUUUUUCAUUUCAAACAUCUUCAUUCUGCAUAAUACCACAGAAGAGAAUAUAGUGAGGAUAAUUACAGGUAAUGAAUAGAACAAGCACUACAGCUAGCUAGAGAACUAAAUUAAUUACAAAAAGAAACCACUUACAAACUAUAGCAACUGACGACAGAUUUGUCGAGUGCGUCUUGAUUGAAUAACUGAAAUAUUUCUUGAAACUCAACCCACAGAUCUUUUCCAUGGUAGUAGUACUCUUCGGCGACUUUCACCAUGAGGGACUCUUGAUCGGUAGUCUUGGCUUCUUUCAUGUACCAUUCAUGCAAUUGAUACAUUCUCGUUAAUAGAGGCUUGACCUCCUUGGGCUUCACCAGAGGCUGGCCAUGGGCAUAUUUCCAUUUUAUGUCCUCCUCAUUAAGCAUAUCCAUGGGCUCGAUCUCUAGUAGUUGAUAAAUAGUGACACCGGCCUCUUCAGCCAUCCUUCUAUGAGCGUCGGUUAUUACCAACUGAUCAGCGCCGGUACUCACAUGUGUUGGUACAAUGAGCGGGGGGGGGGGGGUCGAUUGCACCGCCUAUUCUCCAAACUGGGGAACAACUUUCCCGCUUUUUUAGCAGCUGCUUUGCUGGAGCUCGAGCUCGACUCCUUCUUUUUUCAUGCUUGAUAUGCCUUCCUAAUUUGGUGCUCAUAGUCUGAGUCAACAUGCUUGCGAGCUGGUGGUUGAGCCAUACGAAUAAAGUGGUCAAUGACAUGCUCGCACUUUCUCCUUUGGCGGCGGUGGCAGUUUUGGUCCAAAAUGGGUGUCCAACUAGGCCCUGCAUUCGGCUUCGUUUUCCUUGUCAGUCAUGUCGUAAGGCCUCUUCGAAAGAGGCGUGAGGCUUGGACCAAAUUGGUAUCUCUUGCCUCCUAUAAUUGUACCGCUAGCCGCCAUAGCUGCGGCGGCUCUCUUCUGUUGUUGCUUAGGCAGGGGAGCCCGGUGACGCGGCAAAGAUGGCUGAUGCGGUGCCUGACUUGGAGGAGGAGGAGGAAUGGGCUGACGUGUUGCCGGACUUGGAGGAGGAGGAGUGGGCUGACGCGAUGCCGGACUUGGAGGAGGAGGAGUGGCCUAACGCGUUGGCGGACUUGAAGGAGCAGGACUCUGCUGAGGCGGUGGCUGAUGGCUUGCAGGAGCAGGAGUCUGUUGACGCGGUGGUGGACUUCGAGGAGGAGUCAGCUGACGCGGUGUCGGUGGCCUUGGAAAGAUGAUGCAAGCCUUUCUCCAUAGAAUGAUAUGAUGUAUGACCUCUCCCAAUGUGUGCUCGUCAUCACCUCCAGGAAUGUCAAGCUCUAGCCCCGAAUAUUGUGACACCACUUCAUCAACCACGACACGAGCAUAGCCAGCUGGUUGGGUUGCAAUGGAAGGUUGCUUCAAGGGGAUUUGUAUAAGCAACGGCGUCUGCCACCUUCAUGGAUAUGUUCUUCAUUUUGAAGUGAAGCUCACAAUUAGUGUUAUCCAUGAUGUCAUCCAUAGGGUACCUAUCCUGCAGUACCUCAUCGCCCCGGGCGGAACCCACGCUUCUUCUCGGCAUGGAUGGGAUGGUGCUAUCAGAUGCUGGAUCUGCUAGCUGCUGGUAGAGACCCCUUUUCCUGGCUAAGUGAGUCGAUCUGCUGUUGCUGCCACUGGAAUUGGAGUGCCAACUCUGCGUGCCUUGAUUCUAGGCCUUGAAGGCAUUCUGCUUCCUGCUUCCUUUGCUCCUCCUCCAGCUUCCUCUUCUUCUUCUCCUCCAUCUUCUUUCUCGCACAACUUCUGUAGUCGGCAUUCCAGUCGUCAAACCCCUCAUACCACGGAACAAUGCCUUUGCCUCGUGUUCUUCUCGGGUGUUUAGGAUUUCCUAGGGCACGCGUAAGCUCGUCGUUCUCACUGUUGGGCGUGAACACCCCCGUUCGAGCCUCUUCUAUUGCAUUGCAACAAGUAAUUUCAGGUCGGCUCCUUUAAGACUUGCCUUCUCCAAAACCUAGCAUGUCUUUGGGUCCAAUGUCCCCCCAUGCGCAUAGAGCCAAGUCCUGCACCUGGGGGCCAGCUCAAUGUAACUUGAAUGAUCCCUGCAUCAACCACCUAUUACUCAUCCUUAUCCCACUUAGGCCGGGCCACCGCGUAGCCACCUGGCCCCAGCUUAUGGUAAUGCUCCUUUUUCGCGGCAUUGAUCUUGUUUAUUCUCGACCGUUCCUUAGCUAUUUCCGAUUACUUGAAUUUCACGAAAGCGGGCCAGUCAUCUCUUUGCUUCUCUAGUGUUCCUGUGAAUUCUGCAGUCUUCUUUCCUCCUUCAACGUACUUGGCCCAUAUAAUUUUCUUGUGGUUGUUGAAUGCAACUGCCAUCUUCCUAAGAGCAGCGUCCUUGACUUUCUGCACAUCUGCAUCUGUGAAAUGAUCUGGUAGGGUGAAAUGUGACGUGAGAGAUUCCCAAAGCAGAUCUUUUGCUCUUUGGUCAACAAAAGUAAGAUCUGGACGUUUCUUUGCUGGCUUUUUCCAUUCUUGAAUGGAGAUCGGGAUUUGAUCCUUCACAAGAACUCCGCACUGACGAAUGAACUUGCCCACAUUCUUCUUAGGCUCACUUGGUUCGCUAUUAGGUUUGAUGGCAUCGAUUGUGUACUUUACGCCAUACUUCAACUUUUUGGCCGGGCCUCACACUGCCCUGCUGCAUGUAGAAGAUUUGCUCGAUCCGGAGGGCUGAAUGAAGAAAGAUCGAUUCGUUAAUAUAUAUACAAAUCAUUUAAAACAUGUGAUGAUCACCAGAUGCCCGCUUAUAUAAAUAUACCUCGUCGGUCUUUGUUAUUUCAAGAUCAACAUCUUCUUCGUCAUCAUAAUCAUAGUUCUGGACUUCAUCUAUUUGUUUGUCUUCAUAAAAUAUCAUACCCUCACCGGUAGGGUUCAGAUAUUGCGAGCCGUCAUCUUCUUCAAACUCAUCUGGGCGAGGGCAUGAGCGUAUGAUGUUGAACAGGGCCUCCUCUCCUUCUCUGCCGGUAUUGUCCAUAAUUUUUAUUUAACUAAUCUAGAAGAAAUAUAAAACAAUUUAGUAUUCAAAUUACAAUGCAUGCAUGCAAUCAAUAAGGAAAAACUGAACCAUAGUACAUAAUAUGCAUCAUCGAAUAUAAUCUCGAAUACAUCGUCUUGAAUAUUAUUGAAUAAUAUAUAUAAUAUCGAAUACAUCGUCUUGAUUAUUAUAGAAUAAUAUAUAUAAUCUCGAAUACAUCGUCUCAAAUAUUAUCGAAUAAUAUAUAUAAUCUCUAAUACAUCGUCUCGAAUAUUAUCGAAUACAUCACUAGCUAGCUAAUAUAGAUCGAAUACUAUCGAAUAAUCUAGUUCACUCGUGGUUCCUGAGGCGCGGGCGGUGGACACCCAAAGAGAAGAAACCAUCACAUGAUCAUAACUCGGGUGAGAUCCCCAAAGAACCUGCCAGUAUUGGAGAACCUGACGUCCAACACAACCAUGUAGCGAUGGACGUGCUCGUCCUCCUCCCUAACACAGUGACGUACCACCUCCGGCGGGGCCAGCUCCCUCCACACCGAAAGUGGCUCAUGCGAACGCCACCAAAGGAGCUCUGGGUCUAAGACGGGACCCGGGGCCGGGUACGUCACCAAGCGGUGCGCCCCUAAAGGUAGCACCUCCCAGUGCCAGCCCGGCGGAGCCCAGUCCCGGACAUGGCUCCUCUGAAGCAGGACGUCGUCGCGAACGGGUCGACGGCGAGGAUGUGGGCCGGGCAUCGUUGACAUCGAGAACAAAUUCUAUAUGCAAAUGUAACAUUUUUAAAUGAUUGGAUUAUUGUGAUUUAUUAUAUAGAAAUUCUGUAUGCAAAUUCUAUAUGAUCAAAUGUUGCAUAUGUCAAAAUUCAAACUUUGACAUAUGAUAUCUAGCUAGCUAGCUAGCUAAUUCAUCUAACAUUAAUAUAUCUAGCUAAUUCAUCUAACAUUUGACAAAAAGUAUAAGAAACUAAUUCAUCUAACACUAAUAUAUCUAGUUCAUCUAUAAGUAAAAAUAUAAAAAACUAAUUCAUCUAACAUUGCUAUCUAAUUCUUCUAACAUUUGACAUUAAUCUAAUUCAUCUAAAACUUGACAUUAAUCUAACAUAUAUAUAUAUAUAUAUAUAUAUAUAAUUCAUCUAACAUUUCUAUAACUAAAAGUAUAAAAAACAGAAAAACAAAAAAUAAUUAAGAAAGUGUGUGUGUGUGUGUGUGUGUGUGUGUGUGAGGCGGCAGGGGACGGGCCGGGGCGGCGCGCGACAGGGAUGGGCGCGGAGAUGGGACGGCGACGGGGACGGGCGCGGCGAUGGGAUGGCGACGGCGCACGACGGGGGCGGCGACAGGCCGGGGUGGCGACGGGGACGACGACGAGGACGGGCGCGGCAAAGGGGCAGAGGUUAAAGCAGUGGAAUAAGAGAAGAAAAAUGAUAUUUUUUGAAGUGCUGCUUAUAUAGGAUGGACCUUUAGUACCGGUUGGAGCCACCAACCGGUACUAAAGUUCUAUUUUGGCCAGGCCAAGCAGUGGGAAGCGACCACCUUUAGUACCGGUUGGUGGCUCCAACCAGUACUAAAGACCCCCCCUUUAGUACUGGUUGGAGCUACCACCCGGUACUAAAGGGGUGAGCUGGUACAGGUGCGGUGCGGACAAGUUUAGUCCCACAUCGCUUGUCGAGGGGCGCCUGCACCAGCUUAUAAGCCCCGCCGCGGCUGCUGUCUCGAGCUCCUCUCUAAUGCAGGCCCUCUAGGCCUACUCUGUUGCGAUGCCCUGUUGGGCCUACUGGGCCUGCAUCCUGGCCCAACUACAGGUUGGGUUUCUAGUCAUAUGCAGGCCGUUGUGGCCCAGUAGGCGAGCUUUUUUUAUUUUUUUUUCAUUUUUUUCUUUUCUGCUUUAUUUAUUUUCUUUUAUUUAUUUCUAAGUCAUUUUUGUUGUAUUUUGAGUUUCUUUGUGAAUAUUUUUCCUUAAGGUACAAAAAAUUACAAACUUUCCGUUAGUGCUGGUAGUUUUCAAAUGUGAAUAGUUUAAAUUUGAAUUAAUUAAAAUUUGUGUGAAUCACUAGUUUGUGAAUAACUUUACUUUUAAAAUAGAUUUUUUCAGUGAUUAUUUUUAUUAUGUUUAAUAUUAGUGUGUUUUAUCAUUAUAUUCAAUUUGGUAAUACUUAGGUUAUUGAAAUGCCUUUGCAACAGAUGAGUUUUCGUCCGAAACCCUGAUACUUCGAAAGAGAUUGUCCAUUUUAUACACGAAGUGCAUCCAGUUUUUUCCGUAACCCUCUCAAAUUUUUUACACAUGCUAUGUGGGUGAAAUGAUGAUACCAUGCCAACUUUCAACCUUUUCAGAGUUCAUUUGUAGUGCUUUUCAAUUUCAUGGUCAUUUAGCUCAAAAAAUCAGUAAAUGCAUGAAAAAUAGCAAAUGAAGUCAAAAAGGGUUGAAAGUUGAUGACGUGGCUUUCAAUGGUCCAUACUGAAUGCACAAAAGUCUGGGGUUGAAGUAAGUUAAAAAAUGAAAUGCCUUUGUAACAGAUGAGUUUUCAUCCAAAACCCUGAUACUUCGAAAGAGAUUGUCUAUUUUGUACACGAAGUGCAUCCAGUUUUUGCCGUAACCCUCUCAAAUGUUUUGCACAUGCUAUAUGGGUGAUGAUACCAGGACAACUUUCAACCUUUUCAGAGUUCAUUUGUAGUGCUUUUUAAUUUUAGGGUCAUUUAGCUCAAAAAUCAGUAAAUGCAUGAAAAAUAGCAAACGAAGUCAGAAAGGGUUGAAAAUUGAUGAUGUGGCUUUGAAUGGUGCAUAUUGAACGCACAAAAAGUCUAUAGUUGAAGUAAGUUUAAAAAAAUGAAAUGCCUUUGUAACAGAUGAGUUUUCGUCCGAAACCCGGAUACUUCGAAAGAGUGUCGGAUUUCGGGUUCCUGCAGACCCUAAAGGUUCGAACUCUGGGGUGCACGCGGUGAUCACACCUCCUGCCUACCUACGUCUCGUCGCCUCGCAAGGAUCUAAACUACACGAAGAACAACAUAAGGGACACGAGGUUUAUACUAGUUCAAGCCACCAUUGUGGUGUAAUACCCUACGUCUAGUUUGUGGUGUGGUGGAUUGCCUCAGGGGCUGAUGAUGAACAAUACAAGGGAAGAACAGCCUCGCGAUGGGCUGUUCUUAGGAUGGUGCGAUGAACUGCUUGGGUGAGUUUAGUCGCUUCUCUCGCUCUCUAGCCUGCCCAAAAUCUCGAUCCCUCACUCUGCGGUGGCUAGCUCUAUUUAUAGAGGGAGGCCCUGGGCCUCUUCCCAAAUAUUGAGCGGGAAGGGCGCCAAGAAUUGGCCAUUUUGAAGGGGAACAUCUAGUACACUUAUCCUGACUAAAGUUGGUCCUCGCCUGCCAAAGACUCUGACGAUGACGCCUUCCUGGGCUCCACGAUGACCUCCAUCCUGCAGUUCUACCGGUCUUGAUCUUGUUGCACCGAAAUGGUUGCCCUUGCUUGAUAAUCUUGCCUGCGCUUGCCCCCUUUGCACCAAAGAGGAAACAAGGACUCUGCGUAGGCCGGCGCCCGCCUGGCGCCCGCCUGGCCUCGGUCAUCAUGGCUUGCGUCAUGGGCACCUCGUGAGGUACCCUGCCUUGAUCUCUCCGCCUCCUCGCGAGCCAGCCUGACGAGGCUGUGCCCGAGGAAGCUUCCUGUCACUCGCCCCGCGAGGCUUGGCCCCUCGCGAGGGUCUUGAGUAUGUGUCGAUGAAGAUGGACCGUACUGGGCCACUCCCUCGGCCACGCCGUAGGCCGCAGGCAGGCAAGCCUAGGUACCCCCUUUCCCAGAACGCCGACAGUAGCCCCCGGGCCCAAGGCACGCCUGGACUUGGCUUAGCAGAGAAGCGAAGGGGAAAGUGCGAAGCGCCGCGGGCCCCAUCAGCCUGCGGCCUUGGGUGCCACGUGGCGGUUUAUUGGACGUGUGCGUCCCCGCUUCCGCACGAUGCCUCGGCAGCUGCACGAAUUGACAAGAGAUCAUUACCCGUCCAGGCUUACCUUCUUUGCCUCUUCUAGUCAUUGCCCAGAUCCCCUUUCUCGCUCCUAUCCUUCUUGCUUCCGAAAUCCCCAGAUCUACUCCAACCCUGCAUCUUAGCAAGGCAUGGCGCCUCGGCAGACCCCGGCUGGAGCUUGGUACUCGCCCGCUCUGGAUCCUCCAAAUGUGUCGGAGAAGAAUCUUGCCCGGACGUGCCAGAUGAUGGCGGUGCAAGGCAAUGAUGGAGCGGCCGUGCUCAAGGUUGGUUCCGCCCUUCCCGAGGACAAAGGGAGCACCUUCUACCCGCUCUUCGUGAGCGCCAUCGCCGCCGGUCUGGUGCCCCCCUUCUUCGAGUUCUUCCUUUCUGUUCUCCGCCAUUACAACCUGCAAGCUCUGCAUCUCCAUCCCAACUUUGUUCUUCUCUUGGUGAUUUUCGCCUACUACUGCGAGGCUCAUGUUGGGGUAAGGCCCUCGGUGGCCUUGCUGCGCCAUUACUUUUACCUCCGGGUUUCUCGCGGCCCCAUCACCACGUGCACGAGCUUUGUUGCAUAAAUGCCAGCUCCAAUGCUAUCUCGAAGCCCGGGAAGAGGAUUGAAGGCUUUAGGAGCAAGUGGGUCAUGGUGGAUGCUGGGCGCAUCCAUCUCCGGCUGAUCCUGCCCACGAGGCAGCCCGAGGUCGCCGACGCUUGGUCCCGCGCGGAACUCGUCGAUCCCCGCGCGAAGCCGGUGCUGGAGAAGAUGGACGCGGACCUGUAGCCGGGAAACAUGGCGACGGCGAGGCUGCCCGGGGCGUCGCUCCUGAGGGAGUUCCUGGAGCACCGAGUGGCUCCGCUCUGGGAACACCCGCUCCCGCUGUGGAGGCUCGGGGGGACCGAUGCCGCCCUUCGCCUGAGCUCCGUAGUCCUGGCCGACGAAGAUCUGGCCGCGGUCCUCCAAUCCUUGGUUGGGGGAGACGUGGCGAGAUUGGAGGGUGCUCAUGUACCCCUGUUCCUUCGGGAUGAUUGGGAGCGGGUGGUGAACUCCAUGCCCGCUUUCAACGGGGACGGGCCUGUGCCCGCGGAGGUUCCUGAGGACCUGGCGGCCCUGGCGAUGGUGAACGUGUCCUCCGGCGACUCCGGCAGAGAGGAGGAAGAAGAGGAGUAGGAAGAGGAGCCCGAUUCCGAGGCGACCGACAAGGAGUCGAGAGCGCCCCUCCCUCGACGCAGGUCCCGCGCCCUUCACCUCUUGCCGGAUGACGAUGAGGAUGGCGAUGAGCGAGGCGGCGAGAGCUCGCCCCUGAUCCCGAAGAAGGACAGGAUGGGGCUGGUUCCCCGCGGGCCUGCUCCGGCUCUGAGGCAAUCUGCAGACGUGCCUCCUGCUCCCGAGUCUCCUGAGGUUGAUCCCAGCAGCCGGCUCUCGGGCUUCAAGUUCGGCCGGAGGUUGCUUGAGCCCGCGGGCGAUGACCAGUAAGUGCUUGAUUCUCGUUUUGCUUCUUGUUUUGUUGCUGAGGCUUAACGUCCAUACUCCUUGGCUAGUCCGGUGCCUGCGGCGAAAAAGCUGAAGGGGGCCCCUAAGGCUUUGUCUGGGGCAGCACUUCCAUCCGCGGGAGAAGGGGGCGGCAAGGCCCGGGCCUCUCCUGCUCGGCCAUCCUCACGAGGCCAGGCAGGGCGUGCCAGGGCGAGCUCAGCCCCCGUGGCCCAAGCGACUCCCGAGGUGUCCUCGCCUGACGCCACUGCCGCAGUCAUCGGGGCGCAAAAAGUCCCAACUCACGGCGCUGUGAUCACGCUGCCGUCUUCUCGUCCUACUCCGCCAACUGCCAUUUCUCCGACUCCUUCUACUGUCCUGGAUCGUGCUGCUGCUGAGCUGGACCGGCUGCGAGAAGAUCUUCGGGGCGCCGACCCUUGCUUUGUGGCCGGGCGCCUGGAGCUGGCCUCCGGCUGGGUCCGCUCUGAUGCUUCAGUUCGAGCAGCACUGGUUCAGGCUGCGACGGCUUGCGACGAGGAGAAGCAGGCCACCCUUCAGGCCAAGGCCGCUCGCGACACUGCCUUGGGUGAGGUUGCGGAUGUCCGAGGUCGCUGCAAGGCGCUGGAGAGCGAGCUGCAAGGCCUGCGACCAGCUCGCCAAGGAGGUCCGUGACCGCCAGGAGAGGGAGGAAGAGAUGAGGGCUCGCGAGACUACCGCCAAGGACCGGGAUGCCUAGCUUGAUGAACUCCAUGGCCGCUUAGACACACUAGAGCAGGCAUUGGAGGCGAAGAAGAUCGAGUUGGACGGCAAGGUGCGGGUCCUGGCCGAGGACCGCGUGGCCUUCGCGAAGCUGGAAGAGAAGGCUCGCACCUUGCUGAAGACGCUUUAUGAUAGCGGCCUGGAGAGCCUGCUGGCCGGCGCCAAGGACGGCCCCGCCAAGUUGCUUCCCUUCCUAGUCUGCGCCCUUGAAGAUGUCGCCCUCGGCCUUGGCCCCACAGCUGAGGCUGAGGCGCGUGUCCUUUCUUCUGUAGCGCUGACGCGCAUCUUCACCCAGAUCUACCUUCGCGACCCCGAUGUUGACCUUGACAACCCACUGCCUGUGAGCGGCGAGCUUGCCGCUGUCGCUGCUGAGGCCGUGAAGGGUCGAGUGGAGGCUCUGCUGGCGAAGUUCCGUGCUUUCAGCACCAAGCCAAGGCGAGGUGCUGCCAAAAGUGAGGCUCCACGAUGCGAAGUCGCCCAACGCAGCUCCGUCACCAGCGAUGGUACUGCCAGAAAGUGACCCCUUCGCGGCUCCUGUCCUAUUGUUAGCUCUGGUAACAUGCAUCAUGCCUCGUGGAGGCGUUUAAACUUGUGUUUGGUGUUGUGAAAGCACUCUAUGGACUGUAAUAUUUGCUUUUGAAUUCCUUGAUAUUUGCGCUUUUCCUUCCUACUUGCUUGUGUUCUACGUCGGCAGAGCCCGGCCCCGCGCAUACCUCAGCCGCCGUUAGCCCCGACCAGAAACCAGGACGGGACCAAGGAGUGAGGGGCUACGUGACCAGUUAGGCUCCUGAGUCGCGAUGCUCAGGAGUCCCCCUGGACGCGCGAAUAACAAGUAGAGAGGGAGAUGUAUGAGUAAAUCCACCAUUCUACGUCGGCAGAGCCCGGCCCCGCGCAUACCUCAACCGUCGUUAGCCUUUUGGAACUAAGGGGUGAGGGGCUACAUGACCAGUUAGGCUCCUGAGUCGCGAUGCUCAGGAGUCCCCCUUGACAUUCAAACGGCCUUCGUACCUUGGCUCCACUCGGGGAGAGACGUGCGACGAACCAGGCCCGAGGGGCCUGGCUGGGUGGCGUGCGUCUGGGCAUAACCCAGGCGUAGCCCACGUGCCCAACCCCCUCGCGUGGCACUCCCGAGGGGAGGCGUUAUGAUGGGGCCGGGCACUAAGCUCUGGGCUCCCUGAGGUUGAUGCGGCCGGGGGCCACCCUCAGUUGUUUAUCACCAGCACGGAGCAUAGCGCUUCCGUAUAUGUACGGGCAAAGCCGCUCCUCGGCAGUGUCGUGAGCCAGGGCGGAGCAUGGUGCUUCCACUGGUGUGUGGGAGGGGGCUCCCAUCCGGGAGGAGCCCCCGGGGUGUGGUGACAUAUGGCUAGCACGGUAGGGCCUGACGAGGUGUAUCUGGGCACCCGUGAGCCAGCGCGGGACUCACGGGGCCCUACCUCAAGGCGGGUUGCGCCUGGCUCUGGGCCUUUACUUGUAAUGUGUUCCUGCAAAUUUGGUUAGAUGCCGAUGCUCUACGUCCUCAGGUCCCGGCCCUCGAGCAAGCUCAACCGUCGCUGGUAUGCCAGGUCGCGAUGCCGUGGACAAGGCCAGGAGGUGAGGGCUGGAGAGCCAGUAAGACUCCAUGAGUCACGAUGCUCAGGUACCCCCCCUUUAACGUGCAAGCGGCCGACAUGACAGAAGAAGGGUGCCGCCACAGGCAUCAAGUAAUGAUCAUGAUGGGUCAAACGCACGACCCGAAUAAGCGCGAGAGGGAUAAACGCCACUAGGUCUGGCCCGAGUGGCUUGUGGAUAAUGCAGCCCGAGGGGCGCCCCCAGUAAGCUAAAAACAUGAACUAAAGGGAUACAUGCCGCAGGGACGGACCCACGCGGCCUGGGAAUGAUGCAGCCCUGGGGGUGCUCCCAGCUGAAAAUGAAACUCGAAGGAUGUCACCUUAUGAUGUUGAAGAUGAAGGGAUGCUGAAGUAGCGGACGGCGAGCGCUGCGUUAGGCGAUCUUUACGAGCCCCCAGGCCCAGGAGCCUCGGGAGGCUCCGGAGGCGCUGGCGGCUCCUCGAGGACCAUCUCCAUCUCUGCCAGGACUGUGGAAUGCCUGGCCGCUUGAGCCUCCAGGAUGCUCCUCAUGAGGCGUUACCGCACAGCAGCCACGUUCGGCAGGCCGAGAGGCAUGCGAAUGUAGCUGUGAGGUGGACCCUCACAACACCCCACGCAUGAAGGCCAGAGGCGCUCCUGAGAGGCGGCUCGGUUGAGCCCUGGUAUGUCAAUGCAGACGCGCAGGAGAGAGCCCCCGAGCCUUGCUCGAGGAGGGCACCGGGCGCGCCUUCCUAUGCGACAGAGGGAGGCGCCCCCUGAACGGGUGCGGACCCUGAGGGGCCUGCCUCCCGAGGGUUCGGACCGGGCGAUGUCUUCUUCUUCUCAGGGGCAACCUCGGGAAGCCUACCGCUCCCGCGAUCUAGCUCUUCAAUUGACGCGGCUUGAAAAGCACACUCCAGAGAACACACCGCAUCCCUCUCUUCACAAGGCACCGUGAUGACUCCACCGCUUCCUGGCAUCUUGAGGACAUUGUAGCCGUGGUGAGUUACGGCCAUGAACUUGGCCAGGGCUGGGUACCCGAGGAUGGCAUUGUACGACAGACGAAUGUGCACGACGUUGAAGUCAAUGAGCUCAGUGCGGUAGUUGUCGCGCUUCCCAAAGGUAACAGGAAGGCGGACCUGCCCUAUCGGAACCGUGGAGCCAUCAGUGACUCCUGAGAAAGACUUGGUUGACUGAAGCUGAUUGUAUGGCACUUGGAGAUUGUUGAAUGUCUCGACGGAUAGGACGUUGAGCCUUGCUCCGCCGUCGAUGAGGGUCCUGGUGACUUGUGCAUUGCUGAUGAUUGGGGAACAAAGCAUCGGGAGGACUUCGGCUGUUGCCGCGCACUUGAGCUGAUCCGCUGAGCUGAACGUGAUGGUGCACGCUGACCACCUGAGAGGGCGUGUGGCCUCGAGCUUGGGGAGGACUGCAUUCACUUCGCGAGCAAACUGCUUGAAGAUGCGCUGAGAGGCCAGGGCCUGAGCGCCGCCCAAGAUGCAAGCAAUUGCGUGCGGCUCCUCGAAGCCUCUAGCCCCCUCGUCCUAAUGAUGGUCUUCAUUCCUCCUCGGCUGUGGUGACAGAGGAGGGAGGCCCGCGUUGCCUUGUGGGCGAUCCUCGCGAGGCUGAUCCCUCCAUGCUCCCUCGCGAGGCUGGUCCUGCCAGCUGUCCUCGCGAGGCCGGUCACGCCACCCUUGGCGAGGGCCACGGUCUUCCCAUCGUCCUCCACCUCUUCCUCCUCCUCGGCCAUAGCCCCGGUCGUUGCGCUCGGGGCGUCAGCCGGCACGCACGUCCCGCACGGCCCUGAGCUCUUGGCAUUCGUUGGUGUUGUGGGUGUGGAGGUCGUGGUACACGCAGUACCGGCUGCCCUUGGAUGACUCAGGCUGAUCCCUGCCUCGCUUGGUGUCCGGCUCUGCUGCAAGCAUAGUAGCCCCCUUGCGCUUCACGUCCUUGACCUUGGGCUUCUUCUCUUCUGGGUCGGCAGCCGGCAGCUCUAGGAGGGAAAGGCGUCCUUCCUCAGCCCUGGCACACUUGGUCGCCAAAUUGAACAGCUCCAGGGAGGUGCACAAGUCUUCAUGGAUCGCAAGCUCCUCCUUCAUCUUGAUGUCACGCACGCCGUCGGAGAAGGCUGAGAUGAUGGCCUCCUCAGACACCCUGGGGAUCUUAAGGCGAGUGUUGUUGAAACACUAGAUGAACUUCUGUAGGGUCUCUCUCGGCUGCUGCUUGAUGCGGCGCAAGUCGCUCAUGGCCGGGGCCGGUCGCGAGUGCCUUGGAAGUUGGCGAUGAAUCGGGUGCGCAUCUCGUCCCAGGAGGAGAUCGUGCCUGGAGCCAGGUUCAGGAGCCAGGUGCGGGCACCAUCCUUGAGCGCCAUGGGGAACCAGUUCGCCAUGACCUUCUCGUCCCCGUUGGCGGCUUCAAUGCCCAACUCAUAGAGCUGGAGGAACUCCGCAGGGUCAGCCGUGCCAUCGUAGCGCGGGGGCAGAUCUGGCUUGAACUUGCCCGGCCAGGCCACGCUGCACAGCUCGGUGGUGAAGGCACGGCAGCCUGUAGUGGCCGCGGGAGGCCUUUGGUAACGGAGAGCUUGAUCUUGGGAGUCUUUGUGCGCUGCCGCCAGGAGCAGCGCGGGGUCUUCACACGCUGGAGCAGGAGCGCGUUCGUGCCGGGCCGGUGCGGGGAGCACACAGGCAGCUUCUUGGGGACGAGGGAUCUCUUGGGAGCUCUUCUCUUGUUGUGCUGGCGUCGGACGGAAUGAGUUCCGUCCAGGGGCCACACGCCUUGGGGCCAAGGCGCCUUCUUGAGGGGGAGGUGGCUGGGGCGCCCCCGGAGCUUCAUCGCCCGCGCAGGGAGGGGCGCGGUGCAGCGAGAGGGAUGGCGCAGGGGAGCCCCAAGCGGCGCUGACGAGCUUGGUGACGCGGGCGAGCCACUCAUCGUAGAGGUCGUCGACGGGACGGUGGUGCAGGAGCUCUCGCGCCAGGAGCAGCGCGGCGUGCGCGUCCGCAGGAGCGCGACGGGCGUGGGACGAGGAACCGGCUGGAGUCAGCGACGGGGUGGCAGUGCGGCCUUCUCGCCGCACCGAAGGAUGCAGGGACGACACCUGCUGCUCGUUCCCCGCCGGGACGGUGGCAGCGUUGAUGGCAGGCGACGGGGAACGGCGGGGGCGUCCGCUAACGGGGGCCGUCUGGGCGACGCGAGUGGCAAGAGCGGCCCGGCGCUCGGCGCGGGCUGGGCAAGCGUCUGACAUGGACGCGACGGGUGGCGAAGCACAGGGCGGCGGAAAGCAGAUUCUAGUGCACCCCUACCUGGCACGCCAAAUGUCGGAUUUCGGGUUCUGGCAGACCCUAAAGGUUCGAACUCUGGGGUGCACGCGGUGAUCACACCUCCUGCCUACCUACGUCUCGUCGCCUCGCAAAGGAUCUAAACUACACGAAGAACAACACAAGGGACACGAGGUUUAUACUAGUUUAGGCCAACAUUGUGGUGUAAUACCCUACGUCUAGUUUGUGGUGUGGCGGAUUGCCUCAGGGGCUGAUGAUGAACAAUACAAGGGAAGAACAUCCUCGCGAGGGGCUGUUCUUGGGCUGGUGCGAUGAACUGCUUGGGUGAGUUCAGUCGCCUCUCUCGCUCUCUAGCCUGCCCAAAAUCUCGAUCCCUCACUCUGUGGUGGCUAGCUCUAUUUAUAGAGGGAGGCCCUGGGCCUCUUCCCAAAUAUUGAGAGGGAAGGGCGCCAAUAAUUGGCCAUUUUGAAGGGGAACAUCUAGUACACUUAUCCUGACUAAAGUUGGUCCUCGCCUGCCAAAGACUCUGACGAUGACGCCUUCCUGGGCUCCACGAUGACCUCCAUCCUGCCGUUCUGCCGGUCUUGGUCUUGUUGCACCGAAAUGGUUGCCUUUUCUUGAUACUCUUGCCUGCGCUUGCCCCCUUUGCACCAAAGAGGAAACAAGGACUCUGCGCAGGCGGCGCCCGCCUGGCCUCGGUCGUCAUGGCUUGCGUCAUGGGCACCUCGUGAGGUACCCUGCCUUGAUCUCUCUGCCUCCUCGCGAGUCAGCCUGACGAGGUUGUGCCCGAGGAAGCUUCUUGUCGUCCGCCCCGUGAGGCUUGGCCCCUCGCGAGGGUCUUGAGUAUGUGUCGAUGAAGAUUGGCCGUACUGGGCCACUCCCUAGGCUACGCUGCAGGCCGCAGGCGGGCAAGCCUGGGAACUCCCGUUCCCAAAACGCCGACAAAGAGAUUGUCCAUUUUGUACAUGAAGUGCAUCAAGUUUUUGCCAUAACCCUCGCAACUUUUUUGCACACAUUUAUAUACAUGGGGAGGGCAUCCCUAGAACACACAUCGAUUGUUCCUAACCGUAUGUGGCGCCCCCCUCCACAGUGAACACCUUGGUCAUAUCAUAGUAGUUCUUAGGCGAAGCCCUGCGCCAGUAACUUUGUCAUCACCGUCACCACGCCAUCGUGCUGACGAAACUCUCCUUCGGGCUCAACUGGAUCAAGAGUACGAGGGACGUCAUCGAGCUGAACAUGUGCUGAACACGGAGGUGUCGUACGUUCGGUGCUAGGAUCGGUCGGAUCGUGAAGACGUACGACUACAUCAACCGCGUUGAUAAAACACUUCCGCUUUUGGUCUACGAGGGUACGUGGACACACUCUCCCCUCUCAUUGCUAUGCAUCUCCUAGGUAGAUCUUGCUUGAAGUAGGAAAUUUUUUGAAAUUACUGCAUUCCCCAACAGUGUUACUAUCUACAAAGGUCGACUUGUCAUGAAAGGUUUUCGACAAGUUCAAGAAGUUGACUACGAUGAGAUUUUCUCACUUGUAGCGAUGCUUAAGUCUGUCCGAAUCAUGUUAGCAAUUGCCGCAUUUUAUGAAAUCUGGCAAAUGGAUAAAAAAAUUGCAUUCCUUAAUGGAUUUAUUAAAUAAGAGUUGUAUAUGAUGCAACCAGAAGGUUUUGUCAAUCCUAAAGGUUAGCUCCAGCGAUCCAUCUAUGGGCUGGUGCAAGCAUCUCGGGUUGGAAUAUACGCUUAGAUGAGCUGAUCAAAACAUAUAGUUUUAUACAGACUUGUGGUGAAGCCUAUAUUUACAAGAAAGUGAGUGGGAGCACUACCGCCUUUCUGAUAAGUAUAUGUGAAUGACAUAUUGUUGAUCGGAAAUGAUGUAGAAUUUUCUGGAAUGCAUAAAGGAGUAUUUGAAUGGAGUUUUUUUUUCAAAGAAUGACCUUAGUGAAGUUGCUUACAUAUUGGGCACCAAGAUCUAUAGAGAUACAUCAAGACGCUUGAUAAGAUUUUUCAAUAAGUACAUACCUUGACAAGAUUUUGAAGUAGUUCAAAAUGGAACAGUCAAAGUAGGAGUUCUUGCCUGUAUUGCAAGGUGUAAAGUUGAGUAAGACUUAAAACCCGACCACGGCAGAAAAUAGAAAAAGAGAAUGAAAAGCAUUCCCUAUGCCUCAACCAUAGGUUCUAUGAAGCAUGCUAUGCUGUAUACCAGACCUAUUGUGUACCUUGCCAUGAGUUUGGCAAGGGAGUAUGAUAGUGAUCCAGGAGUGGAUCACUGGACAACGAUCAAAGUUAUCCUUAUUACCUAAGGGACUAAGGAAAUAUUUCUCGGUUAUGGAGGUGAUAAAGAGUUUGUCAUAAAAAGUUACGUCGAUGCAAGCUUUUACACCGAUCCGGAUGACUCUGAGUCACAAUCUGGUUACAUAUUGAAAGUGGGAGCAAUAGCUAGAGUAGCUUGCUACGUCUUGAGCUUGCGUUGGUUUUCCUUGAAGAGGAAAGGGUGAUGCAGCAAUAGUAGCGUAAGUAUUUCCCUUAGUUUUUUAGAACCAAGGUAUCAAUCCAGUAGGAGGCUCCUCAAAAGUCCCACGCACCUACACAAACAAACCAAGAACUCGCAACCAACGCAAUAAAGGGGUUGUCAAUCCCUUCACGGCCACUUGAGAAAGUGAGAUCUAAUAGAGAUAGUAAGAUUAGAUAAAUAUAUUUUUGGUAUUUUAUAAUAUAGAUGCAAAAAGUAAAGAUGCAAAUAAAAGUAGAUUGAAAGCAAAUAUGAUAAGAGAUAGACCCGGGGGCCAUAGGUUUCACUAGUGGCUUCUCUCAAGAUAGAAUAAGUAUUACGGUGGGUGAACAAAUUAAUGUUGAUCAAUUGAUAGAAAAGCGAAUAAUUAUGAGAUUAUCUAGGCAUGAUCAUGUAUAUAGGCAUCAUGUCCGCAACAAGUAGACCGACUCCUGCCUGCAUCUACUACUAUUACUCCACACAUCGACGGACUCCUACCUGCAUCUAGAGUACUAAGUUCAUAAGAACAGAGUAACGCCUUAAGCAAGAUGACAUGAUGUAGAGGGAUAAAUUCAUGCAAUAUGAUAUAAACCCCAUCUUUUUAUCCUCGAUGGCAACAAUACAAUACGUGCCUUGCAACCCUUUCUAUCACUAGGUAAGGACACCGCAAGAUUGAACCCAAAGCUAAGCACUUCUCCCAUUGCAAGAAAGAACAAUCUAGUAGGCCAAACCAAACUUAUAUUUCGAAGAGACUUGCAAAGAUAACUCAAUCAUACAUAAAAGAAUUCAGAGGAGAUUCAAAUAUUUCUCAUAGAUAAACUUGAUCAUGAACCCACAAUUCAUCGGAUCUCGACAAACACACCGCAAAAAGAGUUUACAUCGAAUAGAUCUCCACAAGAGAGGGGGAGACCAUUGUAUUGAGAUCCAAAAAGAGAGAAGAAGCCAUCUAGCUAAUAACUAUGGACCCGAAUGUCUGUGGUAAACUACUCACAACUCAUUGGAGGGGCUAUGGUGUUGAUGUAGAAGAACUUCCGUGGUCGAUUCCCCCUCCGGCAGAGCGCCGGCGAAGGCUCCAAGAUGGGAUCUCGCAGAUACAGAAGGUUACGGCGGUGGAAAUUGUGUUUCGUUGGUUCUCUGGAUGUUUUUGGGGUACGUAGGCUUAUAUAGGAGGAAGAAGUACGUUGGUGGCCACCUGAGGGGCCCAUGAGACAUGGGGGCGCGCCAUAUAGGUGGGGGCGCUCUACCCUCUCGUGGCCUCCUCGGCUGCUUCUUGACUUGCACUCCAAGUCCUCUGGAUCACGUUCGUUCCAAAAAUCACGCUCCCGAUGGUUUCAUUCCGUUUGGACUCCAUUUGAUAUUCCUUUUCUUCGAAAUACUGAAAUAGGCAAAAACGAAUAGCAAUACGGGCCGGGCCUCCGGUUAGUAGGUUAGUCCCAAAAAUGAUAUAAAUGUGUAAAAUAAAGCCCAUAAACAUCCAAAAGGGGUAAUAUAAUAGCAUGGAACAAUCAAAAAUUAUAGAUACGUUGGAGACGUAUCAAGCAUCCCCCAAGCUUAAUUCCUGCUUGUCCUCGAGUAGGUAAAUGAUAAAAAUAGAAUUUUUGGUGUGGAAUUCUACCUAGCAUAAUUCUCAAGGUAAUUUUCUUUAUUGUGGCAUGAAUGUUCAGAUCCAAAUGAUUCAAAAUAAAAGUUCAUAUUGACAUAAGAAAUAGUGAUACUUCAAGCAUACUAAUCAAAGUAAUUAUGUCUUCUCAAAAUAACAUGGCCAAAGAAAGUUAUCCCUACAAAAUCAUAUAGUCUGGCUGUUGCUCUAUCUUCAUCACACAAAGUAUUUAAUCAUGCACAACCCCGAUGACAAGCCAAGCAAUUGUUUCAUACUUUAAUAAUCUCAAACUUUUUCAACUUUCACGCAAUACAUGAGCGUGAGCCAUGGACAUAGCACUAUAUGUGGAAUAGAAUGGUGGUUGUGGAGAAGACAAAAAAGGAGAAGAUAGUCUCACAUCAACUAGGCAUAUCAACGGGCUAUGGAGAUGCCCAUUAAUAGAUAUCAAUGUGAGUGAGUAGGGAUUGCCAUGCAACAGAUGCACUAGAGCUAUAAAUAUAUGAAAGCUCAACAAAAGAAACUAUGUGGGUGUGCAUCCAACUUGCUUGCUCACGAAGACCUAGGGCAUUUUGAGGAAGCCCAUCAUUGGAAUAUACAAGCCUAGUUCUAUAAUGAAAAAUUCCCACUAGUAUAUGAAAGUGACAACAUAGGAGACUCUCUAUCAUGAAGAUCAUGGUGCUAAUUUAAAGCACAAGUCUGGAAAAAGAGAUAGUAGGAUUGUCCCUUCUCUCUUUUUCUCUCAUUUUAUUUUUUUCUUUUCUUCUUUUUUUCUCUUUUUUUUUCUUCGGCCUUUCUUUUUUUGGACUUUUUUUUGUAAAGUCCGAAGUCUCAUCCCGACUUGUGGGGGAAUCAUAGCCUUCAUCAUCCUUUCCUCACUGGGACAAUGCUCUAAUAAUGAAGAUCAUCACACUUUUUUGGAUUUACAACUCAAGAAUUACAACUCAAAGCUAGAACAAGAUAUGACUCUAUAUGAAUGCCUCCGGCGGUGUACCGGGAUAUGCAAUGAAUCAAGAGCGACAUGUAUGAAAAUUAUGAAGGUGGCCUUGCCACAAAUACGAUGUCAACUACAUGAUCAUGCAAAGAGCAAUAUGACAAAAGUAAUGCAUGUCAUAUGAACGGAACGAUGCAAAGUUGCAUGGCAAUAUAUCUCGAAAUGGCUAUGGAAAUGCCAUAAUAGGUAGGUAUGGUGGCUGUUUUGAGGAAGGUAUAUGGUGGGUGUAUGGUACCGGCAAAAGUUGCGCGACACAAGAGAGGCUAGCAAUGGUGUAAGGGUGAGGGUGCGUAUAAUCCAUGGACUCAACAUUAGUCAAAAGAACUCAUAUACUUAUUGCAAAAAUCUAGAAGUUAUCAAAAACAAAGUACUACGCGCAUGCUCCUAGGGGAAUAGAUUGGUAGGAAAAGACCAUCGCUUGUCCCCGACCGCCACUCAUAAGGAAGACAAUCAAUAAAUAAAAUUGUGCUCCAACUUCAUCACAAAGCGGUUCACCAUAUGUGCAUGCUACGGGAAUCACAAACUUCAACACAAGCAUUCUUUAAAUUCAUAAUCACCCAACUAGCAUGACUUUAAUAUCAAUACCUCCAUAUCUCAAAACAAUUAUCAAGUAUCAAAUUGAUCAUAGCAUCCAUUUCACUUUCUAUGAUAGUUUUUAUUAUACCCAGCUUGGAUGCUCAUCAUUCUAGGACCAAAUUUGUAACCAUAGAAAAUACCAUGCUGUUAUAAAAGACUCUCAAAAUAAUAUAAGUGAAGCCUGUGAGACUAGCAAUUUCUUCAAAAUUAGGUCACCACCGUGCUCUAAAAGAUAUAAGUGAAGCACUAGAACAAAAACUAUCAAGCUCAAAAGAUAUAAGUGAAGCACAUAGAGUAUUCUAGCAAAUUCUAAUCAAGUAGGCUUCUCCCAAAAGGUGUGUACAUCAAGGAUGAUUGUGGUAAACUAAAAAGCAAAUACUAAUAUAAUACACGACGCUACAAGCAAAACACAUAUCAUAUGGCGAAUAAAAAUAUAGCUCCAAGUAAAGUUACCAAUGAACGAAGACGAAAGAGGGGAUGCCUUCCCAGGGCAUCCCCAAGCUUAGGAUUUUGGCUAUCCUUGAAUAUAUUGGGGUGCCAUGGGCAUCCCCAAGCUUAGGCUCUUGCCACUCCUUAUUCCAUAGUCAAUAAAAGCUUUACCCAAAACUUGAAAACUUCACAAUAAAAAACUCAACAGGAAAUCUUAUAAGCUCCGUUAGUGAAAGAAAACCAAACCACCACAUAAGGUACUGUAAUGAACUCAUUCUUUAUUUAUUUUGGUGUUAAACCUACUGUAUUCAAACUUCUCUAUGGUUUAUAAACUAUUUUACUAGCCAUAGAUGCAUCAAAAUAAGCAAACAACACACGAAAAACAGAAUCUGUGAAAAACAGAACAGUAUGUAGAAAUCUGUAACUAACGCAAACUUCUGGAACUCUAAAAAUUCUACCAAAGUAGGAAGUCCUGGAAAAUUUGUCUACUGAUCAGCAGCAAAAAGAAUCAACGCAAAACCACAUUUAUGUGAUUUAACAAAACUAAAUGCAUGCGCGCAAAGUUUCUGUUUUUCAGCAGAAUCAAAUCAACUAUCAUCAUAGGUUAUCCUAUAGGUUCUACUUGGCACAAACACUAAUUAAAAGAUAAAAACACAUCUAAACAGAAGGUAGAUACAAGAUUUAUUACUAAACAGGAACAAAAACAAAAAAUACAAAGAAAUUUGGGUUGCCUCCCAACUAGCGCUAUCGUUUAACCCCCCCUAGCUAGGCAUAAAAGCGAAGAUAGAUCUAAGUAGUGUCAUCUUUGGCACUAAAUUCAUAAGUAGCUCGCAGGAUAGAUUCAUAAGGUAAUUUGACUUUCUUUCUUGGAAACUGCUCCAUGCCUUUCUUUAAUAAAAAAUGGAAUCUAAUAUUCCCUUCCUUCAUAUCAAUAAUCGCGCCAAUCGUUCUAAGGAAAGGUCUACCAAUAAUAAUAGGGCAAGAAAGAUUGCGAUCUAUAUCAAGAACGAUAAAAUCUACGGGCACCAAAUUUCUAUUUGCAACAAUGAGAACAUCAUUGAUUCUUCCCAUUGGCUUUUUAAUGGGGGAAUCCGCAAGGUGCAAAUUUAAAGAGCAAUCAUCAAGAUCAUGUAAACCUAUAAUAUCACAUAAAGUUUUUGGAAUCGUGGAAACACUAGCACCCAAAUCACACAAAGCAAAACACUCAUGAUCUUUAAUUCUAAUCUUUAUAGUAGGUUCCCACUCAUCUUUAAGUUUUCUAGGUAUAAAAACUUCCAAAUUAAGUUUUUCAUCAUAAGAUUGCAUCAAGGCAUCAAUGAUAUGUUCGGUAAAAGCUUUAUUUUGACUAUAAGCAUGAGGAGAAUUAACAACGGAUUGCAACAAGGAAAUACAACCUUCUAAAGAACAAUUAUCAUAAUCAAAUUCCCUGAAAUCUGAGAUAGUGGGUUCAAUACUAUUUAAAGUCAUGACCUCUCCAAUCCCACUUUUACCAAAUUUAGCAUCAAGAUCUAAAAAUUCUGAAUUCUUGGGAUGCCUUCUAGGUAAAGUUGACUCAUCUUCAAUCCCAUAAUUAUCAAGAUUCAUAUUGCAAAACAAAGAUCUAAUAGGAGAUGUGUCAAUAACUUUAAGAUCUUCAUCAUUAUUUUCAUCUAACUUUUCUGGUUUGGCGGCCAUCUUAUUGACUAAGGUGGCUUGCUUAUCAGAAAUAUGGGCUAUAGCAUUUUCAAGCCGAGUAAUUUGAGAGUUCACAGCAUAAAAUUCUUUAUUCAUAUCAUCAAGCUCUUUGUUCAUAAACCCCAAAAAAUCUUUUUGUUCCUUAAGCUCUUUUCUGAAGAAAUUAUUAUGCUCAAAUUGCAAAUUCAUAAAGCUUCUAAUAUUUGAUUCAAUCUCUUCCAACCUUCUAAGAAGGUGGUCGGUACUCUUAGGAAAAGCCAUAAGGACAAACUAGCACACAAGCAAACAGAAAAAGGGCAAGCGAAAAGAGAGGGAGAGAUUGGGAAAGAGAGGGCGAAUAAAACGGCAAGGGUGAAGUGGGGGAGAGAAAAACGAGAGGCAAAUGGCGAGUAAUGUAAAUGCGAGGGAGAUGGGUUUGUGAUGGGUACUUGGUAUGUCUUGACUUGAGCGAAGACCUCCCCGGCAACGGCGCCAGAAAUCCUUCUUGCUACGUCUUGAGCUUGCGUUGGUUUUCCUUGAAGAGGAAAGGGUGAUGCAGCAACAGUAGCGUAAGUAUUUCCCUCAGUUUUUGAGAGCCAAGGUAUCAAUCCAGUAGGAGGCUCCUCAAAAGUCCCACGCACCUACACAAACAAACCAAGAACUCGCAACCAACGCAAUAAAGGGGUUGUCAAUCCCUUCACGGCCACUUGCGAAAGUGAGAUCUAAUAGAGAUAGUAAGAUAAGAUAAAUAUAUUCUUGGUAUUUUAUAAUAUAGAUGCAAAAAGUAAAGAUGCAAAUAAAAGUAGAUUGAAAGCAAAUAUGAUAGGAGAUAGACCCGGGGGCCAUAGGUUUCACUAGUGGCUUCUCUCAAGAUAGCAUAAGUAUUACGGUGGGUGAACAAAUUACUGUCGAGCAAUUGAUAGAAAAGCAAAUAAUUAUGAGAUUAUGUAGGCAUGAUCAUGUAUAUAGGCAUCACGUCCGCAAGAAGUGGAUCGACUCCUGCCUGCAUCUACCACUAUUACUCCACACAUUGACCGACUUCUGCCUGCAUCUAGAGUAUUAAGUUCAUAAGAACAGAGUAACGCCUUAAGCAAGAUGACAUGAUGUAGAGGGAUAAAUUCAUGCAACAUGAUAUAAACCCCAUCUUUUUAUCCUCGAUGGCAACAAUACAAUACGUGCCUUGCAAUCCUUUCUGUCACUGGGUAAGGACACCGCAAGAUUGAACCCAAAGCUAAGCACUUCUCCCAUUGCAAGAAAGAUCAAUCUAGUAGGCGAAACCAAACUUAUAUUUCGAAGAGACUUGCAAAGAUAACUCAAUCAUACAUAAAAGAAUUCAAAGGAGAUUCAAAUAUUUCUCAUAGAUAAACUUGAUCAUAAACCCACAAUUCAUCGAAUCUUGACAAAACACACCGCAAAAAGAGUUUACAUCGAAUAGAUCUCCACAAGAGAGGGGGGAACAUUGUAUUGAGAUCCAAAAAGAGAGAAGAAGCCAUCUAGCUAAUAACUAUAGACCCGAAGGUCUGUGGUAAAUUACUCACAACUCAUCGGAGGGGCUAUGGUGUUGAUGUAGAAGCCCACCAUGGUCGAUUCCCCCUCCAGCAGAGCGCUGGCGAAGGCUCCAAGAUGGGAUCUCGUGGAUACAGAAGGUUACGGCGGUGGAAAUUGUGUUUCGUUGGCUCCCUGGAUGUUUUUGGGGUAUGUAGGCUUAUAUAGGAGGAAGAAGUACGUCGGUGGCCACCCAAGGGGCCCACGAGAUAGUGGGACGCGCCCUAUAAGGGGGGGGCGCCCUACCCUCUCGCGGCCGCCUCGGCUGCUUCUUGACUUGCACUCCAAGUCCUCUGGAUCACGUUCGUUCCAAAAAUCACGCUCCCGAAGAUUUCAUUCCGUUUGGACUCCGUUUGAUAUUCCUUUUCUUUGAAAUACUGAAAUAGGCAAAAAAAAACAAUGAUACGUCCAUUUUGCAUCAUGCUUUUAUACCAAUAUUUAUUGCAUUAUGGGCUGUUAUUACACAUUAUAUCUCAAUACUUAUGGCUGUUCUCUCUUAUUUUACAAGGUUUACCAUGAAGAGGGGGAAUGCCGGCACCUGGAAUUCUGGCUGGAAAAGGGGCAAACAUUGGAAACCUAUUCUGCACAACUCCAAAAGUCCUGAAACUCCACAAAGCAACUUUUUGGAUUUAAUAAGAAUUUAUGAGCGAAAGAAAUAGGCUAGGGGGCCCACACCCUGUCCAGGUGACAGGAGGGCGCCCCCCUGUAGGGCGCGGCCCCCUAUCUCCUGGGCCCCCUGGUGGGCCUUUGGCAUCCAUCUUCUGCUAUAUCAUCACUUUUACCCUGGAAAAAAUCAUCGGCAAGCUUACGGGAUGAAACUUCACCGCCACGAGGCGGAACCUUGGCGGAAUCAAUCUAGGGCUCUGGCGGAGCUGUUCUGCCGGGGACACCUCCCUCCGGGAGGGGGAAAUAAUCACCAACGUCAUCACCAACGAUCCUCUCAUCGGGAGGGGGUCAAUCUCCAUCAACAUCUUCACCAGCACCAUCUCCUCUCAAAACCCUAGUUCAUCUCUUGUAUCCAAUCUUGUAUCAAAACCACAAAUUGGUACCUGUGGGUUGCUAGUAGUGUUGAUUACUCCUUGUAGUUGAUGCUAUUUGGUUUACUUGGUGGAAGAUCAUAUAUUCAGAUCCUUUAUGCAUAUUAAUACCCCUCUGAUUAUGAACAUGAAUAUGCUUUGUGAGUAGUUACAUUUGUUCCUGAGGACAUGGGUGAAGUCUUGCUAUUAGUAGUCAUGUGAAUUUGGUAUUCGUUCGAUAUUUUGAUGAGAUGUAUGUUGUCUUUCCUCUAGUGGUGUUAUGUGAACGUCGACUACAUGACACUUCACCAUUAUUUGGGCCUAGAGGAAGGCAUAGGGAAGUAAUAAGUAGAUGAUGGGUUGCUAAAGUGACAGAAGCUGAAACCCUAGUUUAUGCGUUGCUUCGUUAGGGGUUGUUAUGGACCCAUAUGUUUAAUGAUGUGGGUAGGUUUACCUUAAUACUCCUUUUUGUAUUUGCGGACGCUUGCAAUAGGGGUUAAUCAUAUGUGGGAUGCUUGUCCAUGUUAGGGCAGUACCCAAGUGCCGUUCCACCCACAUAUCAAAUUAUCAAAGUAGCGAACGCGAAUCUUAUGAACGUGAUGAAAACUAGCUUGACGAUAAUUCCCAAUGUGUUCUCGGGAGCUCCUUCUUCAUUAUUAGAAUUUUUCCAGGCUUAUCCUUUGCUACAUAAAGGAUUGGGCCACCUUGCUGCACUUUAUUUACUUUAUUUACUUUUUGCUCGUUACUAUUUAUCUUAUCACAAAACUAUCUAUCACCUACUAUUUUAGUGCUUGCAGAGAAAACCUUACUGAAAACCGCGUAUCAUUUCCUUCUGCUCCUUGUUGGGUUCGACACUAUUACUUAUCGAAAGGACUACGAUAGAUCCCCUAUACUUGUGGGUCAUCAAGACUCUUUUCUGGCGCCGUUGCUGGGGAGCGUAGCGUUUUUGGUGAGUUGAACUUGGUAAGGAAACAUUUAUAUAGUGUGCUGAAAUUUUCUGUUACUUGUCACCAUGGAAACUAAUCCCUUGAGGGGAUUGUUUGGGGUAUCUUCACCCCAACCAGAAGAGCAAAGAGAUGCUCCUCAACCUACUGAACUUUAUGAAAAUAUUCACUUUGAGAUUCCUUCGGGUAUGAUAGAAAAACUGCUAGCUAAUCCUUUUGCAGGAGACGGAACAUUGCAUCCCGAUUUACACCUUAUCUUUGUGGAUGAAGUUUGUGGAAUAUUUAAGCUUGCAGGUAUUCCCGGUGAUGUUGUCAAAAGGAAGGUCUUCCCUUUAUCUUUGAAGGGAGAUGCAAUGACAUGGUAUAGGCUAUGUGAUGAUACGAGAUAUUGGAAUUAUAAGCGAUUGAAGUUGGAAUUUCACCAGAAGUUCUAUCAUAUGCAUCUUGUUCAUCGUGAUCGUAAUUACAUAUAUAAUUUCUGGCCUCGCGAAGGAGAAAGCAUCGCUCAAGCUUGGGGGAGGCUUAAGUCAAUGUUAUAUUCAUGCCUCAAUCAUGAGCUCUCUCGGGAAAUGAUUAUUCAGAAUUUUUAUGCUCGGCUUUCUCUUGAUAAUCGCAACCUGCUCAAUACUUCCUGUGCUGGUUCUUAUAUGCUGAAGACUAUUGAUUUCAAAUGGGACUUAUUGGAAAGAAUUAAACGCAACUCUGAAGAUUGGGGUUCCAACGAUGGUAAGGAGUCAGGUAUGACACCUAAGUUUGAUUGUGUUAAAUCUUUUAUGGAUACCGAUGCUUUCCGUGGAUUUAGCUCUAAGUAUGGACUUGACUCUGAGAUAGUAGCUACUUUUUGUGAAACUUUUGCUACUCAUGUUGAUCUCCCUAAAGAGAAGUGGUUCAAAUAUAAUCCUCCUCUUGAAGUGAAAGUAGUUGCACCUAUUACAGUCGAAGAAAAGAUUAUUACAUAUAGUGAUCCCAUUGUUCCUACUGCUUAUGUUGAAAAACCUCCUUUUCCUGUUAGGAUAAAAGAUCAUGCCAAAGCUUCGACUGUUGUUCAUAAGAGUAAUACUAGGACCUAUACACCUCCUAAACAAAUUAAUGUUGAACCUAGUAUUGCUAUGGUUAAAGAUCUCUUGGACAAGGAUUUAGAUGGGCAUGUUAUUUCUUUCUUGGGUGAGACUGCUAAUAUUCCUAGACCUGAUACUAAGACACCUAGACCUAUUAUAGGCACGCCUGUUAUUUCUGUUAAAAUAGGAGAUCAUUGUUAUCAUGGCUUAUGUGCUAUGGGUGCUAGUGCUAGUGCAAUACCUUAUGAUCUUUAUAAAGAAAUUAUUCACGAUAUUGCACCUGUUGAAUUAGAAGACAUUGACGUUACUAUUAAGCUUGCCAAUAGGGAUACCAUCAAACCUAUUGGGAUUGUUAGAGAUGUUGAAGUUUUGUGCGGGAAGGUUAAAUACCCUGCUGAUUUUCUUGUUCUUGCUUCCCCACAAGAUGAUUUUUGUCCCAUUAUUUUUGGUAGACCCUUCUUGAAUACUGCUAGUGCUAAGAUUAAUUGUAAAAGGAAGGUCGUCACUAUUGGCAUAGAUGGUAUGUCUCAUGAGUUUAUUUUUUCUAAGUUUAGUAGACAACCUCGUGAAAGGGAACCACCUAGUAAGGAUGAAAAUAUUGGUCUUGCCUCCAUUGUUGUUCCUCCAACUGAUCCGUUAGAACAAUAUUUGCUAGACCAUGAAAACGAUAUGUUUAUGAAGGAACGGGAAGAAAUAGAUGAAGUGUUCCUUAAACAAGAACCUAUGCUGAAACAUAACCUUCCCGUUGAAAUUCUUGGGGAUCCCCGUCCACCCAAGGGUGAUCCCAUUUUUGAACUCAAACCAUUACCUGAUAAUCUUAAGUAUGCUUAUCUUGAUGAAAAAGAAAUAUAUCCUAUUAUUAUUAGUGCUAACCUUUCAGAGAAAGAAGAAGAAAGAUUAUUGAAAACUAUGAAGAAGCACCGAGCUGCUAUUGGAUAUACCCUGGAUGAUCUUAAGGGCAUUAGUCCCACAUUAUGUCAACACAAAAUUUCAGUGGAGAAAGAUGCCAAACCAGUUAGAGAUCCUCAAAGAUGAUUAAAUCCCAAAAUGAAGGAAGUGGUAAGAAAGGAGAUUCUAAAACUCCUUGAGGCAGGUAUUAUUUAUCUCGUUGCUGAUAGUGAAUGGGUAAGCCCUAUCCAUUGUGUCCCUAAAAAGGGAGGUAUUACCGUUGUUCCUAAUGAUAAAGAUGAAUUGAUCCCGCAAAGAAUAAUUACAGGUUAUAGCAUGGUGAUUGAUUUUCGUAAGUUAAAUAAAGCUACUAAGAAAGAUCAUUACCCUUUACCUUUUAUUGAUCAAACUAGACCAUGAUGACGCGUGUUGCUGCGCCCGCCAAUUUUAAUGAUCCAAAUAGGAGUUUGUGUAAAUUUUAUGAAGGUAAAAGAGAUUUCAACUCCAUAUAUCAUUCAUGCAAGCUUAUGAUGUCCAUCUUCGGCUUACAAAGCUUACACCCACACCAUCAUUUGUUGAAAUUCAUUCUGCUAGGCGGAACAAUUUUUCGUAAUAGCUAAAUGGCCAUAUUGUGAGGCAUGUAACUGGAAUAUGCUACAUGCUUAUUCAUAAUCUACUAAUGGUGUAAAUGAAAUAAUCAUUUUUAUCUCAGUUUCAUAUAGUAUAAAAGGCUACACCUGUAUAGACCGAUGCUUUUUUAUAGGCACCUGCAUGGCCGCUGUCGAGAAGUUUGUUAUUUAAGAAUUAUGCAAAAGUAGCUUAUCAAUUUAGCGCAACCUGGGAGCAAGGUGCCAACAGUAUAUCGUGGACCUUUAAUAUUUUAUAAUGUGCCAGUAUAACCUGGGAGCAGGGUGUCAACAUAAUCUCUUAAUGUCCAGAAGUUUAUUAAGUAAACCCACAUCUUUUAACAAAAACUGAGAAGUAAAGGAACAAACGUUUGUGCACUCGAGGACAACAGAUGAGUUUAAUCAAUCAUGUCCGCGGUGUGGUUAUUAUCCCAUCUCAUAAUAGAGAUAUGGGAGAACGCGUAGAGCAAGGUCAGGAAGGAAGAGAAGAUUCAAGACCAUAGGGAAAAGGGAAAUGAAGGUGGCAGCAUGGGGCAAGGAAAAUGAAGGAAAUUAAGACUGCUAGCAAGAUCCGGGAGCUUCGUAGCCAGGCUUGUGCCAUCAGAUCGACCGGUUGAUUUAGUAACACACCUUUAUAAUCAUAUUAUUAACGGGAACUCCAAGGGACGCACCGAUGAAAUCCGGAGGCAGUACGGCGACAGCAUGCGCCGCUGCGUCUUGGAUUUCUUUUGAGGGGACGCUGCGUCGUGGAUGAAUAGUCGUUUUUUGAGGAGGAUUCGAGGGGAGCAGCGACGGAGAUACAGUAAAUGGGCCAAAGUUUUACUUUGCUGGGCCUGUACUUGCACAACCCGAUUAAGGAGAUGACGACCAGGUCCACCUGUGGAGCAGCGGCCCGAUAAUGUUGGCCGAGCGGGGUACACAGGUGACGGGGAAAAGUAAGUCAGAAUCUACCCGAGGGCGACCGUUGAUGAGCAUAAUCGGACGGUUAGCACACUUAAAUCGCUGUGGGGGGCCGUAGGUAGCCCCGUUUUACUGUUCAGUAAUGCUAGAAAGGCUAUCCAAACACACACAUUUUUGCUUUCUAGAUGGUUAUUCUGGUUUUUCUCAAAUACAUGUGUCCGCGAAGGAUCAAUCUAAAACUAAUUUUACUUGCCCUUUUGGUACUUUUGCUUAUACACGUAUGCCUUUCAGUUUAUGUAAUGCACCUACUACCUUUCAAAGAUGCAUGAUGGCUAUAUUUUCUGAUUUUUGUGAAAAGAUUUGUGAGGUAUUUAUGGAUGACUUCUCCGUCUAUGAAUCCUCUUUUGAUGAUUGUUUGAGCAACCUUGAUCGAGUUUUGCAGAGAUGCGAAGACACUAGUCUCGUCCUGAAUUGGGAAAAGUGUCACUUUAUGGUUAAUGAAGGCAUUGUCUUGGGGCACAAGAUCUCCGAGAGAGGUAUUGAAGUUGAUAAAGCCAAAGUUGAUGCUAUUGAAAAGAUGCCAUUCCCAAGGACAUAAAAGGUAUAAGAAGUUUCCUUGGUCAUGCCGGCUUUUAUAGGAGGUUCAUUAAGGACUUUUCUAAAAUCUCUAGGCCUCUGCCUAAUUUAUUGCAAAAAGAUAUUCCUUUUGUCUUUGAUGAUGAUUGUGUAGAAGCAUUUGAAACACUUAAGAAAGCUUUGAUCACUGCACCUAUUGUUCAGCCACCUGAUUGGAAUUUACCUUUUGAAAUUAUGUGCGAUGCUAGUGAUUAUGCUAUAGGUGUUGUUUUAGGGAAAAGAGUUGAUAAGAAAUUGAAUGUUAUCCAGUAUGCUAGUAAGACUCUUGAUACUGCCCAGAGAAAUUAUGCUACUACUGAAAAAGAGUUCUUAGCAGUUGUGUUUGCAUGUGAUAAGUUUAGACCUUAUAUUGUUGAUUCCAAAGUUACUAUUCACACUGAUCAUGCUGCUAUUAAAUAUCUUAUGGAAAAGAAAGAUGCUAAGCCUAGACUCAUUAGAUGGGUUCUCUUGCUCCAAGAAUUUGACUUGCAUAUUAUUGAUAGAAAGGGAGCUGAGAACCCUGUUGCAGACAACUUAUCUAGGCUAGAGAAUGUUCUUGAUGACCCACUGCCUAUUAAUGAUUGUUUUCCUGAUGAACAAUUAGCGGUUGUCAAUGCUUCUCGUACUGCUCCUUGUUAUGCUGAUUAUGCUAAUUACAUUGUUGCUAAAUAUAUACCGCCUAGUUUCACAUACCAGCAAAAGAAAAAGUUCUUUUAUGGUUUAAGACAUUACUUCUAGGAUGAUCCUCACCUUUAUAAAGAAGGAGUAGAUGGUAUUAUUAGAAGUUGUGUGCCUGAGCAUGAACAAGAACAAAUCCUACGCAAGUGUCACUCUGAAUCUUAUGGAGGACACCACGCUGGAGAUAGAACUACACACAAGGUACUACAAUCUGGUUUUUAUUGGCCUACUCUCUUCAAAGAUGCUCGUAAGUUUGUCUUAUCUUGUAAUGAAUGUCAAAGAAUAGGUAACAUUAGUAGACGUCAAGAAAUUCGUAUGAAUUAUUCUCUUGUUAUUGACCCGUUUGAUGUUUGGGGCUUUGAUUAUAUGGGACCUUUUCCUGCCUCCAAUGGUUAUACACAUAUUUUAGUUGAUGUUGAUUACAUUACUAAGUGGGUAGAAGCUAUUCCAACUAGUAGUGCUGAUCAUAACACUUCUAUUAAAAUGCUUAAAGAAGUUAUUUUUCCAAGGUUUGGAGUCCCUAGAUAUCUUAUGACUGAUGGUGGUUCACACUUUAUUCAUGGUGCUUUUCGUAAGAUGCUUGCUAAGUAUGAUGUCAAUCAUAGAAUCGCAUCUCCUUAUAACCCGCAGUCUAGUGGUCAAGUAGAGUUGAGCAAUAGAGAGCUCAAAUUAAUUUUGCAAAAGACUAUGAAUAGAUCUAGAAAGAAUUGGUCCAACAAACUUGAUGAUGCAUUAUGGGCCUAUAGAACUGCAUACAAAAAUCCUAUGGGUAUGUCUCCAUAUAAGAUGGUUUAUGGAAAAGCAUGUCAUUUACCUCUUGAACUUGAACAUAAAGCAUAUUGGGCUAUUAAAGAGCUCAAUUAUGACUUCAAACUUGCCGGUGAGAAAAGGUUAUUUCAUAUUAGCUCACUUGAUGAACGGAGAACCCAAGCAUAUGAGAAUGCCAAGCUUUUCAAAGAAAAAGUCAAACACUGGCAUGAUAAGAGGAUACAAAAGCGUGAGUUUAACGUAGGAGAUUAUGUGUUAUUAUUCAACUCUCGUUUAAGAUUUUUUGCAGGAAAACUUCUCUCAAAAUGGGAAGGUCCCUACGUUAUCGAGGAGGUCUAUCGAUCUGGUGCUAUAAAAAUCAACAACUUCGAAGGUACAAAUCUGAGGGUGGUAAAUGGUCAAAGAAUUAAACAUUAUAUUUCAGGUAAUCCUAUCAAUGUUGAAACUAAUAUUAUUGAAACCAUAACCCCUGAGGAAUACAUAAGAGACACUUUCUAGAACGUUCGAGACUCCGAAAAGGCAUAGGUACGUGGUACGGUAAGUAAACCGACUCCAAAACAACUCUAAUGGCAAUUUUCAUCAGUUUUCGAUUAUUUAAGAAUUUUAGGAAGAAAGAAGUUGUCCGAAAGGGACACGAGGCUCCCACGAGAGAGGAGGUCGCGCCCCCCUGUAGGGCGCGCCCCCUGUCUCGUGGGCACCUGGUGUGCCUCCCGGACUCCGUUUUCUUGUAUGUUACGUAUUUUGGUCGAUAAAAAUUCAUUAUAUAUACUCUCGAAGGUUUUGACCACCCUAUCACACAAAUAUCCUCUGUUUUUGUUUCGAGCUGUUCCUGUUGCAGAAUAAAGCAAGAUGUCUUCUCAGGAGUCAGUUGGGGAGAGCCGGGUGUCUCACCCAAUGCCAGGUCCAGGAGCAAAUAGCGACGCCUAUCAUUUUGGACCAUCAACGGAGGAUGAGAUGGAGGCUGGUUUGAAAAUAAUAGAUGCCAUGGAGGAGGAUCAAGAAGUUACCUCUCGUCUUCGAGCAGAAUUCACUAUGGGGGAACUACCUAGCCUGGCUGUCCCUACUUAGGUCACUCCUUCCAACUCUAGAUUUCUUUCUUAUGAAAAUAUGAAAAAGAGUUUCACUUGUUCUCCAGAAGCUAUGCAACAUCCUUGGGUAAAAGGAGCCUUGACCGUUACGGGCAAGCUCCGUAAGGAAAAUAUGGACCUCAAACAACAAGUCAAUAAGCUCGAGGAGGAGAACCGUAUCCUGAAGGGCAUAAUCGCCAAGAAGAUCAUAACACCAACCGUGAAGAAGAAGAAAUAAUCACAUGGGUAUUGGCACUCCCUUUGGCGACUGCCAAGCUUGGGGGAGGUGCCCCGGUAUCGUAUCACCAUCACACUCCUAUUUUUACCGCUUUAUUUAGUUCGAUCCUUUUAGUAGUAUCUUGAUCUAGUAGUUUGAAGUUUUUGAUAUCAAGUAGCUUUGAGUUUUGCAUUGUGAUCUCUUUAUGUAAUCGAGUCCAUGUGCUAUCUAUAAUAAAGAUUAGUGUUGAGUCAAGGGCUUUGCUAUGUUGCUAUGAUAUUGAGAAAGUAGAAAGAAUAAAAGAGUUCAUAUUCACACAUAGAAAGUAUGAGGCAUAAAAAUUGUUGAGAGUUGAUGAACGCAGUGUUGGUCAUCCUUGCAAUUAAUAGGAAGUGAUAAGGAAAGAGGGGUUCACAUAUAAAUAUAUUAUCGUGGACAUUUUCUAUAAUUGGGAGCACUCAUUAGGUAUGACAUGCUAAAAGAGUUGACGUUGGACAAGGAAGACAACGUAAUGGUUUAUGUUUUCCGACAUCUCAGUUAAAGUAUAUUGUCAUUGACCUUCCAAACAUGUUGAGCUUGCCUUUCCCCCUCAUGCUAUCCAAAUUCCUUGCACCAAGUAGAAAUACUACUUGUGCUUCCAAAUAUCCUUAAACCCAGUUUUGCCAUGAGAGUCCACCAUACCUACCUAUGGAUUGCGUAAGAUCCUUCAAGUAUGUUGUCAUCGGUGCAAGCAAUAAAAAUUGCUCUCUAAAUAUGCAUGACUUAUUAGUGCAGAGAAAAUAAGCUUUGUAUGAACUUGUUGUGGAAGUAAUAAAAGCGACGGAUUGCAUAAUAAAGGUCCACAUACAAGGGGCAACAUAAAGUGACGUUCUUUUCCAUUAAGAUUUUUUAUAUCCAACCCUAAAAGCGCAUGACAACCUCUGCUUCCCUCUGCGAAGGGCCUAUCUUUUAUUUUAUGUUUUUACUUUAUGCUUGAGUCAAGGUGAUCCUCACCUUUCCCUUUUUCAAUUUUAUCCUUUGGCAAGCUCUUCGUGUUUGAAAGAUCAUGAUAUAUAUAUCCAAUUGGAUGUAAGUUGGCAUAGGCUAUUAUUGUUGACAUCACCUAAAGGUGAAUACGUUGCGAGGCAACACAAGAAGCCCCUAUCUUUCUCAGUGUCCGGCUGAAACUCUAUAACCACAAGUAUUGCGUGAGUGUUAACAAUUAUGGGGGACUACGAGAUAGUUGAGUAUGCGAGCUUGUUGAAAAACUCUAUUAUUGACUCUUUCUGAUGUUACGAUAAAUUGCAAUUGCUUCAAUGACUGAGAUUAUAGUUUGUUAGUUCCCAAUGAAGUUUUUGAACCAUACUUGACAUUGUGAAUUCUUAUUACUUGAGCAUAGGAAAUCAUAUGACAAAAUCUAUAUAUGUUGCUUUUAUUAGAAUGAUCAUGAUGCCCUCAUGUCCGUAUUUUAUUUUUAUCGACACCUCAUCUCUAAACAUGUGGACAUAUUUUUCGAUUUAGGCUUCCGGUUGAGGACAAGCGAGGUCUAAGCUUGGGGGAGUUGAUACGUCCAUUUUGCAUCAUUCUUUUAUAUCAAUAUUUAUUUAUGGGCUGUUAUUACACAUUAUAUCUCAAUACUUAUGGCUAUUCUCUCUUAUUUUACAAGGUUUACCAUGAAGAGGGGGAAUGCCGACAGCUGGAAUUCUGGCUGGAAAAGAGCAAACGUUGGAAACCUAUUCUGCACAACUCCAAAAGUCCUAAAACUCCACGAAACAACUUUUGGGAUUUAAUAAGAAUUUAUGAGCGAAAGAAAUAGGCCAGGGGGCCCACACGCUGUCCAGGAGACAGGAGGGCGCCCCCCUGUAGGGCGCGACCCCCUAUCUCCUGGGCCCACUACUAGAAAAACCGCUACUAAUGGCGCACCUAAUUUGGCCAUUAAUGGCGCAUCACUGGUGCGCCAUUACUAGCACGCCAUUAGUAAUUUUUACUAAUGGCGCACCAGUGGUGCGCCAUUAGUAUCUGGUAUACUAAUGGCGCACCACUGGUGCGCCAUUAGUAUAGGCCACGGUGCACCAUUAGUAUGCCUCCCAGGGGCCAUGUAUACCCAGGUGCUUUGGCAUACUAAUGGCGCAUGACCAUGGGAUGCGCCAUUAGUAACCGCGGCAUACUACUAAUGGCGCACUGUCAUGUGAUGCGCCAUUAGUAUGAAUAUUAGUUUUUUUUUAUUAUUUUCUGUUUUUUGCACAGGUUACAAAAUGUAUAAUUUGACAAAAUAUAGACAUCACACAUAAACAACAGAUUCAUCGAAUACAAUAGAAGAUUAGUCUGUGAAUACAACUAGAUGACCAGUUGCGCCAAUGGCGCAAAGGCCGAGAGUAAGCCAUGUAUUGAAAGAGUAACAUUAAUAUUAUUCAGACACAUAUUGAAACAUAUGAAAAUAAGUACUUAUUGCUGGUAGAUAGAUACUUAGUAAUGAUACAUAGUGUUCUAAGAAGCUUAUGAUUAAUUAUUUACAAUGUUAUUAGCAAACAAAGUAGAUAGUCACAUAUAGGCGCUAUGAAGUGAUAAACAUUAGAUAGAGUCAUCGUUGCACCCUUGACCAUGGCACAAAAAGCGAGAGCGAGCCAAGCAUUCAAAGUAUGUGUAUGAGAUUGAUUUAGAAUCAACUUAUAAAGAUACUUAUAUUCCAUUACAUGAAAGCUAUGCUUGAAAGAAAAUAUUCCGAUCAAUUGGUGAUAGCAUACAUUGGCUUUAAAAGACAUGCUAUAUUAGCAUAGAUGAAUGGUGUAUAUAGUGCUUGCCCAUUAACCAUUGCUCGAGUCUUGUACCUGCCAUCAACAGGAAGGAAAGAACCUAUGACCCAGGCGGACGAACAACCUAGCCGUACACUGCAGACAGGACCAGAGGCCUAUAGAGGAACAAAAAUAAUCAAGCGACUGUAUGUAAAACAAUAAGCAGAUGGUACGCCACUGGGAGAGACUGUAUUUGAUACAUAUAACAAUUGAGCAUAUUUUUGGAACACCAACUGGACCAUGAAACAAACAUAUAUAGCAAGCCAAGAAAAGGAGGAAUCAUGAUGCCACAAUGAAAAGAGUAAGUCCAAUGGACACAACUACAGAAGUACAUGUCAUAGGACAAGAUGCAAAAUCUAUAUAUCAAUUAGAUAUAGAAACAAAAACAGGAAAGAGUAAUCAUAAUGAUCUGAGUAUGUUGUAGAUUUCCUACUGAAAUUAUAAUUUAAUAAAUUUAAUGUCAAGAGAAAUGCAAUGAGGAAAGGGCCUGUAACAUGGAGUUGGUCCAACCCAGCCUCUCUAAUUCAUGAAACAGUAAGUUAAUUGUCACAGUCUUCUAGUUAUUAAUGGUCCUGCGUCACUAAUCUCAACCAACGCCAAAAGUUUGUGAUCCCAUGAAUGUACUAAGCGAUUUCCAUCAAGCCUGGACCAGCUCUCUUAGAUACCCCUGCCAAAAAUAGGAAAAUGGAACUUUGAAUACUCUCAGCUUACACAAAAUAAAAAACUAUGCAGGACAUGAUAGACACUUAAAAUUGCAAAGUUCAUUCGAUGUCAUAAAGCAAAAGACUAAGAACCAUUAUGUACCAACCUGGACGUUGCCUCUUACUCCCUUAGAUAUCAUGGUUCAACAAAUAAACCUCUUACUCCCUAGAAAUAGUAAAUCCCGCCUUCAUCAAUUACAGGGAGGAGCUUCCAACUGGAUUUGAAGUACCAUUUGUAUUAUACCCUCCCUAUACCAGUAUAAAAAACAACAAUCUUUUCACCAUCAAUAGUUAUCCUGCAACAUCAUUUAACUCUCACAUGAUUUAGAGAGAGUAGUAAUGAAGCACAGAUAAUAACAUUUGUCAGAAAAGAGUAGGAGAGAAACAAACAGAGUACAAUUUGAAUGCUCAGAACAAUCAAAUUAAACACUACAGGGAAAACUAAGAACAAUCAACCUUAACUACUGUAGGGAAGAUAAAAGUCGUCUCAAAUUAACUGCUAUUGGCUUUACUAAUCUACUAUUGUUCAGACUGAUUAUCAACUACUACAGGAAAAACCAAGAACAAUUGACCGCAACUAUUGCAUGAAAGAUAAAGCAUUCUCAAAUUCUUUUUUCUUUCCGAGUUGAAUGACUCCAUCCAGACCAAAUGACCAAGCUGGUCAUAAAAAGGGACAUAAAAAAAUGUCGAUAGAAGUGAAUCAGUAAAAACAAAAACCAAAAACUGUAUGCGAAUAAUCAAGAUGGGAUGAGUGCUUUUAAGCACCAUGUCAAGAACCAGAGCCAUGGCGAAAAUUCUGGUGAUUUCAUAUGCAGAUAAAUGUGCAAAAGUAGCAAGAUGACUCAGACUGACAAACAAAUCUCUUGACAGUGCUCUUUGGCAAGUGCUGCAGAGAUGGAUAAUACUCAAUCAGUCUCUAUACCAAUGUCUCCUGUAGGCUGGGUGUAGUACACAGCUUUUGGGAGCUAUAGAGUGUGUUCAGCAUAGCAUCCAAAAUAACCCUUGGUGGAAUGUGUACAGGAUCCAUUAGGAAAUCCUAAGAUGAUUUUAUAAAUGUUAGAUUAUCGCUCAUAAAAAAGGCCAUAUAAGGAUUAUUGCCAUUGAUCAGUACUAUGCAUAUGUAGUAUGGUCAAAGAAGAUAGAUAUGAACAAUUGGUGUUAGCUACCAUGUCAGACUAAAACUAAAAGAACUUGUUGAGUAAUCAUAGAUAGCAGGAAAGUCUAUGUUGGUUGCAUUUAAUUAUUCAGUUUUAGUACAGGUGCUGUUCAAGAAUGGCAGAACCAUUUUCUACCAAAGCUCACUAUACUAAAGGCUUAUCCAAUGCCAUAGCAGAGCCGAUCAAAGAGGCACUAACGGACAGGGGUCUCGCAAAGUACAUCAUGAAUUUCCAUGUCUCAAUCUGGCAGUGUAAAACUGUAGGUUCCAUGGCUCAAAAAUAGCUAAGUGAUUUGAAUCUAAAAUAAACCUAGGUUUAUUACCUAUAAGGCCAUCCCCAGGAAUAUCAAUCUCUACACCAGCAAGCACAUGACCAUUCCCGUCGAUCUCACACAAGUAAAAAGGCGGAAGCAAUGCACAUUGUGCUGCCACAGUUCCAAAAUUGGAAGAACAAAGGACACCAGAGCACACAUUCUAGGUAAACGAAGUAAUUACACAAUACGAAGCAGGAAAGAAUAUAUGUAAGCACACAAAUAAAUAGUAUAAGGUGAGAGGAUAAAACAUUCCAUGCACAAUAAAACCGUUCUACCAAGAACGCUAAAGACACUAUGUUAGAGGAACAAAAUGUAUUGAAACAGUAAACAAUUAGCAGGGAAAGUACUAAUAAUAAUCACCUUCACAAGAUGAAAGAAAGCAGAUGAGGCCCUUGACGAGAUCAACAGCACUAGAAUCCCAAGAACAGACCUAGAAGAAAACAGUUCAUAAAUCAGGACACAACCAAGCUUUCUACCCACAAGGAAACUCUUCUACCAAGAAUGCUAAAAACAGUAUAUACAACAGCACGAGCAGAAGGGAAUAGGACAGAUCUUAACCCCAAACAGAAAAAGGAUUCUAAGCACGACCGCAUUUCAUCGAACAGGUAGAAAGCAAGCGGGGAAAAAGUGGCUUACCUCUGACGAAACAUAAAUCGCACAGUUCAGACCGACACAAGAAUCAAGAAUUAGAUCCUGCAAAGAAGAGAGAGGAAUCAGUUACACUUGGGUUGUUUUUUCUCUUAAAGAGGAUUGAAUCCUAACCCUAGAGCGAGAGGAAAAAAGAGAGAAGGAGAGGCAGGGGCGAAGAGGCAUAGCAGAGGAGGAGCAUGAGGAGCAGGCCUCCACAGCCAGAGCGCCGCCGACCGCCAUGGGAGAGAUUAGAUCCUGCAAAGAAGAGAGAGGAAUUAGUUACACUUGGGCGGGCGCGUCGCCGCCUGGUCGUCCUCCUUCUCAUGCAUCUGCCCCCUCCCUCUUCUCAUGCGACGGUGGUGUCGGGGCGGCGCUGGGGCGGCGGGGCGACGGUGGCGUCGAGGGCGGCGGGGUGACGGUGGUGUCGGGACGGGGCGACGGUGGCGUCGAGAGCGGUGGGGCGAUGGUGGUGUCGGGGCGGGGCGACGGUGGCGUCGGGAGAGGAGAUCGGGGAAGGGGAUCGCGGGCGAGGGCGAGGGAGAGAGAGGGGAUCAGUACGAAGUAGGGGCGCCACAAUACUAAUGGCGCACCACCCCUCGGUGCGCCAUAAGUACAUACAUGCUAAUGGCGCACCGCGGGUGAGUGCGCCAUUAGUAGUUUUGUAGAAAAAGGAAUAAAAAAUAAUAAAAAAACAACAUUAGUGGCGCACUUUCUGACUGGUGCGCCAUUACUAGUUACCACUAGUAAUGGCGCACUUCCUAUGGAUGCGCCAUUAGUAUGUUUGGACAGGCGCACUAGUUAAAAAAAAUUUGAUACUAAUGGCGCACCAUGGGCCAGGUGCGCCAUUAGUAGUUUCAACACUAAUGGCGCAUCAGAAGGUGGUGCGCCAUUAGUAUAUACUAAUGGCGAACCACUUGUCUGGUGCGCCAUUAGUGCCAAUCCCAUCUAUAGCCCUUUUUCUAGUAGUGGCCCCAUGGUGGGCCUCCGGCGUCCAUCUUCUGCUAUAUCAUCACUUUUACCCUGGAAAAAUCGUGGGCAAGCUUACGGGAUGAAACUCUGCCGCCACGAGGCGAAAUCUUGGCGAAAUCAAUCUAGGGCUCUGGCAGAGCUGUUCUGUCAGGGACACUUCCCUCUGGGAGGGGGAAAUCAUCACCAACGUCAUCACCAAUGAUCCUCUCAUCGGGAGGGGGUCAAUCUCCAUCAACAUCUUCACCAGCACCAUCUCCUCUCAAAACCCUAGUUCGUCUCUUGUAUCCAAUCUUGUAUCAAAACCACAAAUUGGUACCUGUGGGUUGCUAGUAGUGUUGAUUACUCCUUGUAGUUGAUGCUAUUUGGUUUACUUGGUGGAAGAUCAUAUGUUCAGAUCCUUUAUGCAUAUUAAUACCCCUCUGAUUAUGAACAUGAAUAUGCUUUGUGAGUAGUUACGUUUGUUCCUGAGGACAUGGGUGAAGUCUUGCUAUUAGUAGUCAUGUGAAUUUGGUAUUCGUUCGAUAUUUUGAUGAGAUGUAUGUUGUCUUUCCUCUAGUGGUGUUAUGUGAACGUCGACUACAUGACACUUCACCAUUAUUUGGGACUAGAGGAAGGCAUAGGGAAGUAAUAAGUAGAUGAUGGGUUGCUAGAGUGACAGAAGCUUAAACCCUAGUUUAUGUGUUGCUUCGUUAGGGGUUGUUAUGGACCCAUAUGUUUAAUGUUGUGGUUAGGUUUACCUUAAUACUCCUUUUUGUAGUUGCGAAUGCUUGCAAUAGGGGUUAAUCAUAAGUGGGAUGCUUGUCCAUGUUAGGGCAGUACCCAAGUGCCGGUCCACCCACAUAUCAAAUUAUCAAAGUACUGAACGCGAAUAUUAUGAACGUGGUGAAAACUAGCUUGACGAUAAUUUCCAAUGUGUCCUCAGGAGCUCCUUCUUCAUUAUUAGAAUUUGUCGAGGCUUAUCCUUUGAUACAUAAAGGAAUGGGCCACCUUGCUGCACUUUAUUUACUUUAUUUACUUUUUGCUUGUUACUAUUUAUCUUAUCACAAAACUAUCUAUCACGUACUAUUUCAGUGCUUGCAGAGAAAACCUUAUUGAAAACCGCUUAUUAUUUCCUUCUGCUCCUCGUUGGGUUCGACACUCUUACUUAUCGAAAGGACUAUGAUAGAUCCCCUAUACUUGUGGGUCAUCAAACAGUAAUACGGGAUGGGCCUUCGGUUAGUAGGUUAGUCCCAAAAAUGAUAUAAAUGUGUAAAAUAAAGCCCAUAAACAUCCAAAAGGGGUAAUAUAAUAGCAUGGAACAAUAAAAAAUUAUAGAUACGUUGGAGACGUAUCAUAGCUCCAUGCAGAGCAUUGUAGACAUAGAAAAUUUCCAAAAUACAUAAGGCUCUGAAUGUGACAGACCCGUUGACUAAACUUAUCUCACAAAUAAAACAUGAUCACACAUUAGUACUCUUUGGGUGUUAAUCACAUAGCGAUGUGAAUAAGAUUAUUGACUCUAGUAAACCCUUUUGGUGUUAGUCACAUGCCGAUGUGAACUAAUCACAUAAAGAUGUGAACUAUUGGUGUUAAAUCACAUGACGAUGUGAACUAGAUUAUUGACUCCAGUGCAAGUGGGAGACUGGAGGAAAUAUGCCCUAGAGGAAAUAAUAAAGUUGUUAUUUAUAUUUUCUUAUAUCAUGAUAAAUGUUUAUUAUUCAUGCUAGAAUUGUAUUAACUGGAAACUUAGUACAUGUGUGAAUACAUAGACAAAACAGAGUGUCCCUAGUAUGCAUCUACUUUACUAGCUCGUUGAUCAAAGAUGGUUAUGUUUCCUGACCAUAGACAUGUGUUGUGAUUUGAUGAACGACAUCACAUCAUUAGAGGAUGACGUGAUGGACAAGACCCAUCCAUUAGCUUAGCAUAAUGAUCAUUUAGUUUUAUUGCUAUUGCUUUCUUCAUGACUUAUACAUGUUCCUCUGACUAUGAGAUUAUGCAACUCCCGAAUACGGGAGGAACACCUUGUGUGCUAUCAAACAUCACAACGUAACUGGGUGAUUAUAAAGAUGCUCUACAUGUGUCUACAAAGGUGUUUGUUGAGUUGGCAUAGAUCAAGAUUAGGAUUUGUCACUCCGUGUAUUGAAGAGGUAUCUCUGGGCCCUCUCGGUAAUGCACAUCACUAUAAGCCUUGCAAGCAAUGUGACUAAUGAGUUAGUUGCUGGAUGAUGCAUUACGGAACGAGUAAAGAGACUUUCCGGUAACGAGAUUGAACUAAGUAUGAUGAUACCAACGAUUGAAUCUCGGGCAAGUAACAUACCGAUGACAAUGGGAAUAACAUAUGUUGUUAUGCGGUUUGACCGAUAAAGAUCUUCGCAGAAUAUGUAGGAGCCAAUAUGAGCAUCCAGGUUCCGCUAUUGGUUAUUGACCGGGAAUGUGUCUCGGUCAUGUCUACAUAGUUCUUGAACCCGUAGGGUCCGCACGCUUAACGUUCAAUGACGAUUUGUAUUAUGAGUUAUGUGUUUUGAUGACCGAAGUUUGUUCGGAGUCCCGGAUGAGAUCACGGACAUGACAAGGAGUCUUGAAAUGGUCGAGAGGUAAAGAUUCAUAUAUUGGAAGGUUAUAUACGGACAUCGGAAUGGUUCCGAUAAGGUUCGGGGAUUUAUCGGAGUACUGGGAGGCUAUCGGAACCCCCCGGGAAGUUAAUGGGACUUAUUGGGCUUUAGUGCACAGAGGGAAGAAGGGCCACAAGGUGGCGCGUGCCUCCCCCUGCCCAAACGAAAUUGGACAAGGGGUGGGGGCGCGGGCCCCCCUUUUUCCUUGUCCCUCUCCCUUUUUUCCCCUUUCCCCUCUCCGUAAGAUGGAAGGAGGGGGGCCGAAUCCCACUAGGUUUGGAGUCCUAGUAGGACUCCCUCCAUGGUGUGCCCCCCUUGGUCGGCCUCCUCCUCCCCCUCCUUUAUAUACAUUGGCAGGGGGCAGCCCAAAGGACAACAGAAAAUCUCUUAGCCAUGUGAUGUGCCCCCCUCCACAGUUUAACACCUCGUUCAUAUCGUCGUAGUGCUUAGGCGAAGCCCUACGCCGGUAACUUCAUCAUCAGUGUCGCCACGCUGUCUGAUACGUCUCCAACGUAUCUAUAAUUUAUGAAGUAUUCAUGCUAUUAUAUUAUCCAUCUAUGAUGUUUUAUAUGCAUUUAUAUGUCAUUUUAUAUGAUUUUUGGGACUAACCUAUUAACCUAGAGCCCAGUGCCAGUUUGUGUUUUCUCCUUGUUUUUGUGUUUUACAGAAAAGGGAUACCAAACGGAGUCCAAUUGACGUGCCAAUUUUUGAGGAUUUUUUAUGGACCAAAAGAAGACCACAGAGCAUCGGAGUUGGGCCAGAGGAGUCCCGGGCUGCCCACGAGAGUGGGGGCCACGCCCUCCCCCCUGGGGCGCGCCCCCUAUCUCGUGGACAGCCCGGAGACCUUCCUGACGUGAAACCAAUGCCAAAAAUUCCUAUAAAUACAGAAACCUUUGGGAAUUAACCUAGAUCGGAAGUUCCGCCGCCGCAAGCCUCUGUAGCCACGAGAAAUCAAUCUAGGCCCUCUCUGGCACCCUGCCGGAGGGGGCCAUCAUCACCGGAGGCCAUGGAGGAGGAUCUCGGAGGGGCCAUCAUCUCCAUGAAGGCCAAGGACCAGAGGGGGAAAGCAUGGAGGAGGAAGCACAAGGGGGAGAAACUCUCCUCCUCUCUCUUGGUGGCACCGGAGUGCCAUCGGGAGGGGAAUCAUUGUCGCGGUGAUCGUCUUCAUCAACAUCACCAUCAUCAUCACCAUCUUCAUCUCUUUUACGCGGUCCACUCUUCCGCACUCCGCUGUAAUCCCUACUUGAACAUGGUGCUUUAUGCCACAUAUUAUGAUCCAAUGAUGUGUUGCCAUCCUAUGAUGUUUUGAGUAGAUAUCUUUUGUCUUUGGGUUGAUUGAUGAUCUAGAUUGGUAUGAGUUGUAUGUUUUAUUUUGGUGCCGUCCUAUGGUGCCCUCCGUGUCACGCAGGCAUGAGGGAUUCCCGCUGUAGGGUGUUGCAAUACGUUCAUGAUUCUCUUAUAGUGGGUUGGUGAGUGACUGAAACACAAACCCGAGUAAGAGGGGUUGUUGCGUAUGGGAAUAAAGAGGACUUGAUGCUUUAAUGCUAUGGUUGGGUUUUACCUUAAUGAUCUUUAGUAUCUGCGGAAGCUUGCUAGAGUUCCAAUCAUAAGUGCAUAUGAUCCAAGUAGAGAAAGUAUGUUAGCUUUUGCGUCUCCCUCAUAUGAAAUUGCAAUAGUGAUUACCGAUCUUGUUAACAAUUGCCUAGGACAAUUCCGCACAUCGAUCCACCAUUAUUCCACACUCGCUAUUUAUAUUAUUUAGUAUUAUAUUCUAACUCUAUGAUAACAGCACCUACUUUUAUAUUUUAGCUCUCCUAUAUCAUACAAAGUUAUCCUCUUUAUACCCACAACACAUUUUUAUUUCUUGUUUCUAGUUGGAAGCAAAUGUUCGGUGCACGUAGAGUCGUAUUAGUGGCAGAUAGGGCUUGAGAGAAUAUUGAUCUUACCUUUAGCUCCUUGUGGGUUUGACACUCCAUAUUUAUCACUUCCACCUUUGGAAAUUGCUAUGAUGAUUCCCUGCACUUGGGGAUUAUCAAGCUCUUUUCUGGCGCCGCUGCCGGGGAGGAAUAGCGUGGGGUUGAUAUUCUCGUGUGUGCUUGUUUGCUUUCUUUACUUAGUAGAUUUUGUUUUUCCUUUUUGUUUCUGUUUAGUUGUGGGUGAAACAUACAAUUUUUUUAAAAAAGAAUGAAAAUACCAAAAAUUAUUUACUUGCCUCUCAUGCCUAAAAAAAGGUUUUUCAAAAAGAGAAGUGAUUGGAAAGUUAUGCAUUGAAGAAGUGAGGGUCGACCUUGAGCACUUGUGUUCAUGCUCACGGAAACAAUGUAGAAUAUUUCAUGGAAGUUUCUCUGUAAAUAAUUAUCCCCUCGUAUAUAUCCUUUGUAUUAUAAAAAUAAUGUGCCAAUCUUUGGUUCUAGUAUGAUAAGAUCGCUUGCUUACUAUGUGCAGAACAAAAACAGAAACUUUGGCUGUAGUGCAUGAAUUUACAUUUUUUUACUGGAAAGUCAAAUGGGUCUGAGACAUUUUGCACAUUACUUCUGUAUAAAUGUUUCAAAUUUUAAAAUUUAUUUCAUAAUUUUAGGAGUUACAGAAGUUUACUAAACUUCCAGAUUACUACAGACUGUCCUGUUCUUGACAGAUUCUGUUUUUCGUGUGUUGUUUGCUUAUUUUGAUGCAUCUAUGGCUAGUAUGUGGAGGUAUGAACCAUAGAGAAGUUGGAAUACAGUAGGUUUAACACCAAUAUAAACAAAGUAUGAGUUAAUUACAGUACCUUAAAGUGGUAGUUUGCUUUAUUACACUAACGGAUCUCACAAAGUUUUUGUUUAAGUUUUUGUGAAUGAAGUAUUUGAAGAACGAGGAGUUACCGAUGUGAGAAGAAUAAAGAGAGACAAGAGUUCAAGCUUGGGGAUGCCCAAGGCACCCCAAGUAAAUAUUUCAAAGGAUACUCAAGCAUCUAAGCUUGGGGAUGCCCCGGUUGGCAUCCCAUCUUUCUUCUUCAACAAAUAUCGGUAUACCUCGGUUUUUGUUUUGUUCACAUGAUUCGUGUCCUUUGCGUUUUUGUUUUUCUUUAAGAAUCAUGCUAGUAUAAGAUAGCUCUUCAUUGAUUUAUAGAAUACUUCAUGUGCUUCACUUAUAUCUUUUAAGUAUGGUCUUAUAGAAUUGCUCUUUGUGCUUCACUUAAAUCGUUUGAGUAUGGUUCUAUAGAAUGCUUCGUGCGCUUCACUUAUAUAUUUUGAGCUUGGAUAUUGGCUAUUCUAUAUUAAUUGUAGAAUGCUCCAGGAAAUUCACUUAUAUCUUUUGGAGUUUGAAUAAUACUAUAAUUAAAAGUGGGUUUGGAAGAGUGUCAACUUUAGGAAUUAGUGAUCCCACUAUCUUGGAGGGUGUUGAAUCUUUGUACGAUAUUUAUGAAAGUGGAAUUGGAAUAGUGUCAACUUUAGUUAGUAUUCCACUACUUCGGAAGAGGUUCCAAUUGAGUAUGAGAACAAGUUGCUAUCUAGGAUUCUACUGAAAAUUAUUAUGAGGGAGGAAUAUGUGCUUGUAGGAGUUGCAAUAAUAUCAAGCUUCCUCUCUAUGUGCUUAAAGUUUUGUAGUUAUACUUGUUUUGCCUUCCUAUGCUAGUUGACUUUUGUUCCUAUAAUUUGUGUGCUCACAAAAUCCCUAGGCAUAGGAAGUGAGUUAGAUUUAAAUGUGCUAGUCAUAUUCUUCAUGAUGCUCUCUUUGUGUUUCAACUCUUUUCUUUUAUGCGAGCAUCAUUGAAACCAUCAUGCCUAGCCAAAAGGCAUUAAAGAAAAGCGCUUGUUGGGAGACAACCCAAUAUUUACCCUUACUGUUUUUGUGUGUCUACAUGAUUAAGCUACUGUAGUAAUCAUGUUUUAUGCUUUUUGUUUCAAUAAAGUGCCAAGUAAGACCUUUGGGAAGACUUGGGUGGAAGUUAAUGUGAUCUUGCUGUAAUAAAUAGAAAUUUUGCGCUCACGAGAUUAGCUAUAAUUUUUUAAAUAAGAGUGAUUUUGAGUUGAUUCUUUUUGCAGAAGAUUAAUAGACAAAUUUCUCACGUCCACCAAUUUAUUUAAUAAUUGUUGGAGUAGCAGAAGUAUGGUUAUUGUUCAGAUCAUUACAGACUGUUAUGUUUCUGACAGAUUCUGUUUUCAUUGCAUAGUUUGCUUGUUUCCUAGUUUCUAUGGCUUAUAUUUCCCAAUAUAAAUUGUAGAAAUGAUAUGUUACAGUAGGCAUUAUGUGAAAACAAAUAUGAACCUUGUCUUUUACAGUACCAAAGUGCAUGGUUUACUCUUUAUCAUACUAACCUAUCUCACGAAGUUCCAUUAAGUUUUGUGUGAUUGAAGUUUUCAAGUUUUGAGUGAGAUAUCGAUAUGAGGAGAAUAAGGAGUGGGAAGACCCUAAGCUUGGGGAUGCCCAAGGCACCCCAAGGUAAUAUUCAAGGAAGAAUCAAGUGCCUAAGGUUAGGGAUGCCCCGGAAGGUAUCCCCUCUUUCGUCUUCAAAACUAUCGGUAUACCUUACUCGAAGCUAUAUUUUUAUUCGUCACAUGAUAUGUGUUUUGCUUGGAGCGUCAUUUUCUUUUUGCUUGCUGUUAUUUAGAUAGUGUUUUGCAUCUUUAGUUUCAAUAAAAAUAUCAAGGAUAGCUGAGGGAGUCUUGGAUUAGGGGUUGUCCAGAUGGCCGGACUAUGACCUUUGGCCGGACUCCCGGACUAUGAAGAUACAAGAUUGAAGACUCCGUCCCGUGUCCGGAUGGGACUUUCCUUGGCGUGGAAGGCAAGCUUGGCGAUACGAUAUGAAGAUCUCCUCCCAUUGUAACCGACUCUGUGUAACCCUAGCCCUCUCCAGUGUCUAUAUAAACCGGAGAGUUUUAGUCCGUAGCACGAACAACAAUCAUACCAUAGGCUAGCUUCUAGGGUUUAGCCUCUCUGAUCUCGUGGUAGAUCAACUCUUGUAAUACCCAUACCAUCAAUAUUAAUCAAGCAGGAGUAGGGUUUUACCUCCACCGAGAGGGCCCGAACCUGGGUAAAAACAUCGUGUCCCUUGUCUCCUGUUACUAUCUGCCUAGACGCACAGUUCGGGACCCCCUACCCGAGAUCCGCCGGUUUUGACACCGACAUUGGUGCUUUCAUUGAGAGUUCCUCUAUGUCGUCGCCUUUAGGCCCGAUGGCUUCUUUGAUCUUCAACCAAGACGCGGUCCAGGGUGAGACUUUUCUCCCCGGACAGAUCUUCGUGUUCGGCGGCUUCGCACUGCGGGCCAACUCGCUUGGCCAUCUGGAGCAGAUCGAAAUCUACGCCCCUGGCCAUCAGGUCAGGUUUGGAAGUUUAAACUACACGGCCGACAUUCGCGGGGACUUGAUCUUCGAUGGAUUCAAGCCACGGCCGAGCGCGCCGCACUGUCUCGAUGGGCAUGAUCUAGCUCUGCCGCCGGACAGUGCCCAGAGUGCCGCUCAGGAUUCCGCUCCGACCAUUAGUUCGGAGCUGACUGCGCUAACCAGGGACGGACGGUUGGACGCCGCCCCAGGAGCCGCAAUCUCUACGGCGAUAGAGCCGAAUACCAGCCUAGUCCUUUGCAAGGCCCGUGACUCCAAGGUGUCGGACUCCGUUCCGGACUCCGAAUCUUCAGCACCCCUUCCGAUCGAACCCGAUUGGGCUCCGAUCAUGGAGUUCACCGCCACGGACGUCUUUCAGCACUCGCCCUUUGGAGAUAUCCUGAAUUCACUAAAGUCUCUCUCUUUGUCAGGAGUGCCCUGGCCGAACUACGGUCAGCAUGGUUGGGAUACGAACGACGAAGAAAUUCGAGGCCCACCCACCACCCACUUCGUAGCCACUGUCGACGAUUUAACCGACAUGCUCGACUUCGACUCUGAAGACAUCGACGGUAUGGACGCCGAUGAAGGAGACGACCAAGAACCAGCACCUAUAGGGAACUGGAAAGCCAUCUCGUCAUAUGACAUAUACAUGGUGGACACCCCCAAAGCAGGGGAUGGCGAGGAAAAAACGGAGGAUGACCCCUCCAAGAAGCAACCCAAGCGCCAACGUCAGCGGCGCCGCUCUAAAUCCCGCCAAAGCAAGAACGGCGAAUCCGGCACCGGAGAUAACAACACACCAGACAGCGCCGAAGAUAACCCCCUCCAGCAGGAUUCAGUGCAGGAGGACGAAAAAGCCAGCCCUCAUGAGAGAGCGGCGGACAGAGAGGUUGAGGACGACAACUAUAUGCCUCCCUCCGAAGACAAGGCAAGCCUCGACGAUGACGAAUUCGUUGUGCCAGAGGAUCCCGUCGAACAAGAGCGUUUCAAACACAGGCUUAUGGCCACGGCACGAAGCCUCAAGAAAAAACAUCAGCAGCUUAGAGAUGACCAAGACUUGCUAGCCGACAGAUGGACCGAAGUCCUGGCGGCUGAAGAGUAUAAACUCGAGCGCCCCUCCAAGAGCUACCCAAAGCGCAGGCUGCUACCCCAACUUGAAGAGGAAGCAACUAAACCUACAUCACCAGCGUACGAUGUGCCCGAUCGGCCACCCCGGGGCCGCGACAGAGAGGCCUUCAGGCCCUCGGCCCAAGACGCACCCCGACACCGCUCAAAACAUGCCAGAGUAUGGGGAGAUGCAACAGACCUAUGAGACAUAUUGGAGAACAAGGCAAGGCAAGAAGAUCGAUCUACGGAUCGCAUGGGCGCCCCGCAUCACGUGAUGAUAACCGUCACACCGGAUAUGAUAAAUACGGCCAGGCCGAAUACAACAGACCAAGCUCAUCCGAGCUCCGCCGCGAUAUAGCCCAGUACAGGGGAGCCGCACACCCACUAUGCUUCACAGAUGAAGUAAUGGAUCAUCAAAUCCCCGAGGGUUUUAAGCCCGUAAACAUUGAAUCAUACGACGGCACAACUGAUCCCGCGGUAUGGAUCGAGGAUUAUCUCCUUCAUAUCCACAUGGCCCGCGGUGAUGAUCUACACGCCAUCAAAUACCUCCCGCUCAAGCUUAAAGGACCAGCACGACAUUGGCUUAACAACCUGCCAGUAGAGUCAAUUAGUUGCUGGGAGGACCUGGAAUCCGCAUUCCUUGACAACUUCCAGGGCACUUAUGUGCGACCACUAGACGCUGAUGACCUAAGCCACAUAAUCCAGCAGCCAGAAGAAUCGGCCAGACAAUUCUGGACACGGUUCCUAACCAAGAAAAAUCAAAUGGUCGACUGUCCGGACGCCGAGGCCCUUGCAGCCUUCAGGCACAAUAUCUGAGACGAAUGUCUUGCCCGGCACCUAGGACAGGAAAAGCCGAAAUCUAUGGCAGCCCUUACGACACUCAUGACCCGCUUCUGCUCGGGCAAAGACAGCUGGCUAGCUCAUAGCAAUAACAUAACAAAGAGCCCUGGUAAUUCGGAUACCAAGGACAACAAUGGCAGGUCACGUCGCAACAAGCACAAGCGCCGCAUUAACGGUGAUAAUAUCGAGGAUACAUCAGUCAACGCCGGAUUCAGAGGCUCUAAACCCGGUCAGCGGAAGAAGCCAUUCAAAAGAAACCCUCUGGGCCCAUCCAACAUAGACCGGAUACUCGACCGCUCGUGCCAGAUACACGGCACCCCCGAACAACCAGCCAACCACACCAACAGGGAUUGUUGGGUGUUCAAGCAGGCAGGCAAGUUAAGUGCCGAAACCAGAGACAAGGGGCUGCGUAGCGAUGUCGAGGAGGAGCCCCGGCCGCCGAACAACAGAGGACAGAAGGGAUUCCCCCCGCAAGUGCGGACGGUGAACAUGAUAUACGCAACCCACAUCUCCAAGAGGGAGCGGAAGCAUGCUCUCAAGGACGUCUAUGCAUUGGAGCCAGUUGCCCCAAAGUUCAACCCAUGGUCCUCCUGCCCGAUCACAUUUGAUCGAAGAGACCACCCCACUAGCAUCCGUCACGGCGGAUUCGCCGCAUUGGUCCUAGACCCAAUCACUGACGGAUUUCACCUCACCAGAGUCCUCAUGGACGGCGGCAGCAGCCUGAACCUGCUUUAUCAGGAUAAGUGCGAAAAAUGGGUAUAGACCCCUCAAGGAUCAAACCCACAAAGACAACCUUUAAAGGUGUCAUACCGGGUGUAGAAGCCAGCUGUACAGGCUCAGUUACACUCGAAGUGGUCUUCAGAUCCCCGGAUAAUUUCUGAAGCGAAGAGUUAAUCUUCGACAUAGUCCCAUCCUGCAGUGGCUAUCACGCCCUGCUUGGACGAACCGCAUUUGCAAAGUUCAAUGCGGUGUCGCACUACGCAUAUCUCAAGCUCAAGAUGCCAGGCCCUCGCGGAGUAAUCACGGUAAAUGGAAACACCGAACGCUCUCUCCGAACGGAGGAGCACACAACGGCCCUGGCGGGGAAGUACAGAGCAGCCUCUCAAGGCAGCUCUCCAAUCCGGGUAUCAAACGUCCGGACAACGUCAAGCGCGCCUGAAGCAACCUACAACAGAGCUGGCUGGCACGAUCCAAGCAAGCAUAGCAGUGCGGCCCCAGCCCCAGCCCUCGUCAGAUGGUGCUAUCGGUACCACGCGUACAUAAUUACGCUUUGAAAAUACCAUGGGCAUAAGGGGAGGGGCACAAUUACGGCACGCCCAGAAUGCGGCUCAACCGCACUUAGGGCCUCCCUAUUUAGCCGUUUUCCUUUUUUAUAUAUACUUUCAGGACCCAACUACUCAGAAGGCCUGUCCGGCAAUACACUCGCCGAACACACGAUGCAACAGCCAGGGUGAGGACAAGCCGCGUCGAAUGUCCAGGUGGCCUCUAUAAUGAGUUAAAUACCUAUUUUUACUUACAAAACCCGCAGCUUGCCCCUGGAGGGGGACAUGUCAAAUAAUCCCAUCUCUUGCUUAUCGCACUAUUUGUAUCGUUCUGAUUUCAUAGCAGCCCCCUAAUAAUAAACAAUACAUAGCUUCUAUCUAUUAUUGUAUUCCUUUUUUAUAUAUAUGUUCAAUCAUGACAUUAUGCAGUCGUACACUUUGGUACAGCCAAUACACCAGGGGCUUAAGCACCCCAUUACAUGGUGUGAGAAGACCGAACACUCUCAUGCGUGCGGCACCCCGAACUUAUAGCACUAUAUGCAUCGGCUCCGAAUCAUGUCUUUGGUCAAUAGUUGGGUUUGCCCGGCUCCCAUGUUUUGGUACCUUACGUUCCGCAUUAUUGGCUAAGGUAGCGUUGGGAGAACUACUGCGAUUGUGCCCCAGUUGAGCUGGGUUAACACCUCAGUAGAGAAAGCUAAAACUGACUGUCAUGAUAGUGCGAGAGACCGGUCACUGUUCGCGAGGUUUUUCGAGUCCUUAAAGACUUAUGCCGCUUAGAGCGAGGAACCGGACUUAUCCGGCCUAGGCGUGGAUAGCGCCCCGAACUCGGUCUUCCGAAUACUAGGGGCUUCGCCGAAAUUUAAAAUUAUAGAAUUCUAUGGCUAAGUGAGAGUGAUUGUCACAUCCCUAGUUCUGGUAUGCUCAAGGCUAGCUAGUCAUUUGUGCAUCAUGUUUAAAUUCCAUUUAAUUUGAAAUGAGGAUUUGUGAAACCCUCAGAAUCAUUUUUGGAAAUGACCUAAAUAAAAAUUGCUCCAAAAAGGUCCAAGAAAAUGUUCAUGUUGCUCUCUGAAAAUAUUGGUCAGAGGUAAAAUUCAAACAAAUAUUUUAGGAGCUCAUGGAUAUUUAUUUUGGCCAUUUGGACUAAUCCGAUAAUUAUUUGCAUUGGAUAUAUGUAUGUCAUAUUUAUAAUAUAUGUCCAAAAAUUAUGCCAUUUGCUGAGGAGCUUUGGAAUAAUAUAGUUAGCUCCUGCAAAAAUUGGCAUAAGGUAAUAAAAUGAUUUAAUAUUUUAAUUAAAUCAAAACAAAUGUCAGAAAAAUAGAAAAGAAAACAAAAAUGUAAAAUGCUUACCUGUGCAGCCCGGCAGCAGCCAGCGCCGGCCCAGCCCACUGGCCCCUCCUCUGUCGUCUUCGUCCUCGACAGGAGGAUGGGCGCGUGCCCGACGCGCGCGCGUGCCGCCGCGCCACGCCACCAGCCUCCCUGCCUGCCUGCCCUCUCCCCUCCUCGUCUGGAUGCCCCGGGAGACGCCACGCGGCCCCUCGACCCUCUCCCACUCUCCCGUGUCUCUCCCUCGUCUGCUCUCUCCCUCCCGAGCACCACCGAGCGGAGCUCGUCGACGCCGCUCAUCGCCUACGUAGCCACAGCCUCCCCCUCGCCUCUCCGACACGCACAGAAGCUCCGCCACGACUUCCUCGUCUCCUCCGUCGAGCCACAAGACGCCGGACGCCCUGUGGAGCCGCCGUCGCCAUCGUCUUCCUCCUCGGACGCCGCCGACCGUCGACUCCGAUUCGCCGUCUCCAGUGCGUCCCCGAGCCCGCUUCGACGCCCGCUGCAACCGCUGUGAGCUCCGCCGCACUUUACCCCUAAUCUCGCCCUUGAUUUUGCCCUCUAACCCGUCGGGCCAUCAUGCCUGAGAGCUCGCCACCGCCGGCUAUGUCGCCGUCGCGGCUAGAGCGCACACGCGUCAUGCCUGAGCGCGUCACCGAGCUCAGCGCGGAUCCAAGAGCACGUAUCACCCAUCCGUUCAUCCAGAGGCGCUCUAUAGCGAGUCGCCGAUCCUGGCCGAGCUCCGGCCACCACCAAGGUCGACGCCGUGCCCAAGUCCGGCCACCUCGUGCCCUCCCCCUGCCACCGUUGGAUGCGCACGAGCCCCAGCUCCUCGUAGAUGGGCUCGGCCAUCGAUUUGAUCGCCGGAGCCGCUGUUCCGAUCAGCGCCGCCGCGUCUGUGUGCUCGCCGGCGUUGAACUCCGGUGAGAUGACGUGGCCCGCCAUUAGCAGCUAACAGCCCGCUUAAUUAACCCCCUGAGGCUGACAUGUGGGCCCCAGUGCCCCCUAAUCUUUUAAUUAAGCUAAUCUAACCCUCUGUUUACCCUGUGUCACUGACGUGUGGACCCCACACGUCAGAUUUGACCUGUUCAGCACCGUUGACCUGCUGACGCAGGCAUGACGUCAUGCUGACGCAAUUAUUUAUUUUCUGGUUUAAAUUUAAAUCAGGAAAUUCCAGAAAUUAGCAAAACUUCUAAAAUUCAUAGAAAUUCAACCGUAGCUCAGAUUGAAAUAAUUUAUAUAUGAAAAAUUAUGAGAAAAAUGCAAUCUUUCCAUCUGUACUAGUUUCAUGCAUGACAAACCAACUUAUACAUGUUGUAUAAGUGAAACACUAUAAUGGCUUAUAUAAAGAGCUUAUUUUGGAGAUGCAUUUGAACCUUUGGUUCAAAUGGACUUCAUCCAAAUAUAAUGCUAGCUGCAUUAGCACAAUCAGCAUCACAUCUUCAUGCCAUGUUCAUGCAUCAUUGUGUUGCAUAUGCUUGUGUUUUGAUUGUUGGCACUGUUCCUUCUCGAUAGGUCCUACUCCGGAGACGUUCCAGAGUACCUGUCUGUGAAGCAGUGCCUCCCUUGUUGAUUUACCAGGCAAGCAAACCCCCUUGUUCAUUCCGAUAUAAUCCUACUCUCUCGCUCCUGCUCUUUGUUAUUCCAUUAGGACAACAACGAUUCAUCUGCUACUUUGUGCUGCGGUAGUUGAACCCAUUCCUCUGCAUGACCUGUCAUUGCCAUAGUAAAUAGUUGAAACCCACUAGCAUGUGUAGGAGUUGAUUGAAGCCACUGAUGUGUUCCUACCAUGCUAUGCCUGCUAUUGCUUAGAGUUGUGUCAGGUCUGAUUCAUUGGGAAUGAAUUGGAGUGUUACGAUAUGUUCUGGUGCUAAGAGUUAAGUGUGUGAACACGAUUUGGUAAAGGUAGCGGUGAGAGGCCAUUUAGGAGUACAUGGUGGGUUGUCUCACUGGAACCGUCCUUAAGCACUGAGUUCUAUGUAUGUUGUCCAAUGACUCGAUACUACCACACAUUGGGCUCCGGGCGCUCCAAGCCCUCUCGACUUAUUAACCAACUUGAUCUCUGUCCAGGAGUCGCAACUAGUUUCUGGUGUUUGUAGGUAGUGCUAUUUUUCUACCAAGUGGCACCCGGCAGGGUGGGCUUGGGACAGACUAGGCACACGUGGCCUGGUGUACCGAGUGGCACCCGGAUGGUGGGCUCGGGAACCCUGCACACAUUGUUUGGGGCCGUGAGCGAAACCCCGGCCGGAUCUCCUUGCGGAUGGAACCCGAAUAGGCGAUAAACCUGGACUAGAGUCUUGUGUGGUUAGUCAGGUCGUGGCCGACACCCUCGCCAGGCUUCCGCUUGAAGGUUGCCGAGAUACAUGACGUGUACAUGGCGGUAAGUGGCGAGAGCGUGUGUGAAGAAGUACACCCCUGCAGGGUUAACAUGAUCUAUUCGAAUAGCCGGGUCCGCAGUUAUGGACUUCUUGGAUGCUUACAUGGUACAUAGACAACUUGAAGUGUAUACUCUAAAAAGCUCAAGACAAGUGUGAGUGCUAUGGAUGGCCUUCUCGUAGGGAGACGGGGAUGAAUCCAUAGUAGUGUAUUGUGUGGUGAUUAGUGGACUCGUGUGCGCCAUAUCACCUCAAGAGUUUCUGGUAGUCGUAGAAUAAGAUAGCCACUGAGUCAAAGCUGGCUUGCUGCAACUAAACCCCACAUUACCUUCUUGAUACACAUGCAUGUAUGAUAGGAUCUGAUGUAAGUCUUGCUGAGUACCUUUGUACUCAUGUUGCUUUAUUUAUGCUUUUGCAGCGGAGACUUCGGUCUUACUAGUGUUCCCGUGGACUUCGAUGAGUAGUUUGUACCUCAGCUACGAUCUUGAUCGGAUGUUGUAGAUAGUCAGGCUCUUCAGCCUUUUUCAUUUGUAGAUGUCUGUACCCAGACAUGUAAUGCUUCCGCUUGUUGCUUGUAUGCUCUGUAUGAUGGGUCUUGUGACCCCUGUUUGAAAUAAAGGCUAUGAUGGCUCUUUGAGCUUUAUCUAUGUGAGUUAUUGAGUUAUGCUGUGAUGCCAUGUUGUACAACACAUACUUGCAUGUUAUGCGUACGUGUAACGUGUAUUGCUAUGUGUGGGAUCUGACUAUCUAGUUGUUUAUCCUUAGUAGCCUCUCUUACCGGGAAAUGUCUCCUAGUGUUUCCACUGAGCCAUGGUAGCGUGCUACUGCUCCGGAACACUUAGGCUGGCCGGCAUGUGUCCUUCGUUCCUGUGUCUGUCCCUUCGAGGAAAUGUCACGCGAUGAAUACCGGAGUCCUGUUAGCCCGCUACAGCCCGGUUUACCGGAGUCCUGUUAGCCCAGUUGCUACAGCCCGAAUUCACUCGCUGAUGACCGACACGUUCGAUGCUGGGUCAUGUAUGCCUGUCCCUGUAAGUUAGUGCCACUUUGGGUUCACGACUAGCCAUGUCAGCCCGGGUUCUCUGUCAUAUGGAUGCUAGCGACACUAUCGUAUACGUGUUCAAAAAGGCGCAAACGGUCCCGGGCAUGGUAAGGCGACACCCAUGGGAAUACCGUGCGUGAGGCCGCAAAGUGAUAUGAGGUGUUACAUGCUAGAUCGAUGUGACUUAGGAUCGGGGUCCUGACAGCCUUGGUAUCAGAGCCUGACUGCCUGUAGGAUUACCAAGCCAAACUGGUCGAAGUUGAGUCUAGAAAUUCUUUAGUUAUGUAAGGGAAUUGAUUGUGGGAAGGAACGUAAGGCUCCUUUUACUCCGUUACCUCAUGGCCUUCUGAUCUGAGUCGUCCUAUCUUUCCUAUGGGGUUAAGGAACUAGGCUUUCUCUUCCGUCUAUUAGGAUCACGUGUUACUACUCUGUAGUCCCAUAGGAUUGGUUGAUCAGAGUCAUACCCCAGUUUUGAGUAUUUCCGGUGUAGUCUGUUUAGUAUGAUCUCAGAACCUUGAGUAAUGCUGAUGAGUAUGUUACCACCCCAUUUUUAGUAGGAUGUCUCAUUCUGAGCAUUUUACUACCGUUAUGCUGCCGGAAUUUCCCUAGGAGUUCGAGAGAUACUAAUUCCUUGUCCUACAUUCUACAGUCUAUAGUUGAUGCUGACUCCGUCCCUGGUUUCAUUUCUCAGGAUGUCAUCAAGUUCUAUUGUUCGUAGCCAGAACCAUGGAGAUGGUAGGGAUGAGGAUCCUCCCGACCCGCCUUCGUUGACACAGUUCAUGUUAGAAAUGGAGAGGAACAAGCGUGAGUCUAACCGUUUGUUGGCACGUAUCGAGGAGAACACCGCACAUCAGUCCAAUAAGUCUGCGACCAUUCAUGACUUCAUUCGCUUGCACCCACCUACCUUUCAUCAUUCCAUCGAGCCACUCGAUGCAGAUGACUGGCUCCGUAGCAUCACUCAUAAGCUGUGUUCCGCGAGCGUAGCUGAAGAUGACAAGGUCACUUAUGCCACAUACCACCUGGAAGGUCCUGCUAGUCUUUGGUGGCAGAACUAUGAGGCUAUGCUUCCAGCUGGCCAGAAUCCUACCUGGAGAGAUUUCGCUGAGGCUUUUCGCGAGCAUCACAUUCCUGAAGCCCUCAUCGAUCGCAAGAGAGAAGAGUUCUGUAGUUUCACCCAGAGUAAGAUGGCUGUUGAUGCUUAUAGUAGAGAGUUUGAGAACCUCGCUCGCUAUGCCACAGAAGAAGUGUCCACGGACGCCAAGAAGCAGGCUAGGUUCCGGAAGGGUCUCAACCCCAAGUUGCGUCGUGAUCUCCACCUGCAUCAUUGUGAUACAUUCCAAGCUCUUGUGAACAAGGCCAUCAAUGCAGAGACAGCUCAGCUCACUUACGAGGAGUCUCGUAAGCACACCCGUGAUUUGGGAUCCUCCUCUGGCUCUAGUUCCCAGAAGCGCCAGAUUUGGGUUCCAAACUCCGCUCUUCCUUCCGGAUAUGCACUGAGGCCAUCCCAUGUGGUGCCUCCCCCAGCUCAGCCAUAUGUUCCACCCAGGCCUACUGGUAGACCGCUUGUCAGUGCGGGUCCCCGUCCAACCUCAGGGACUUGCUUCACAUGCGGGAAGCCAGGACACUAUGCACGUGACUGCUCUCAGACUAGUUAUGCUCCACCCCAGCCCGAGAAGACUGUUGGCUGUGUUAAGCCAUCACGCAAGAUGAUCAGUGUCAAGUCAGCCCCCACUGAACGUGGACGUAUGCAUCACGUCUCAGCUAAAGACGCUCAUGAUGAUCCGGAUGUCGUCCUUGGUACACUCCUUGUCAAUUGUCACCCAGCAUCAGUUCUCUUCGAUACUGGAGCAUCUCACUCCUUCAUUUCUGAAGGCUAUGCUCGUUUGCACGACAUGUCAUUUUGUGAUAUGCCAACUCCGCUUGAAAUCCAAACCCAGGGUCUAGAUGGCAGACCACCAGAAUUAGCCAUGGAAAUGAAAUCCUUGUUGACAGACUUGUAUUCCUUGCAUCAUUUGUAGCCCUCAAGUCCUCAGAUAUUAAUAUCAUCUUGGGUAUGGACUGGAUGACAGCUCAUCAUGCCAAGAUUGAUUGUUACACAAGAUCUGUUCAGCUUACACACCCAUCUGGCAAGAUAGUCACUGUCUCCACUAGAGUUGCAAAGCGUCAGCUCUAUUCUCUUAAUGCCAGCCCUCUUCCAGACCUUGAAGAUAUCCCGGUAGUCCGUGACUUUCCGGAUGUCUUUCCAGAGGAACUGCCAGGUGUUCCACCUGACAGAGAUGUAGAGUUCGUCAUAGAUCUUAUCCCAGGAACUGCUCCAAUCUCUAGGAGACCCUACAAGAUGGCACCCUUAGAACUAGCCGAGCUUAAGAAACAACUUGAUGAGUCCUUGCAAAAGGGUUUCAUCCGUCCUAGUUCUUCUCCUUGGGCUUGCCCCGUCCUCUUUAUUAAGAAGGAUGGUACGGACCAGAUGUUUGUAGAUUAUCGUCCCGUUAAUUUGGUAACGAUAAAGAACAAGUAUCCGCUCCCCAGGAUCAACGACCUGUAUGAUCAGCUCGCUGGAUCCUUAGUAUUCUCCAAGAUGUAUUUGAGGUUAGGAUACCACCAAAUUAAGAUCAAAAAUGGGGACAUUCCCAAGACAACUUUUGUCACUCGUUAUGGCCAGUACGAGUACACCGUCAUGUCCUUUGGCCUAACCAAGGCCCCAGCCACAUUCUCCUGCUUGAUGAACUCGAUCUUCAUGGAGUACUUAGAUAAGUUCGUCGUGGUUUACCUCGAUGAUAUUCUUAUUUACUCGAAGAACGAGGAAGAGCAUGCCGAACAUCUUAGACUUGUGCUAGAAAAACUCAGAGAGCACCGCCUUUAUGCCAAGUUCUCCAAGUGUGAAUUUUGGUUGCCAGAAGUGACCUACCUAGGCCACGUAAUUUCUGGUAAGGGCAUUGCUGUCAAUCCCGAGAGAGUCAAGGCCGUUCUCGAUUGGACUCCACCUGAGACCGUUAAACAAGUUAGGAGUUUCCUUGGUCUAGCCAGCUAUUGUCGCCGCUUUGUUGAAAUUUUCUCCAAAGUAGCCAAACCCCUCACGGAACUUCUCAAGAAAGAUAAAAAGUUCGAGUGGUCCCCACAGUGUGAGUACAGUUUUCAGGAACUGAAAAGACGCCUGACUUCUGCUCCCGUACUUGUGCCACCGGAUUUCACAAAGGACUUUGUUAUCUAUUGUGACGCCUCACGACAGGGACUAGGUUGCAUUCUUAUGCAGGAUCGUCAUGUGAUUGCCUAUGCAUCUCGACAGUUUCAUCCACAUGAGGAUAAUUAUCCUACACAUGAUCUAGAGCUUGCAGCCGUAGUCUAUGCACUCAAGACCUAGCGACAUUACCUUCUUGGUAAACGUUGCGAGAUCUACACCGAUCACCAGAGUCUCAAGUAUAUCUUCACCCAACCGGAUCUGAACCUUAGGCAAAGACGUUGGUUGGAGUUGAUCACAGAUUAUGAUCUAGGGAUUACCUACACCCCAGGCAAAGCCAAUGUCAUGGCUGAUGCUCUAAGCCGUAAAUCCUAUUGCAACAAUCUCAUGUUGCAGCAAGGCCAACCACUUCUCCAUGAGGAAUUCUGUAAGCUUAAUCUUCACAUUGCUCCUCACGGAUUCCUUUGUACCUUGGUGGCGAAACCUGAUCUUGAAGAUCGGAUUGUCGCUGCUCAAAAGCAAGACACAGGAAUUUCUCGGAUCAAGAGAAACAUUAAGAAGGGAGUUGGUGGAUGUUUCUCUAUGGAUGAUCGUGGUGUUGUUUUCUUUGGGAAUCGCUUGGUGGUUCCCAAGAAUCAACAUCUGCGACAAUUGAUUCUUAAGGAGGCGCAUGAAUCUCCUCUCACGAUUCAUCCCGGUAGCACUAAGAUGUAUCAGGACCUACGCCAGAGGUUCUGGUGGACUAGGAUGAAGAGUGAAAUCGCCGACUUCGUUGCUAAUUGUGACGUAUGUCGUCGUGUUAAGGCAGAGCAUCAAAGGCCUGCUGGCACCCUUCAGCCUUUAGCUAUUCCUGAAUGGAAAUGGGAUAAAGUUGGUAUGGACUUCAUCACCAGCUUUCCCAGGACCAAGAGAGGGAAUAACGCUAUCUUCGUAGUCAUUGAUCGUCUUUCCAAAGUGGCUCACUUCCUUCCUGUUCGAGAGAGUAUCACUGCUAGUCAGCUUGCUGACUUAUACAUUUCUCGAAUAGUGUCACUUCAUGGUGUUCCACUAGAGAUCAAUUCAGACCGUGGCAGUCUUUUCACUUCUCAUUUCUGGGAGAGUUUCCAAACUGCCAUGGGAACCCAUCUUUCCUUCGGUACCGCUUUCCACCCUCAGUCGAGUGGUCAGGUGGAACGGGUCAACCAAAUUCUCGAAGACAUGCUUAGAGCUUGCGUUAUCUCAUUCGGUAUGGAUUGGGAGAAAUGUCUUCCUUUUGCCGAGUUUGCUUAUAACAAUAGCUAUCAAUCCAGCCUCAAGAAAGCUCCUUUUGAGGUUCUCUAUGGACGAAGAUGUCGAACACCUUUGAACUGGUCAGAAACCGGUGAAAGACAAUUCUUUGGACCGGACAUGAUCCAGGAGGCAGAAGAGCAAGUUCGCAUCAUUCGUGAGAACUUGAAAACAGCCCAGUCUCGUCAAAAGAGUCAGUAUGAUCGUCAUCAUAAGGAUAUGACUUAUGAAGUUGGCGAAAAAGCUUACCUUCGGGUUACUCCCUUGAAGGGUACCCAUCAUUUCGGUAUCAAGGGCAAGUUGGCUCCUUGUUACAUUGGUCCCUUUCGCAUUCUCGCUAAACAAGGAGAGGUUGCCUACCAGUUGGAACUACCCCCACAUCUUUCUCGAGUUCAUGAUGUCUUCCACGUCUCUCAACUCAGGCGUUGCUUCUCGGAUCCCAUCCGCGGAGUGGACCACGAAACGCUUGUUCUCCAAGAUAACCUCACAUACCGAGAGUACCCAGUUCGCAUUCUCGAUCAAGCAGAGUGUGUCACUCGACGUCAGAACAUCAAGUUUCUCAAGGUUCAGUGGUCUCAUCAUUCCGAGAGAGAAGCUACUUGGGAGCGAGAAGAUCGUCUUCGACUGGAGUACCCCGCUUUCUUUCCGUCGACCCCUGAAUCUCGGGACGAGAUUCUUUCAAGUGGGGGCGAGUUGUCACAUCCCUAGUUCUGGUAUGCUCAAGGCUAGCUAGUCAUUUGUGCAUCAUGUUUAAAUUCCAUUUAAUUUGAAAUGAGGAUUUGUGAAACCCUCAGAAUCAUUUUUGGAAAUGACCUAAAUAAAAAUUGCUCCAAAAAGGUCCAAGAAAAUGUUCAUGUUGCUCUCUGAAAAUAUUGGUCAGAGGUAAAAUUCAAACAAAUAUUUUAGGAGCUCAUGGAUAUUUAUUUUGGCCAUUUGGAUUAAUCCGAUAAUUAUUUGCAUUGGAUAUAUAUAUGUCAUAUUUAUAAUAUAUGUCCAAAAAUUAUGCCAUUUGCUGAGGAGCUUUGGAAUAAUAUAGUUAGCUCCUGCAAAAAUUGGCAUAAGGUAAUAAAAUGAUUUAAUAUUUUAAUUAAAUCAAAACAAAUGUCAGAAAAAUAGAAAAGAAAACAAAAAUGUAAAAUGCUUACCUGUGCAGCCCAGCAGCAGCCAGCGCCGGCCCAGCCCACUGGCCCCUCCUCUGUCGUCUUCGUCCUCGACAGGAGGAUGGGCGCGUGCCCGACGCGCGCGCGUGCCGCCACGCCACGCCACCAGCCUCCCUGCCUGCCUACCCUCUCCCCUCCUCGUCUGGAUGCCCCGGGAGACGCCACGCGGCCCCUCGACCCUCUCCCUCCCUCGUCUGCUCUCUCCCUCCCGAGCACCACCAAGCGGAGCUCGUCGCCGCCGCUCAUCGCCUACGUAGCCACAGCCUCCCCCUCGCCUCUCCGACACGCGCAGAAGCUCCGCCACGACUUCCUUGUCUCCUCCGUCAAGCCACAAGACGCCGGACGCCCUGUGGAGCCGCCGUCGCCAUCGUCUUCCUCCUCGGACGCCGCCGACCGCCGACUCCGAUUCGCCGUCUCCAGUGCGUCCCCGAGCCCGCUUCGACGCCCGCUGCAACCGCUGUGAGCUCCGCUGCACUUUACCCCUAAUCUCGCCCUUGAUUUUGCCCUCUAACCCGUCGGGCCGUCAUGCCCGAGAGCUCGCCACCGCCGGCUAUGUCACCGUCGCGGCUAGAGCGCACACGCGUCAUGCCUGAGCGCGUCACCGAGCUCAGCGCGGAUCCAGGAGCACGUAUCACCCAUCCGUUCAUCCAAAGGCGCUCUAUAGCGAGUCGCCGAUCCUGGCUGAGCUCCGGCCACCACCAAGGUCGACGUCGUGCCCAAGUCCGGCCACCUCGUGCCCUCCCCCUGCCACCGUUGGAUGCGCACGAGCCCCAGCUCCUCGUAGAUGGGCUCGGCCAUCGAUUUGAUCGCCAGAGCCGCCGUUCCGAUCAGCGCCGCCGCGUCUGUGUGCUCGCCGGCGCUGAACUCCGGUGAGAUGACGUGGCCCACCAUUAGCAGCUAACAGCCCGCUUAAUUAACCCCCUGAGGCUGACAUGUGGGCCCCGGUGCCCCCUAAUCUUUUAAUUAAGUUAAUCUAACCCUCUGUUUACCCUGUGUCACUGACGUGUGGACCCCACACGUCAGAUUUGACCUGGUCAGCACCGUUGACCUGCUGACGCAGGCAUGACGUCAUGCUGACGCAAUUAUUUAUUUUCUGGUUUAAAUUUAAAUCAGGAAAUUCCAGAAAUUAGCAAAACUUCUAAAAUUCAUAGAAAUUCAACCGUAGCUCAGAUUGAAAUAAUUUAUAUAUGAAAAAUUAUCAGAAAAAUGCAAUCUUUCCAUCUGUACGAGUUUCAUGCAUGACAAACCAACUUAUACAUGUUGUAUAAGUGAAACACUAUAAUGGCUUAUAUAAAGAGCUUAUUUUGGAGAUGCAUUUGAACCUUUGGUUCAAAUGGACUUCAUCCAAAUAUAAUGCUAGCUGCAUUAGCACAAUCAGCAUCACAUCUUCAUGCCAUGUUCAUGCAUCAUUGUGUUGCAUAUGCUUGUGUUUUGAUUGUUGGCACCGUCCUUCUCGAUAGGUCCUGCUCCGGAGACGUUCCAGAGUACCUGUCUGCGAAGCAGUGCCUCCCUUGUUGAUUUACCAGGCAAGCAAACCCCCUUGUUCAUUCCGAUAUAAUCCUACUCUCUCACUCCUGCUCUUUGUUAUUGCAUUAGGACAACAACGAUUCAUCUGCUACUUUGUGCUGCGGUAGUUGAACCCAUUCCUCUGCAUGACCUGUCAUUGCCACAGUAAAUAGUUGAAACCCACUAGCAUGUGUAGGAGUUGAUUGAAGCCACUGAUGUGUUCCUACCAUGCUAUGCCUACUAUUGCUUAGAGUUGUGUCAGGUCUGAUUCAUUGGGAAUGAAUUGGAGUGUUACGAUAUGUUCUGGUGCUAAGAGUUAAGUGUGUGAACACGAUUUGGUAAAGGUAGCGGUGAGAGGCCAUUUAGGAGUACAUGGUGGGUUGUCUCACUGGAACCAUCCUUAAGCACUGAGUUCUAUGUAUGUUGUCCAAUGACUCGAUACUACCACACAUUGGGCUCCGGGCGCUCCAAGCCCUCUCGACUUAUUAACCAACUUGAUCUCUGUCCAGGAGUCGCAACUAGUUUCUGGUGUUUGUAGGUAGUGCUAUUUUUCUACCAAGUGGCACCCGGCAGGGUGGGCUUGGGACAGACUAGGCACACGUGGCCUGGUGUACCGAGUGGCACCCGGAUGGUGGGCUCGGGAACCCUGCACACAUCGUUUGGGGCCGUGAGCGAAACCCCGGCCGGAUCUCCUUGCGGAUGGAACCCGAAUAGGCGAUAAACCUGGACUAGAGUCUUGUGUGGUUAGUCAGGUCGUGGCCGACACCCUCGCCAGGCUUCCGCUUGAAGGUUGCCGAGAUACAUGACGUGUACAUGGCGGUAAGUGGCGAGAGCGUGUGUGAAGAAGUACACCCCUGCAGGGUUAACAUGAUCUAUUCGAAUAGCCGGGUCCGCGGUUAUGGACUUCUUGGAUGCUUACAUGGUACAUAGACAACUUGAAGUGUAUACUCUAAAAAGCUCAAGACAAGUGUGAGUGCUAUGGAUGGCCUUCUCGUAGGGAGACGGGGAUGAAUCCAUAGUAGUGUAUUGUGUGGUGAUUAGUGGACUCGUGUGCGCCAUAUCACCUCAAGAGUUUCUGGUAGUCGUAGAAUAGGAUAGCACUGAGUCAAAGCUGGCUUGCUGCAACUAAACCCCACAUUACCUUCUUGAUACACAUGCAUGUACGAUAGGAUCUGAUGUAAGUCUUGCUGAGUACCUUUGUACUCAUGUUGCUUUAUUUAUGCUUUUGCAGCGGAGACUUCGGUCUUACUAGUGUUCCCGUGGACUUCGAUGAGUAGUUUGUACCUCAGCUACGAUCUUGAUCGGAUGUUGUAGAUAGUCAGGCUCUUCAGCCUUUUUCAUUUGUAGAUGUCUGUACCCAGACAUGUAAUGCUUCCGCUUGUUGCUUGUAUGCUCUGUAUGAUGAUUCUUGUGACCCCUGUUUGAAAUAAAGGCUAUGAUGGCUCUUUGAGCUUUAUCUAUGUGAGUUAUUGAGUUAUGAUGUGAUGCCAUGUUGUACAACACAUACUUGCAUGUUAUGCGUACGUGUAACGUGUAUUGCUAUGUGUGGGAUCUGACUAUCUAGUUGUUUAUCCUUAGUAGCCUCUCUUACCGGGAAAUGUCUCCUAGUGUUUCCACUGAGCCAUGGUAGCGUGCUACUGCUCCGGAAAACUUAGGCUGGCCGGCAUGUGUCCUUCUUUGUUCCUGUGUCUGUCCCUUCGAGGAAAUGUCACGCGAUGAAUACCGGAGUCCUGUUAGCCCGCUACAGCCCGGUUUACCGGAGUCCUGUUAGCCCAGUUGCUACAGCCCGGAUUGACUCGUUGAUGACCGACACGUUCGAUGCUGGGUCAUGUAUGCCUGUCCCUGUAAGUUAGUGCCACUUUGGGUUCACGACUAGCCAUGUCAGCCCGGGUUCUCUGUCAUAUGGAUGCUAGCGACACUAUCGUAUACGUGUGCCAAAAGGCGCAAACGGUCCCGGGCAUGGUAAGGCGACACUCGUGGGAAUACCGUGCGUGAGGCCGCAAAGUGAUAUGAGGUGUUACAUGAUAGAUCGAUGUGACUUAGGAUCGGGGUCCUGACAGUGAUAAAGCAUUAUAAGUCCGACGGCCUGGUUCGUUGUGCUGAGUGCCUCCCUAGAUGGACCCAAGAAUGGGAACAAGAGCGCUCAGGUUUAUCCCGAACACCCCAGCACUCAUGGCAUGGGGGUCGAAGCCGACGACUUGCAUCUCUCAGAUUUGAUAAAUGGCCGCAGAAAAGGUAAUAUUUUAAAUUAACAAGCGUUGCUUAACGCAUAUGAACAAAGUUUUCAGCAUAAUGGAUAACAGAUGCGAGCCUACUCAAAAAUUACAUCUUUGGAGCAUUCGUCCGCUAUACGGCGAGCACCCUUCAAGACACCCUUAUAAUACAUCUCGGGCGUGCGAUACUCCUUUCCCAGCGGUGGCGCGUCCGUCAAAAGCUUCUCAGCGUCCAGGUUGCCCCAUUGCACUUUAGCACGGGCAAGGGCCCGACGGGCACCUUCGAUGCAGACGGAGCGCUUGACGACCUCAAUCCACGGACACGCGUCCACCAGCCGCCGCACCAGACCGAAGUAGCUCCCAGGCAUGGCUUCUCCAGGCCAUAUCCGAGCUAUGAGGCCCUUCAUGGCCUGUUCGGCCACCUUGUGGAGCUCGACCAGCUGCUUCAGCUGGUCGCUCAGGGGCACCGGAUGUUCGGCCUCAGCAUACUAAGACCAGAACACUUUUUCCGUCGAGAUCCCCUCUUCGGCUCGGUAGUAUGCAGCGGCAUCAGACACACUACGGGGCAGAUAGGCGAACGCUCCUGGAGAGCUCCAGAUUCGGGUAAGUAGCAGAUAAUUAACUUUUAUAUUCGUGCUUUGCAUAAAGAAUGACUUACCGACCGUUAUUUUCUUCAUCGCCUCGAUCUCCUGGAGGGCCUUCUGGGCUUCGGCCUUAGCGUUUUUGGCACUCUCAAGAGCCAAGGCAAGCUCAGAGUCUCGAGUCUUUGAGUCACGCUCCAAACUCUCGUGUUUUUCCACCAGAGCCUGGAGCUCUUGCCGCACCUCCGCCACCCAUGCCUCCUGCUUCUCUCGCUCGGCGCGCUCCAGGGCUGCACUGUUUUCGGCCUUGGAGACCGCCUCCUUCAGGGUCGCCACCUCGGCCAUGGCCCCUGCAACAUUUAAGUUGGUCCUGUCAUUAUUUGCAACCAAGUAUUUCUAUAUACAUUUACAUGCAGUAUCACAUACCCUCCUUGUCCUCGAGCUGCUUCUUGGCACGGCCGAGCUUGUUCUCGGACCGCUCGAGGCUUCCCUUCAAUGCAUUGACCUCCGCAGUCAGUGCGGCAGAGGUCAGCAGCGCAGCCUGCAUUCCCAUAUGGACAUAUUUUUAUUAGACUCCUGCGUAUAUCUUUUUAGAUCCUCAGCUUGACUUUUCUUUCCGAACGCCGAAUCGAGCAUCAAGGGCUACUAUCUAUGCGGUAACAUUUUUAUAUGUUUUGAACACAUACCUCAAAGCCUGUUAACAGACUUGUACAGGCUUCUGUGAGCCCGCUCUUGGCGGACUGAACCUUUUGAAUCACCGCACUCAUAACAGUGCGGUGUUCCUCGUCGAUGGAGGCUCCGUUAAGCGCCUACAGCAAAUUGUCUGGCGCCUCCAGAUGGAUGGAGGUCGCCGGCGGCGUAGGCUUGCCCUUCUUAUGAAGGCGCCGCCCGUCGGACUCUGGAACCGCUGGUGGUUCCAGAGCAGUGUCCGGCCCGGGGCCGGACUUAGACCCCUCUGGGGCUUUACCCCCUUUGGGCCUGGAGUCUGGGAGGUCGCCUUGGGGCGCCUCCAGGACCACCUCCUCCUGGUUCGGUCCCUUUUGGGACUCCACCUCGGCAUCAUCCGCAGGGAGCGGGGAGGAGGCCGUCGGAAGUGAAGCGCUAUUCACAUCCGACGAAUUCAGGGAGCCGCUCGACGAAUUGCCGAGCUGAGCUCUGGGUGGACUGCAUGAUUAAAAUUCAGCGUUAGACAUUACCAAAUAAUAGAGGAGCGCGAUGAGUCAUUCGGGUAACCAGACACUUACGAUUUUGCCAGGGGCUUGACCCUGGAUGGCCAUUCCUCCCCGCUGUCUUCGGCAUCGGAGGCGUAGUCUGGGAGAAGGGUCUUCCCCUUCUUGGACCCUCCGGCCUCCCCAGUUGGGGCGGCUUUCCUUUUCUUUUCUCCCCCCGUUGGAGGGGGAGAGGCUUCUUCUUCUUCUUCUUCCUCCUCGUCUUCCAAGGCGGAGGGUGCAUCGGGGUUGUCGGGCGAUGAAUCCGACACCACCAGGCGCCGGGAGCUCUUUCGAGUCCCUGUGGCCUUCUUCUUGGCCUUCUUCUCUGGCACCACGUGAGGUGCCGGAACCAGCAGCCCCGUCAAUCGGGCGUCUGCUGGAUCUUCUGGUAAGGGAGCCGGACAGCUAACCUGUCCGGACUUCUUCAGCCAGUCCUGUCAAAGGUAGGGGAGUUUAGAUCCCGCAUAGAGUCAGACCAUGAAAGAAAAGAGUCCCGUAAAGGGUAGAAUAACUUACCUCGUUGGCUCGAUGCCACGAACUGAAUCCGCGAUCUUCGAUAGCGGAUGCGGGGGCCUCGGCACCCUUAAAACAGCACCUUCCAGGCAUCUUCGUACGUAGUAUCGAAGAGCCCGCUCAAGGCUUGGUGCUGUGCCGGAUCGAACUCCCACAAUUUGAAGGCCCGUUGUUGGCAUGGGAGGACCCGGCGGAUAAGCAUGACCUGGACUACGUUGACGAGCUUGAGGUUCUUGCUGACCAGCUUUUUGAUGCAGGUUUGGAGUCCGGUCAGAUCUUCCGAAUCUCCCCACGUUAAGCCCGUCUCUUUCCAGGAGGUGAGCCGUGUGGGAAAGCCAGAUCAGAAUUCGGGGGCCGCUUCCCAUUUGGGGUCGCGUGGCUCGGUGAUGUAGAACCACCCCGAUUGCCAUCCUUUUAUUGUCUCCACGAAGGAGCCCUCGGGCCAUAGGAAGUUGGCCAUCCGGCCCACCAUGGCACCUCCGCACUCCGCUUGGCAGCUGCUCACCACUUUCGUCUUGACAUUAAAAGUCUUCAGCCAUAAGCCGAGGUGGGGCUGGAUGCAGAGGAAGGCUUCACACACGACGAUGAACACCGAGAUGUUGAGGAUAAAGUUCAGGGACAGAUCAUGGAAGUCCAGGCCGUAAUAGAACAUGAGCCCCCGGACAAACGGGUGAAGAGGAAAACCCAGUCCGCGGAGGAAAUGAGGGAGAAAGGCAACCCUCUCAUGAGGCCUGGGGGUAGGGAUGAGUUGCCCCGCAUCUGGAAGCCGAUGCGCGAUGUCGUCAGACAAGUAUCCGGUCGUCCUCAACUUUUUGAUUUUCCCCUCCGUGACGGAGGAGGCCAUCCAUCUACCUCCCGCUCCGGACAUGAUUGGAGUAGGUUGAGGUGGGAAGUGCGGGCUUGGGCGUUGGAGCUUGAGCGCGCAGGGACGAAUAAGCAAAGGAGGAAGAAGGCGUGAAUGGAAAGGGCGGAUUCUUAUCCCCUUAUAUGAGCGGCCAAAACUACGAGCCCCCACCGGCCUAAUAAAACUCGCUUAUCUCCCAAGCGGCGCGGUUAAUGGUGCGGUUGGGUUACCCACGCCCGUAUUGAUGAGAAUACCGGAAUAAGGGGGCACGAUCUCUGCUUUGACAAGACAUGCCAAGGAAACCGCCUCGCUAAACGUGUUGAGGUGGAACGGUAAAAUGAAUAAAAGCCUGGCCGUGGCGUGAGGUCACGCUACGGAAUACGUUAGCAGAUUAGAUUGGUGCAAAUGUUAUUCUCUCUAUGGUGGCAUGUGGAACUUAUUUUGCAGAGCCGGACACUAUCCUGGUGUUCAACAUCUUCUAUGAAGUAUUCGGAGGAGGAACCCGCCUUGCAAUGCCGAAGACAACUUGCGCGCCGGACUCGUCGUCAUUGAAGCCUGGUUCAGGGGCUACUGAGGGAGUCCUGGAUUAGGGGGUGUCCGGAUGGCCGGACUAUGACCUUUGUCCGUACUCCCGGACUAUGAAGAUACAAGACUGAAGACUCCAUCCCGUGUCCGGAUGGGACUUUCCUUGACGUGGAAGGCAAGCUUGGCGAUACGAUAUGAAGAUCUCCUCCCAUUGUAACCGACUCUGUGUAACCCUAGCCCUCUCCGUUGUCUAUAUAAACCGGAGAGUUUUAGUCCGUAGCACGAACAACAAUCAUACCAUAGGCUAGCUUCUAGGGUUUAGCCUCUCUGAUCUCGUGGUAGAUCAACUCUUGUAAUACCCAUACCAUCAAUAUUAAUCAAGCAGGAGUAGGGUUUUACCUCCACCGAGAGGGCCCGAACCUGGGUAAAAACAUCGUGUCCCUUGUCUCCUGUUACCAUCCGCCUAGACGCACAGUUCGGGACCCCCUACCCGAGAUCCGCCGGUUUUGACACCGACAAUAGCCUUUACCAUGCCUAUUUCGCUAGUAUACAUGUUGCUGUUUGAAAACAGGAAGUUUACCGCUGUUGCAAAAAUUCCCUAGAAAAGUCAGAGAAUGAUAUAAUGUUGAAACUUUUUGGAUUUUGAUAUCUGAUAAAUCUUAUACAGCUUAGUAUUUUUCUCAUAAUUUUUUUAGUUAGGGAAGUAUGAUGAAUCUUGCAUUCUUUACAGACUAUACUGUUUUGGCAGAUUGCUGUUAUAGUUGCAUUGUUUGCAUAUGUUUGCUUGUUUAAUGAUUCUAUUUGAGGAUAGGAGUAUUAAAUAUGCAGAGGCAUUUAGUAUGCAAUGUUGAAUACUAAUUUUAGUGUUUUGUUACAGUAGAAAAUGAUAAGGUUUUGCAAUGGUUUAUACUAACCUAUCUCAUGAGUUCUUGUUGAGUUUGGUGUGGAUGAAGCUUUUGAUCAAAGAGAAACCAGGAUAUGAGAGGAAUUAAGGUGAUAUGAAAGUUCAAGCUUGGGGAUGCCCAAGGCACCCCAAGAUAAUAUUCCAAGAAGUCUCAAGCAUCUAAGCUUGGGGAUGCCCCGUUAGGCAUCCCACCUUUCUUCUUCAACAACUAUCGGUUAGUAUCGGUUGAACCUAAGCUUUUGCUUCUUCACAUGAGUUGUGCUAUCCUUGCAAUGUCAUUUUAUUUUGUUUUACUUGCUGUUUGAAUAAAAUCAUUGGAUCUGAAAUUUUGAAUAGAAAAGGAACCCUCCCAUGGCUAGUUAAUUAUUUGCCUACUCAGUAUCCUUCACUCAUAUCUUUUGGAGUAGUUUGUCAUUUAUUCAUGUGCUUCAUGUCUAUCCUAUGAGUAAAUGGGGGAAAUGAAUUGAAUGUCAUAAAUCUGAAUUUAUAUAUGUUUCAUAUGCUUAUAACAUGGUUAGUGAUGAUUUCACACAUAGAAAGAGGCAUAAAAGUUGUUGAGAGUUGGUAAACGUAGUUUUCGUCAUCGUUGCAAUUAAUAGGAAGUAAUAAAGAAAGAGAGGUUCACAUACAAAUAUAUUAUCUUGGACAUCUUUUAUGAUUGAGAGCACUCAUUAAGUAUGACAUGCUAAAAGAGUUGACGUUGGACAAGGAAGACAAUGUAAUGGUUUAUGUUUUCCAACAUCUCAGUUAAAGUAUAUUGUCAUUGACCUUCCAAACAUGUUGAGCUUGCCUUUCUCCCUCAUGCUAGCCAAAUUCCUUGCACCAAGUAGAGAUACUACUUGUGCUUCCAAAUACCCGUAAACCCAGUUUUGUCAUGCGAGUCCACCAUACCUACCUAUGGAUUGAGUAAGAUCCUUCAAGUAAGUUGUCAUCGGUGCAAGCAAUAAAAAUUGCUCUCUAAAUAUGUAUGACUUAUUAGUGCAGAGAAAAUAAGCUUUGUACGAUCUUGUUGUGGAAGUAAUAAAACCGACGGACUGCAUAAUAAAGGUCCACAUACAAGGGGCAAUAUAAAGUGACGUUCUUUUGCAUUAAAAUUUUGUGCAUCAACCCUAAACGCGCAGGACAACCUCUGCUUCCCUCUGAGAAGGGACUAUCUUUUACUUUAUGCUUUUACUUUAUGCUUGAGUCAAGGUGAUCCUCACCUUUCCCUUUUUCAUUUUAUCCUUUGGCAAGCUCCUCGUGUUUGAAAGAUCAUGAUAUAUAUGUCCAAUUGGAUGUAAGUUAGCGUGGGCUAUUAUUGUUGACAUCACCUAAAGGUGAAUACGUUGGGAGGCAACACAAUAAGCCCCUAUCUUUCUCAGUGUCCGGCUGAAACUCCAUAACCACAAGUAUUGCGUGAGUGUUAGCAAUUGUAGAAGACUAUAUGAUAGUUGAGUAUGUGGACUUGCUGAAAAGCUCUAUUCUUGACUCUUUCUGAUGUUAUGAUAAAUUGCAGUUGCUUCAGUGACUGAGAUUAAAGUUUGUUAGUUCUCAAUGAAGUUUCUGAACCAUGCUUGACAUUGUGAAUAGAUUGUUACUUGAUCAUGAAAAGUUUUAUGGGAUAAGCUACUAUUAUGACACAUAUUGAUGCUAGAAAAGGUGAUUGAAAUUAUCAUUGAUCAACUUGUGCACCUUCUAGCAUUCACACUUCAUAAAUUAUUUCUUUUAUCAUUUACCUACUCGAGGACGAGCAGGAAUUAAGCUUGGGGAUGCUGAUACGUCUCCAACCUAUCUAUAAUUUAUGAAGUAUUCAUGCUAUUAUAUUAUCCAUCUAUGAUGUUCUAUAUGCAUUUAUAUGUCAUCUUAUAUGAUUUUGGGACUAACCUAUUAACCUAGAGCCCAGUGCCAGUUUCUGUUUUCUCCUUGUUUUUGUGUUUUAUAGAAAAGGGAUACCAAACGGAGUCCAAUUGACGUGCCAAUUUUGAGGAUUUUUUAUGGACCAAAAGAAGACCACGGAGCAUCAGAGUUCGGCCAGAAGAGUCCCAGGCUGCCCACGAGAGUGGGGGCCGCGCCCUCCCCCCUGGGGCGUGCCCCCUAUCUCGUGGACAGCCCGGAGACCUUCCUGAAAUGAAACCAAUGCCAAAAAUUCCUAUAAAUACAGAAACCUUCGGGAAUUAACCUAGAUCGGAAGUUCCUCUGACGCAAGCCUCUGUAGCCAUGAGAAAUCAAUCUAGGCCCUCUCUGGCACCCUGCUGGAGGGGGCCAUCAUCACCAAAGGCCAUGGAGGAGGAUCUCGGAGGGGCCAUAAUCUCCAUGAAGGCCAAGAACCAGAGGGGGAAAGCCAUGGAGGAGGAAGCACAAGGGGGAGAAACUCUCCUCCUCUCUCUUGGUGGCACCGAAGUGCCAUCGGGAGGGGAAUCAUCGCCGCAGUGAUCGUCGUCAUCAACAUCACCAUCAUCAUCUCUUUUACGUGGUCCACUCUCCCGCACUCCGCUAUAAUCCCUACUUUAACAUGGUGCUUUAUGCCACAUACUAUGAUCCAAUGAUGUGUUGCCAUCCUAUGAUGUUUUGAGUAGAUAUCUUUUGUCUUUGGGUUGACUGAUGAUCUAGAUUGGUAUGAGUUGUAUGUUUUAUUUUGGUGCUGUCCUAUGGUGCACUCCGUGUCGCGCAAGCGUGAGGGAUCCCCGUUGUAGGGUGUUGCAAUACGUUCAUGAUUCACUUAUAGUGGGUUGGUGAGUGACUGAAACACAAACCCGAGUAAGAGGGGUUGUUGCGUAUGGGAAUAAAGAGGACUUGAUGCUUUAAUGCUAUUGUUGGGUUUUACCUUAAUGAUCUUUAGUAUUUGGGGAUGCUUGCUAGAGUUCCAAUCAUAAGUGCAUAUGAUCCAAGUAGAGAAAGUAUGUUAGCUUUUGCCUCUCCCUCAUAUGAAAUUACAAUAGUGAUUACCGGUCUUGUUAACAAUUGCCUAGGACAAUUCCGCACAUCGAUCCACCAUUAUUCCACACUCGCUAUUUAUAUUAUUUAGUAUUAUAUUCUAACUCUAUGAUAACAACACCUACUUUUAUAUUUUAGCUCUCCGAUAUCAUACAAAGUUAUCCUCUUUAUACCCACAACACAGUUUUAUUCCUUGUUUCUAGUUGGAAGCAAACGUUCAGUGCACGUAGAGUCGUAUCAGUGGCAGAUAGGGCUUGAGAGAAUAUCGAUCUUACCUUUAGCUCCUUGUGGGUUCGACACUCCAUACUUAUCACUUCCACCUUUAGGAAUUGCUACGAUGAUUCCCUACACUUGGGGAUUAUCACUGUCGUACUGACGGAACUCUCCCUCGACCGUCUACUGGAUUAAGAUCUCGAGGGACGUCAUCGUGUUGAACGUGUGCUAAACACGGAGGUGCCGUACAUUCAGUACUUGGAUCGGUUGGACCGUGAAGAUGUUCGACUACAUCAAACGUGUUAUUAAAUGCUUCCGCUUUCAGUCUACGAGCGUACGUGGACACACUCUUCCAUCUCGUUGAUAUGCAUCUCCUAGAUAGAUCUUGCGUGAUUGUAGGAAUUUUUUUGAAUUGCUACGUUCCCCAACAGUCAUGUAUGUGAUGCAUAUAUUCUUGAUCAUUGCCUUGGAUAUCUUCAUAACUUUGCACUUUUCUAUCAAUUGCUCCACAGUAAUUUGUUUACCCAUCGUAUGCGUUCUUCCAAGAGAGAACCCUCUAGUGAAAACUAUGGCCCCCAGGUCUAUUUUUAUCAUAUUAUUUUCAUAUCUAUAAAAUAAAAAACACAAAAAUAUCUUGCUACAAUUUAUUACCUUUUAUACCUAUCUCUAUCAGAUCUCAUCCUUGCCAGUAACACUGAAGGGAUUGACAACCCCUUUUUUGUGUUGUGUGCAAGUAUUUGUUUGUUUGUGUAGGUGCAACCAUUGGGGACUUGUGUGUUCCUCCUACUGGAUUGAUACCUUGGUUUGUAACUAAAGAAAAUACUUAUCUCUACUUUGCUGCAUCACCAUUUCCUCUUGAAGGGAAAAUCCAAUGCAAGCUCAAGAAGUAGCACCAGCUGUAGUAGCAUCGAAGUAAUUCGUGUGACAUGUUCAGCGCACCACUAACACUACUAGAAAAAGUCUUAUAAGUGGGCUCAAAUUAGUGGUGGGUAAAAAUGUCGCUAGACAAUAGCGGCGGACAAAAAAAGCUAGCCGCCACUCAUAAAUUUGUACAAAUUUAGCCAUGGCAUAAAAGAAUCAGUGACAGGCAACAACUUUAGCCCGCCAUUGGUUUUUCAUCUACCAGUGGCGGGCGAAAAGUUUGGCUGCCACAACAAUAUUUCUACUAGCCCGCGUCAAAUGUUUCAAAAUUUAGCAGUGGUGGGCGCCCAAGGAAGCCCGCCACAGAUAUAACAAGUAAGAAAUAUGGUUGAAAGAAAUCAUAUUUACUAAACAUAGAAUAAUUGAAAUGAUGUUGAAAAAUUGAGUUGUCUUUGGGAGGGGGUGGUUUCCGUUCGAAACUCUGAUACUUCAUUCGAGAGUGUUCAGUUUGUACACAAAGUGCAUCAAGUUUUUGUCGUAAUGCUCUCAAAUUUUAACAACUCCCUACAAGGGUCCUGUGAAGACACCAUGAAGACACCCUUUCCGGACUCUUUUGCAUGUUAUAUUGAAUGAAAAUGCGUUCUACCCUUUUUAGGGGCCGAGAAAUCAAGUAAUGCUUCAAAAAAUAGCAAACCAACUCAAAAAGUUCUAAAUUUUGAGAAUUGGAAUCCCAAUGGUGUGUCUUAAACAUAUUAAAACAUUGAAGUUGAAAUGAUGUGGAAAAUUUAGAUUUGUAUGAAAGACGAUGAUUUUUGUUUGAAACCUAACACUUCACCAGAGAGUGUUUAGUUUGUACAUGAAAUGCAUCUAAUUUUUGUCAAAACACUCUCAAAUUUUUACCACACCCUUCAUGUGUCCUAUGAAGAUACCAUAUGCCAAGUUUCACCCCUUUCCGAGCUUGUUUGCACAUUAUGUCGAAUGAAAAUGUGUUUAGUCCUUUUUAGUGGCCAAAAAAUCAGUUAAUGCUUCAAAAAUAGCAAACAACUCAUAAAGUUCUAGAAUUUGAGGAUGGGACUUCCAAUGUGUGCAUUAAAUAUAGUAAAAGAAUUAAGUCAAAAUGAAGUAGAAAAAUUGAGUUGUGUGUGGAAGGCGACGAUUUUCAUUUGAAAUGCUGAUACUUCGUAGGAGAGUGUUCAACUUGUACACGAAGUGCAUCAAGUUUUUGCCGUAUCGCUCUCAAAUACUUACCACACACCCUACAGGGGUCCUAUAAAACACUGAUACGUCUCCAAAGUCUCUAUAAUUUUUGAUUGUUCCAUGCUAUUAUAUUAUCAAUCUUGGAUGUUUUAUAUACAUUUACAAGCAAUUAUAUAACAUUUUUUGUGACUAACCUAUUAACUUAGUGCCCAGUAUCAAUUGCUAUUUUUUGCUUGCUUUCUAUUUCUCAAAAUAUCAGUACCAAACAAAGUCCAAAUGUCACGAAACUUUUUGCAGAUUUUUUCCUGGGCAUAAGAGACCCUGGAAGCUUCAUGAGGGGACAAGAAGAUGGAGCAGUGGCCCAUGAGGCACUAGGGCGCGCCUAGGGGGUAGGGCAUGCCCUGGUGGCUCAUGGGGCCCACGUGGCUCCGUUUGACCUAACUCAGCCUCUAUAAAUUCUCUAAAUCGGGAAACCAAUAGAGGAUUCCACGAAAUACUUUUUCCGCCGCCGCAAGUCUCUGUUCUCGUGAGAUCCCAUCUGGAGGCCUUUUCCGGCACUCUGCCGGGGGGGUCAAUCAUGGAGGGGCUCUAGAUCAACCUUGCUGCCCUUCCGAUGAUGCGUGAGUAGUUCACCAUGGACCUAUAGGUCCAUAGUCCAUAGUUAGUAGCAAGAUGGCUUCUUCUCUCUAUUUGAUCUUCAAUACAAUGUUAUCCUCGAUGUUCUUGGAGUCCUAUCCGAUGUAAUGACUUUUUGCGGUGUGUUUGUUGGGAUCCGAUAAAUUGUGAGUUUAUGAUCAGAUUAUCCAUGAAUAUUAUUUGAGUUUUUUCCAAUGUUGAUGAUAUCGUUAUCGUCUCGGUAAGCUAGGGAUUAGAGAUUAAUCGGAAAAUGGCCGAUUAGUCGAUUUUAUCGGCCGACUAUUAAUCGGAUAUUUUUGCAAAUCUCAGGUUCCCAACACUAAAAUAUGUUAUAUUCAACACCAAAAUAAUAUUGGAUAGAAGUGUUACCUUGAUUCCUAGCCUUUGAAUCCUCGUAUAAUGACAAACAAAAUAGGACAACAAUACAUAUUUCAUAACAAGGUCCACAAAACAUAAAUAAACAUAGUUUUUGCAAACAUAGUGCUAUGAAUAGGUCUGAUUUAUCGGCAGAUUCCCGAUAAAUUGCUUGUCAGAGCGAUAAAUCGGUCCAAAAGAUAAACGGUAAGGAUAAGGCAUAAUCUUAUCGGUCAUCCUCCAAUUAGCAAUAAAUCAGAAGAUUAAUCGCUGAAUCGGAAGAUUUUUUGAACAGUGGUUUUCUCUGAACUCUUUUAUGCUUGAUUGUUAUAGCUUCGUAUUUCUCUCUGAUCUGUUGAUUUGGAUUGGCCAACUAGAUUGAUUUAUCUUGCUAUGGGAGAGGUGCUUUGUAAUGGUUCGAUUUUGUGGUGCUCAAUCCCAGUGACAGAAAGGGACAUGACACGUAUGUAUCGUUGCUAUUAAGGAUAAAAUGUUGGGGUUUAUUCAUGCGUGAGUUUACUUUGUCUACAUCAUGUCAUCUUGUUUAAGGCGUUACUCCAUUCUUUAUGAACUUAAUACUCUAGAUGCAUGCUGGAUAACAGUCGGUGUGUGGAGUAAUAGUACUAGAUGCAGAAUUUGUCGGGGAUAUACCCCGCGGUGUAACCCGGCCGGAAGUAUAACCCGGCCGGACUCGGCGACUCACUAAUGACCUGCCCUGACUGGAUGAUACACUAAGUGACCCGCCCGAUCCUGGCGACUUAUGGGUGACCUGGCAAGCGGGUCAGAGGAGCGACAAGACCCGGGGGCCCAGGAGGUUCAAGGCCCAGAAGGCCGGCUUACAUUAUGGUAGGCUGGCUUAAGAGGAAAGGCGUGAGGAAUAUCUCCCUUACAAGGAAUCAAGACCCGGACUUGUAUCCGACUUGUAGUAGAAGAUAGGCUAGUCCAAAUCCUAUUUGGACUCCACAUGUAACCCGCCCAUCUAACUUAUAUAAGGAGAGGCGGGGCUCCCCAAAGAGGGACAGGCAACAAGAACAAUUUCUAGGGCUAGACACAAAGAGCCGGCUUACCGGCGACUUCCUCAUGAGCAUAAUGAGACCUAGCCUCAAACAGCAUGUAGGGCUACUACCGGAUGAUGUUUCCCGGGGCCCGAAGCUGUCUAAACCCUUGUCUUGCGUGUUGAUCCGCCCUGCAUCUCUCGUCCCACUCAACCCAUCUCAAGCUACCACAUAGAUGCGUUGGCCUCGCGACUAAGUCCUGACACUAAGGACAUCUGCCGUGACAAAUCCACGACAGUUGGCGCCCACCGUGGGGCAAGCGCACGGUGGUGUUGAGUUCUUGAAGAGAUUUUUUCUAGGGUUCAGAAGCUCGCGAUUAACCGGAUGGAGAAGAAAUGACGCGAACGGAUCUACAUUAAUGAUGAGCGGUCGGGCAGCAUACACAAGAUUUUGAGAUCGAGGCAAGCUAGGGUUGCGUAGACCACCGCAGGCGCCGUGGUGAUUCACCAGCCUCCACGCUCGCUGCUGCGCCUCAAACCGCGAGCUCGUUUUCAAUCGCCAUGUCUCUGCUUCCGGGCUGAGUCGCUAGGGCCUCGCGGUUGUUGCUUCUGAGAGCUGCCUAUUUACGAGUCGCCGGCGCCCCUUGUUUUCAGCCGCGCUCAACUUCCGAUCACCGACGCCGUGCGACCCGGCCGUCCGCUGGCUCCGGCUCCCGGCUCACUGCGUUGCCCCGAGGUGUCGCGCCGCCGCUACUGCUAUGGCCUUAACCCGUCAAGCCGCCUUCUCAUUGCUAUGAGCUGCCCGUGGCUUUGCUGUCGACGGGUGCUGCUCCUGGUUGAGCCACCUUCGUCGUUGCUACGACCAAGGGCUCACCUGCGAGUUGCCGCUCCAGCUGUCGCGCCUUCCGCCUGCUCGAACAGUCGUGGUUCGUCUCUGCACUCUGCAACCUUCAUCGUCACCUCCAUGGCCUGCCUAUAAGUCGCCCUUGUGCGGCCAUGCCUCCGAGAGGUUCAUGCGCCCUCAUUUCCACUACCGCGGUCCCCCGAUGAGUCGGCCGCACAAGUGAUCAUCUGCCGGGCUCGUUCAACUAGGUGUGGUUGUGUACACAUGCAAGUUUUCACAACAACAGGCAAAAUCAAAGGCGUUUUGUCAUUGGUAUUUUCCAUGUGAAGGCAGAGUUGGUCAAUCAGACUAGAUGGAGUACUAUUCCCUGGCGUAAAAGACCAAGGCCUGCAAAUAAAGAUGCACCUUUACACGGAGAGGCAAAUCUUACAAGGGCGCAGGUUGCAGUCUAAUCAUUAUUUAAAGCAAUACUACAGCUUAUAUCUGUUGAGGAUUUAUGCACAGCCUCAAAGAAAGACAAAGGAAGGCCUCUUGGGGCUACCGCUACAUUGUGUAAAUGUACAUCUAGACGGGUUAUCUUUUUCGUCCGGCGAUUACGUCCAGUAUCAUCCAACACCAGCAUAUUGUUCAUCCGACAAAAAUAUCAGGACCGUUAUUCCUUACAAAAGGUGUCGCAAAAGGGCGUGCGCCAAUAUUAUUUUUGCACUAGCAAUUGUCCAUGCCAUGCUGCUGGACGGAUACGUGUGCAUGUUGAUGUCCUCGCUACAUCAACACACCAACUAGCUCGUCGUCCGCGCCCGCGGCCGACUCACCCACGUCUGUGCUAUUUCUAACAUUGUGGCCGACUCUCCCGUCCGCGCCGGCUUACAACCCCGUGACUGACUCAUCUGUCUGCUUUCGCGGUUGACUCGCUCGUGAUUGGUUUCAACUUCACUGUAGUGAUCAUCAACUCCGCGGCGAAUAAUUUACAGCCUAACAUAUCAGGUGUGCUCAAGUCGCCGCCCGUGCAGCUUAAUCUACAUCAACCCGUCGGAGCUGCGAUGAGCCACCCUUGCCGCUUUGAGCCGCCGGGGUUAUAUUAAGUCGUCGGACUGCCUGAGUCGACGGAACUAUAUUGAGUCGAUGGUCGGCUUGAGCCACCUCUGUUGCGAUAAACGGAUCAUCCGUCGUCCAAACAAAUCAGGUGAUAUCCAUCCAAGUUUGUUUUAUUAGCACAUAUUGUUUUUUGUUAAAGAACAAGUUUAUCUUUGCCUUGGUCUGCAAUAUUGUUUAUGCAGGGCAAUUAUUUAUGACAAAAAGUGAUAUUAUACCGCGGAGAUGGAGGCACGCCAACAUCUUUUGGCACAGGUGGUCGUCGUUACUCAACGGACUCCCGCACCAGCUCACAACGCCGUGGCCAUCUCCCGCGACCACGCCGGCUUACAACAAGGAGGACAACCUUGCCCGUUCGCACCGGCUUACAAUGCCACGGCCGUUUUAUCUAUCUGUGCUGCCUCCGAUGUUGCAGUCGUCUUUACCGUCCGUCUCUCGCGGCCUGGUCUACAUCAACACACCGGGCCGCACUUGUCUGGAUAAGCUGUUUAUUGAGUAUGAGCAAGUCACUAUUUGGGAAGCCCGGUUUUCUUCCAACAAAUUGGAAGCAAAUUAUCAUAUAUUAUCAGCCGCCGUUUGCACUGGAUGGCUCAAUGGGUAGGCACACAAGUCGCCGCCACUGCAGUUUGGUUAACUACAAAUAGCCAGUUGGAAGGAGCCAUUGGCUGAGUUGCUGACAUGGCUCAUACGGGAUCAUUUAUAACCCGCCGCAGUCACCUCAACCUUCUGUGGAUUCACAUCGCGCUAUCAACGCCAAUGAUUUAUACCUUCUACUAUGGUCAAAUAUGGAGAAUCUCAAGCCAACUCCUCGAGUCGUCUUGAGACUCGGGGGUUACAAUGGUAUGACUCGGCAAAAUUAGCCGGUUUCAAUGAAUUCAAGAACUCCGGGUCAUUGAAGGGAAAAAUAACCCGGGCCCCAGAGAUUACUGCUAGAUCGAUGAAAAUUUAAAAGCCGUCAGAAGAUUUCCGGCUCAAAAUAAGGACUCUGGUUUAAAAUCUGGUUCAAGAGACAUCUUUCUCCCACAAAGCACUGAAGCUCUCAAAUCCGGUUCAAAAGCCGGCCCAGGGUAAAUUUGUCCCUCACAAAUUUCUGAAGCUCUCAUAUCCGGUUCAAAAUCCGGCCCAGGGUAAAUAUGUCCCUCACAAAUCCGGUUUAAAGUUCCGGUUCAAAAAGAAUUAAUCUCUCGCAGAGUUCUAAGAAAAAUUAAAGGUUGCUAAAAAGAACUUGCUGCCAUGAUGCGCGGUUCAAACAUAGGUAUCCUGCCUUACGGCUUAUCUUAUUAUCGUCACUUGGGGGCUUCCUGCUCAUCGAGCAUAGCUGUCGGUACCCUCUUGAUCGGUGCAAUGCUAAUAUAUGGUCACUUGGGGGCUUCCUGUUCAAACAUAGGUCGUAUUCGAACCAAAGAGAACAUAGCUGUCAAAACCCUUUUGGUCGGCACAUUGCCAAACUCACUAGGGGGCUUCUUGAUCGUAUUCAAAUCAUAGCUUAACCUCUUUUGGGUCCGACGUGGAUCAUAUUCGAAUCAGCGUCAUUAAACAACUCUCAAGGUCAUUUGGGGGCUUCCUGUUCAAACAUAGGUCGUAUUCGAACCAAAGAGAACAUAGUUGUCGGUACCCUCUUGAUCGGCAAUGCCAAAGCCACUGGGGGCUAUAUGAUCAUAUUCGAAUCUUAGCUCAACCCCUUUGGAACGGUUUUUUGAUCGUAUACGAAUCAGAAGCCUUAAGUUUUUUAAGUCUUUUUUGCGAACAAUUUUGGUUUUGACUUGAGACCUUUUUUGGAUUAUAUCUCAAAUGUAUAUAAGUGUUUUAUGCUUAACCCAGCUUGACUUUUAACUAUAAGUCACCAGCUUAUGACAAUCAUCAUCUAUGUGGAAGCAUUGGCUUCUAAAGAUUGGGUUAUCACCCUUACUGCACAGGUCAUGUAAACCGGCAGUACAAAUUCAAUAUCACCGUGGUUAUAUGUGAGGUAUUAUGACCCGCCCUGCGGUAAACCGCCAAGGGUUCUUGUGAUCUACUUGUGUGCAGGUAAGACUACAUUUGGGUGGUUACCCGCCCUGGCUCUUGCCGUUAAGUCACCGGGGCAUAUGUUGUUUAAACUCUAUGCAGGAUUUGCAGAACUAUGACUUAUAUAAAUGCUUCAGUCCAAGCUCAUCACUGAAAUUGGUGUCUCAAAAGGGUUAUAAAUUAUUGAUUUUCUCAAGGGCUAUAGGCCACCGGGUUACAAAAAUUCCGGCUUACAAUGAAUGUGCAUUAAGUCGUCAUCGGCCAAGAGCCGCCAGGUAUUUAAACUCCGGAUUUACUUGUCAACCGAUGAGGUAUUCAAAUUUUUAAUAGCCAAAACUGGUUGGAUUUUCAUGAUGAUAUUAAAUGAUUGAGGUUUUCAUACCGGAUUGUAUUAUUCAAAUCUUGAAUAGCCAAAAUGGCUAGAUUUCUAUUGUGAUUAUCAAUAACCAGUGUUAUGAUUGAGGUUUUCAAAGUCGCUUUAGCACAACGGCUAUUAUUUUUAUCAAUGGGCAUGAUUUAUUUUACAAUGGAGGAAAUAGUCCCGAGUCGUUGUAGGCUUAUGACCCGGCACUUGGGGGCUACAUUGUUCAAAUCGAGAUUACAUCGAAUAUACAAGUCCCAUGUCACUGCCAGCAUGCACCAUGGCACUUGGGGGCUAAUGCAAAGUCAUUUUUUUCUCAAUUUAUUGAAGACCCGACUCAUCACAUUUUAAAUGAGCCGGCCCUUGGGGGCUACCAAUUGCUCCUGUCAAAAAUUCAAGGUACACAAGCAUUAAUCCAUUAUAUUGAACGGUCCACUAUUCAGUUGGUGGAGUACAAAGCUCUUAACCUUGUGGACGUGGGUUCAAGCCCCAUGGUGGAGACUAUAUUAUAUGAUGUUAUUGUCAAUUAUAUACAAAGUCCCAGCUCAGUAUUAUCUUACUAAGCUAGCCCUUGGGGGCUACACAUUGUUGUUCAAAUUUACAUGGUUAUAUCUACAAAGUCCAUGUUCAUUAUUGCAUAAUGACCCGGCCCUUGGGGGCUACACUGCUUGAAGUUUUCAUGAGCAUAAAGCAAUUAGAAGUCCCAGGUUGCUGCAAGCAUGACAACCCGGCACUUGGGGGCUACAUGUGUGGAACAUUCAGUUUAUAUGAUUGAGAUGAAUAAACCGGAUUUCUUCAAGGUUGCAACAUUUAUUGGAGCAAGUUUUAAACCAUCACUUUGUUCUGCUCAAGACUUGGGGGCUACAGGUAAUAUGGAUAUAAGGGAGAAACAUCUUCAAAUUAUCAGUUUUGAGCAAAUCAGGAGGAUCAAUUACUUAAACCGGUAUCAACAACAAUUAUGACCCGGUAUCAUCUGUUUUAUAAUCCGGCAAUUUUUGGUAAUGAUAAGCCAGUAAGUUUUACAUCUUCAAGCCGGCUGAAUAUCAGAUGAGUAUUUGAAGACCAAAAUUAUUUAUCCCGGCGCCUUGCAAGCCGACUCAAGUGGAUUUUCUAGAUGAAGGAAAUGACAAUUGGACUUAAGGAUAAUCAGGUCCUGUCUCAGGAGAAUAUUUAACCCGGAGCGCAAGGAGUUAAGGAUGUUCAGGUGCCGGUUUACAAGAAUUCUUAACCUGGAGCACAACCUGUCAAAUUUGUUCUUGUGUUUAUUUUGCAGCAAAAGUUUACCAUGGAUAAAUCCAAGCUAAACUUGGGGGCUAAUGUCGGGGAUAUACCCCGCGAUGUAACCCGGCCGGAAGUAUAACCCGGCCGGACUCGGCGACUCACUAAUGACCCGCCUUGACCGGAUGAUACACUAAGUGACCCGCCCGAUCCUGGCAACUUAUGGGUGACCUGGCAAGCGGGUUAGAGGAGCGACAAGACCCGGGGGCCCAGGAGGUUCAAGGCCCAGAAGGCCGGCUUACGUUAUGGUAGGCUGGCUUAAGAGGAAAGGCGUGAGGAAUAUCUCCCUUACAAGGAAUCAAGACCCGGACUUGUAUCCGGCUUGUAAUAGAAGAUAGGCUAGUACAAAUCCUAUUUGGACUCCACAUGUAACCCGCCCCUCUAACUUAUAUAAGGAGAGGUGGGGCUCCCCAAAGAGGGACAGGCAAUAAGAACAAUUUCUAGGGCUAGACACAAAGAGUCGGCUUACCGGCAACUUCCUCAUGAGCAUAAUGAGACCUAGCCUCAAACAGCAAGUAGGGCUAUUACCGGAUGAUGUUUCCCGGGGCCCGAAGCUGUCUAAACCCUUGUCUUGUGUGUUGAUCCGCCCUGCAUCUCUCGUCCCACUCAACCCCUCUCAACCUACCACAUAGAUGCGUUGGCCUCACGACUAAGUCCUGACACUAAGGACAUCUGCCGUGACAAAUCCACGACAGAAUUGUUUCUGUCUAAUUGUCUCAGACUUGAUGACUAUAUACAUGAUCAUUGCCUUGGAUAUCGUCAUGAUUAUUUGUUUUUCUAUCAAUUGUCCAAUAGUAUUUUGUUUACCCAUUGUAUGCUAUUUUGAAGAGAGAAGCCUCUAGUGAAAACUAUGGCCCUCGGGUCUACUUCUGUCACAUAUUAAAAAUCCUAAAAAUACCUUGCUACAAUUUUAUUUUAUUUAUUUUAUUUUCUAUUUUUGUUUGAUCUAUCUAUCUAUCACCAUACAAUUUAAUCUUGCAAUUAACCGCCAAGGGAUUGACAACCCCUUGUUCGCGUUGGGUGCAAGGAUUUAUUAUUUUGUGUGCAGGUACUGCUAAUGAGUUAUUCCGUGAUUCUCUUACUGGAUCGAUAACCUUGGCUUCAUAACUAAGGGAAAUACUUAUCUCUACUAUACUACAUCAUCGCCUCCUCUUCGGGGGAAAACCCAACACAACUCACAAGUAGCAAAUGUUGUGCCAAGUUUCAUCCAUUUGUGAGCUCAUUUGUAUGUUAUGUUGAACGGAAAUGCGCUCUGCCCUUUUUAGUGCCUGAAAAAAGAGCUGAUGCUUCAAAAAUAGCAAACCAACUCAAAAAGUUUUAAAUUUAAGCAUGAGACUUCCAAUGGUGUGUAUCCCUGCCGCCGCCGCCUCCUCCAUCGCACUGCCCCCGUGCCCAUCCCUAUCGCCUCCUUCACCGUGUUGUCGUGGAAGUGCGCCUCCAGCGUCGUCGUGCAUGCCCAUGCCGCCUCCUCCACCACGCCGUUGUCAUGCCCGUGAGCCUAUUCUCUCUAGUGAGAAGAGCACCCUCUCCCUCUCCCUAUUCACUUCGGUAAUCAAUAGCAAGCUAUCAACUAGGGUUCUGCACCACCAUACCAAUUUGUGGUCCUCUACUAAUUUAAUUUGUGGAUGGUUUGAUUUGACAUGUUUAGAUGGUCUUGUGGAUUAUAAGACUAUCUAGAAGAGCAUGUUCUAGGCAUGCACUAGCUUUGCCUUCAAAAUGUAUAAAACUCCUUAAUUGACCCUUUUGAAUAAAUAGUGCAGGUAUGGUACAUUGUACAUUGCUUACUCACAUUCUCUCUUCUAGGAAUACACUUAAUGAGCUAAGUUCAUUAAACAAUUGACACAAAUAAAAGUUGAUUAAAAUGAGUGCUUGUGUUACUCGCGAUGGAUUCACGGUUUUUCUUUUCAAAUUUGCAAGUAUCAAGACGAGUGCCAAUGUUUUGGUGUGUAGGAUCGAAAGUAUGUCUAGAGGGGGUGAUUAGACUACUUGACCAAAUAAAAAUCUAGCCUUUCCCAAUUUUAAGUUUUGGCAGAUUUUAGCAACUUAGCACAAGUCAAGCAAUCAACCUACACAUGCAAUUCUAAGAGUAUAGCAGCGGAAUGUAAAAGAAUUGCACAUGAAGGUAAAGGGAGGAGUUUGGAGGGAGCAAACGCAAUGUCCACGGAGAUUUUUUAUCCAUGGUUCCGAUAGGUGGUGCUAUCGUACAUCCACGUUGAUGGAGACUUCAACCCACGAAGGGUAACGGUUUCCCGAGUCCACCGAGGGCUCCACCCAGGAAGGGUCCACAAAGAAGCAACCUUGUCUAUCCCACCAUGGCCAUUGCCCACGAAGGACUUGCCUCACUAGGGUAGAUCUUCACGAAGUAGGCGAUCUCCUUACCCUUACAAACUCCUUGGUUCAACUCCACAAUCUUGACGAUGGCUCCCAAGUGACACCUAACCAAUCUAGGAGACACCACUCCCCAAAAGGGAAUAGAUGGUGUGUUGAUGAUGAACUCCUUGCUCUUGUGCUUCAAAUGAUUGUCUCCACAACACUCAACUCUCUCUCUCACAGGAUUUGGAUUUGGUGGAAACAUGAUUUUAGUGGAAAGCAACUUGGGGAGGGCUAGAGAUCAAGAUUUAUGUGGUUAGAAUGGAUUAUCUUGACCUCAACACAAGUGUAGGUGGUUCUCUCUCAGAAAAUGUAUGUUGGAAGUGUAGGCAUGUUCUGAUGGCUUUCUCGACGAAUGAAGAGUGGGUGGAGGGGUAUAUAUAGCCUCCACAUAAAAUCUAACUGUUACACACAAACUACCAAACUCGGUGGGACCAAAUCAGAAAACUCGGUCAGACCGAUUUAGUUCAAAAUGUGAACAUUGGGAUUUUCGGUGGGACCGACAUGUCAACUCGGUGGGACCGAUUUCGUUAGGGUUAGGGCAUAACGUAAUCUCGGUGAGACCGAUUACAUAAACUCGGUGAUACCGGUUUUAGUUAUAAGCUAACCAGAGAGUUGGUCAGGCAAACUCAGUGGGACUGAUUCACUCAUCUCGGUUAGACCGAAACGUUACGAAGGGGAAAUAGAGAGUUUGCAUUGCAAUCUCGGUGGGACCGAUCGCUCAUCUCGAUUUGACCGAAACGUUACCAAGGGAAACAGAGAGAUUACAAUCCCAUCUCGGUGAAUCCAAGAUCCCUAUCGGUGAGACCUAAAAGACUAGGGUUUGUGGCAGUGGCUAUGUCAAUUGAACUCGAUGACGCCGGAUAGAAAGUUUCGGUGGGGCCUAGUUUGACUUUUGGUUUGGGACAUAUUUGGAUGUGAGAAAGUAGUUGAGGGUUUUUGGAGCAUAUCACUAAGCAUUUUGAGCAAGAACCUCAUUAAGCAACACCUCACCCCCUUUUAAUAGUAUCGGCUUUUCCUAUGGACUCAAUGUGAUCUUGGAUCACUAAAAGUAAAAUGUAGAGUCUUGUGCUUUGAGAUUGAGCCAAUCCUUUUGUCCUCACCAUUUUGAGGGGUCCACUUUCUAAUCCAUGUCGUGCCAAUCAUUGAGCUUUUUUGAAAUAUUUAUCUUGAACUAGCAUUAGCUCAAUGAGCUAUAUGUUGUUAGGAAUUACCAAAACCACCUAGGGAUAGUUGCACUUUCAAUCUCCCCCUUUUUGGUAAUUGAUGAGAACAUAUAGAUCAAAGCUUUGACAAAUGAUCAAAGGAUUGAAAAGCAUUGUCGCUUUGAGAAGUAUGUGAUCCUCUCCAAAUGAUAAUAAGAUUGAAAAACAUCAUCGCUUUGAGAAGUAUGUGAUCCCCCUAAAUUUGUGCACUAUUUAGAAUUUGCUUUAGAAUGCAAAUGUACAAUCGAUUAGGAUCAUGGGUUACUCUUCGAUGUCACAUACAUCUUGGUGGAGCGCUCAAAAUGAUAUAAUUUAAAAGCAUGCACUCAUCACCAAGCAAGUGAAUGAUCAUAUAUGAGAUAUGAAAGAUAAUAUCAUCCAAUAAGGUAGCAUAUGAUCAAACACAUGAUCAACCAAGUAUCACACAUAAGGAGAUAAUGUAGCAAGCAAACACACAAUAAAGUUCAACCAAAAUAGCAAGAGAGAUAAAAAGCAACACUCUCUGUCGAAGCCUAUGAUCUAUACAUUUUUCUCCCCCUUUGGCAACAAGUUACCAAAAAGUUCAAAAAUGCAUAGUGCUAAACGUAUCUCAGGCUUGGUCUUUGGGAGGUGGUGUAGAGAGAACUCCAAGGAUGAAGGCAUCCGUUGAAGUAGCUGGAGCUGGUGGAGUGGCUGCUGGAGGUGGCAUUGGUGCUAUAGCUGCUGGUGCUGAUGUGGUAGCUCUAGAAUCUGUCACUAGCACUAUAGCAGACCUCUGUCCUCUAGGCACUCGCUCAAAUGCAUCAGUAGUUUCCUUGCCUCUCUUCUCUUCUGCUUCCUCCUGAAGCUGCUCAACUGCUGUUUGAAUCUCAGUUACCUUUAGAUCAAGAUCAUAAAAUUCCUGCUCAAUGAUCCUCUCCAAGCUCUCCUGGUUUUGAGUCAGGGUGGCCAAGCCCUUCUCAAUCGUCAGUGUAGACUCGAUCACAUAUGCUUGCUCUUCAGGAAAACUUGAGAUGCCUCUUCAACACUUGGCAUCUUGGCAGCUUUCUCAGCCUUUGCCUUCUCUCUCUUCUCAUGUGCUUGCACAGAUGUGGGGUCUUCCUCAUUCAUCACAACAGUAUUAUCUUCAAAAUCAGGAUGCAGAGGAAGGUGCUCCUUGUCCAACAAGUAUGUACCUGUGCCCAUCUUAGAAUUAAUGAGCUCCUGAAUGUGUGGAGCAUACCCACAGCUUCUCUUCUGAUCGAUAGCUAUCCUCUUGAUUGUCUCUACAAUCAAACUCAUGACUUUGAACUUCUGAGGCACAUCAAACAAAUGUAGCAAAUUGAUAGCAUGUCCACUGAUCAUCUUGUGAUCUCCAUGCUUGGGUAGUAAUGUGUGCCUAAGGAUCCAGUUGAUGGUAGGUAGACCAGACAACAAGAAGUGUACAGAUCCAAGCUUGUGAGUUUCCAAGGCCUUAUCUGGGAUCUCCUUGUACAUGUGUGUCAUGGAGUUGUGGUCUUUCUUCUUUUUGGCAUAAAUAUCCAAGUCAUCCUCAUGCUCUUCAGGGGCAUUUAUCAGCUUGGCCCAUUCAUCAACUGUAGAUUAGUACCUAGUACCCUCUGACAUCCAUACGAUCUUCCCAUCUGGGUAAAAGUGAGCAGUGGAGUAAAACUGCAUGAUCAGCUCAUCAUCCCAUUUAGUGAGCUUCUGUCCAACAAAUUUGUCAACUCCACAUGCCUUGAAGCUAUCAAAAACUCCUGGAAAGUGAUCUUCAUUUUCCUUGAUGUAUUCCCAAUGCACCCAUCCCAUGUCACAUACAAUGGGCUUCUUGUCAAGCAAAAUAGUUUCAUAGAAGUCUUGUUGUUCCUUUGUGUGGAACCUAUAAUCAACUGUUGUUCUCCGCCUCAGAGCAUAAGGAUCAUACUGUCUCCACAAUCUCAGUCAUGCAUCUUUCCUGAUCCUCAUAUCUUCUGCAACAGGAUGUGCAUCAUUAUGGUCAGGGAUCUUUGGUUUUAGCUUCCUUAGCACUUGGGCAUUAGCUUCCUCUUCUUCAGUCUCAGGCACUAGGGCCUUGUUCUUUUCCUCAGCAGGUAUACUUCUGGUGUCGCUCUUGGGUUUUGGCUUGGGAGAAGCCUUGGGCUUUGAUGGAGCAGCCCCUAUCCUAAUGGCAUCUCCCAUAAGCUUCUGAGCUUUGGGUGCUGGUGCAGCAUCCUCCUCUUCUUCUUCUCUAUCAGAUGGAUCUUGCAUCAUGGAGGGCUUUCCAAUGACUCUUGCCAUGGAUUUCUUGACCCUCUCUUUCAUUUUCUUCCCUUCUUCAACUUCUUCAGCAGCUGAUUUUGGAGCUUCAAUAGUUGAUGCUCUGGCUUUUGACAUGGGAAUUAUCCUUGCUGGUGCUUUCUUAUUCAGACCUGGCUUACUUGCAGCAGCUGUUCCAUACUCCUUUUUCAGCACCUUCUUCUUGGAGCUUACUUCCUCCUCGGUGGCAACAUAAUCCUCAUCCUCAGAUUAUGAGGUUCUCUUCUUCCUGGAUCUGGUUGCUGCCUUUCGCAAGUUACUUGGUGUGCUCCUGCUGCCAUCAUCUGAAGUGCUAGAGGGAUCUGAGCCCUCACUCAUCUGCACCUGUUCCUCUGACCUGUUCUGACUGUCACUUUGAUCAGACAUCUCUGCAAACUUACUGACAGCAGACCAUGUGAAUAGAUAUAGAUGAGGUAGAGUAGAUGAGCAUCACAAAGUACAGAGGUUUUGCAAAACAAAUUGAGUCAAAAAGCUUAGUUUAAUUCUCUACAGAAGUGAUCUCGGAGCUACUGAAUUGACAAACUUGGUGAUACCGAAGCAACACUUGGAACCCAAACUAGUGAACUCGGUUGGGCCGAGUCACAGUUCGGUGGCACCGAGACUGCUAGGGUUUCAUAAAGAAUCAAACUCGGUCACACCGAUUUGCAGUUUUCGGUCAGACCGAAAAUGCAAGUGCAAUGGCCUAGGCAAAUUGGUGAGACCGAUUUCUACAAUUCGGUCGGUCCGAGAUGAGUUCGGCGGAGACCUAACCCUAAAAUUUUCGAAUCAAUCUAGACCUAAGGAAGUUUUAACUGGAUAGAUUAAUCACAUUCGUGGCAAGAAACAUGGCAUUGUCCUUGUGCUAGGAAUCAGAGUGAAAAAGACAGCACAAGGAGUCGAACACUUACCCUAGAGCGGCGAUUGUUCGCUACGGCGGCAACGGAGGGGCAGAAUUCCGUUGACGGUGAUGGAAACCAGUGCUGGGAGGUCGCUGGCGGUGAGAAGACGAUCCAGAGACCCGAUGCGGCAGAGCAGGAUAUGCGCGGGCUGAGAAGUUUCGAAGGAAUUUCCAAAAUCUCACACGUGGGUAUAUAUAUCCCGACCCUGUCAGUGUGACCGAGUGGAACGAAUCGGUGGCACCGAGAUGCAGAAUCGCAAGCGGUUACUGCAACUCGGUGUGACCAAAAAGUUCAAAUCGGUUGCACUGAGAUUGAAAACCUAGAUCAACUUAGUGAUCUCGGUGUGACCGAAUUGGAUGACUCGGUCAUACCGAAAUGCACAAAGAGGUUUUGGAAGUUUAAGUCUAUGAUGAAUCGGGGACUCCGAGUGCUCCUCACACAGAGUGGUUCGAAUCUGACUUGAUCAAACUUUGUGAUGUAGCAUGAAUAGAGUUUGAGACUAGAAAAGCAUAGAUAGCUAGAGGGAGUUCUUAGGCAUUCUUGUCCAUCCAUUUGGCAAAAAGGAAAAAUCCAAACAAUCAAAGCAACAAAUGGACGUCCUCAAAUGAGUAAAAUAUGCAAUCAACAUGCUCACACAAUAAAAUGACAAAUGAAAUAUGUGGCAAAGCAUGCACAAACACUCUAGCGUCUAUCAAGCAAUUUGGCGAUGACUAGGUCAUCUACAUAUGAGUAUAUUGACUUAGGAGUCAAAUAAGAACAUUUGAUCAUAGGUCAUACUCAUCGUUUAAGCACAAGUGGGGUUGCCAAGCAUUGUUGUGUUCACAUCAUUAGAGUUGCUUUAGCUCAAUUGAUUAGAGUAAAGCUCCCCCUAGAUGUGAUAUCCCCCCUAAGAGGGAUGAACUAACCUUGGGUUUUGUCGAUGAUGACUUCAUGUAGGUGUUGAAGAUGUGGAUGCUCAAUGUUAAUGUAGAUCAUUCGGAGCAAUCCUUUGGAGUGAGUUGCACUUUCAAUACCUACACGGGUUAGUCCCACAAGUUACAAACAAGGAUAUCCAUAGACAUAGAUUGAUGUUCACACAUGAUGAUGUCCAUGAAAGCAUUAGGUUACCUUGUCCCUAGUCUUACCAACAAGAGGGUUUGUGACUCCUUGAACUAGUGCAAGAUAUGGAAGUUGUUUGCACUUGUCCUUGCCAAAAUGAUAUGAGUGAAGUUUGUUGGCGGAGUCACCCUCAAGAACUCUCUAGUUCUUCUUCUUCGGGAUCCACAUCAUCUUGAUGGGAAUCCUUAGAGUUGUAGUCGUACUUGAUGAAGUAGAACUUGAUGUAGUCUUGGGAACCCACUUGACCAAGGCCUUGGGAGCUUCUUCAAAUGCAUCAAUCUCCUCUUGAAGCUUAUCCUUGCCUUUUUGCUUGUGGUCUUGUGGUGGAAGAUCAUCUUGAGCUUGUGUUCCUUUGAAAGAAGUGGGAUCAUACUUCUCUUGUUGAGGAACAAACUUCAUCUUGGGGUAUUAAUCUUCUUCCCACUCAACUCCAUUGGCAUUGAACUUUCGUUCAAAACCAACACCUUGAUUCUUCCGGUGUCUUCCUUGCUUGCGUACAAUUUCCUCAAAUUGCUUACUUCCGGCAAGACUCUUGUAAACACCUUUCUCUAUAAUUCCCUUCAAUAAGCUAUUUUCUUGCUCAAGUGUAACUUGGCUAAGAUAAUCAUUAGUGGAAUCAAGGGAACUACUAGAAGCAACAUUAUUGGAUUUAGCAUGAUUAAUGAUACUACUAGAAGAAGAAUCUUUCUUACUCUUGUUGCUAGAUUUAACUUGUGGCAUGUAAGUAGAUAAGAGUAAACGCUUGGCAAUGUAAAAAGAACUUUUCUUAUGAAGAUCAUCAUUGAUUGCUUUGAAGAACUCACGCUCUUGCUCAAGGUUAAGCUUUUCAAAGCGUAGCUUCUCAUGAGUCUUUAAAAGUUCUCGAUGAUCUUCCAAGGUAGUUUCAUGAGCUAACUUAAGAGUGUUUAGUUCUUUAGUUAGACGCUCAAUCUCCUUCUUAUGAUCGUCAUUCGCUUUAUCUUGAUUAUCAUGAUUAAUAGCAAGUUCAUCAUUGUUUUCAUAACUAGAGUUGUCAACAAGUAAAUCAUCAUCUCCUAGCAAAUCAUCUUCCUCACUAUUGAAAUCAACAUACUCGAGGUGUGUUACCUUUGGACCUUUAGCCAGGAAGCAUCUUCCAAUUCCUUCAUUCAGUGAGUCAAAUAUGUCAUAGGAGUUGGUUGACACAAGCGCUAGACCGGCAACACCUUCAUCUUGAGUAUAUUUGGAGUCGGAGUGAUAACUUCUUUCGGACUGAUGGUCAGAGUCAGAGCCAGAUACCCAUUCACCAACAUGAGCUUGAUGUCUUCUUUUUGUGUAGCUCUUUGAUGAUUUGUCCUUCCUUUCUGAAUCCUUGCUUCUUCGAGAGGAUCUUCGUUUAUAACGAUCAUCUCUACUCCUUCUCUCUCUUGGUGGUGAUUCUUCUCUCCUACUUCUUCUUUUGGGAGAAUCUUCUCAUCUUUUGUAGGGAGCCGUACGCUCAUUGGAAGAGUGUCCGGGUCUUCCACAAUUGUAGCAAUUACGCUCACGACUAGAAGAUCUUUUGUCAUUGUAGGACCUUGACUUGGAACUUCUUUCCUUGCUUCUACUCUUGUAGAACUUAUUGAAAUUCUUCACCAUUAGGCUCAAUUCUUCAUUGAAGGUUUAUUUCUCACUUGAUGAUGUGGGAGCAUCACAUGAGGCUUUGUAAGCACCACUUGACUUGUUGUGGAGCUCUUCCUUAUCCUUAAGUGACAUCUCAUGAGCAACAAAUCUUCCAAUGACUUCCGUAGGCUUGAGAUCUUUGUAAUUGGGCAUCAUUUGGAUCAAUGUGCACACGGCAUCAUAUUUUCCAUCCAAGGCUCUUAGGAUCCUCUUGAUGAUGAAUCUAUCGGUCAUCUCUUCACUUCCUAAGCCGGCAAUCUCAUUUGUGAUGAGAGCAAGCCUAGAGUACAUUUUAGCGACACCUUCACCAUCCUUCAUUUUGAACUUGUCAAGCUGACUUUGAAGCACAUCCAACUUGGAUUCCUUGACGGAGUCGGUACCUUCGUGCAUAUCAAUCAAAGUAUCCCAAAUUUCCUUUGCAUUAUCAAGACGGUUGAUUUUAUUGAACUCUUCGGGGCACAAUCCGUUGAAGAGGAUAUCGCAAGCUUGAGCAUUGUAUUGCAGCAUCUUCAACUCUUCUGUGGUAGCUUCAUGGUUCGGUUCUCUCCCAUCAAAGAAUUCACCUUGCAAGCCAAUACACACAAUAGCCCAAACGGCGGGGUUAUGUCCAGGAAUAUGCAUUUUCAUCUUAUGCUUCCAACUAGCAAAAUUAGUACCAUCAAAGUAAGGUCCUCUAUGGUGGUAAUUUCCCUCGCUAGAUGCCAUACUCUCCAAGGUUGUGAAACCAAGGCUAUGAUCACCAAAAGCUAUGGAAAUCAAAGCAAAUGGAUACCAAAGCUUUGAUGCCACUUGUAGGAUCGAAAGUAUGUCUAGCGGGGGGGUGAUUAGACUACUUGACCAAAUAAAAUUCUAGCCUCUUCCCAAUUUUAAGUUUUGGCAGAUUUUAGCAACUUAGCACAAGUCAAGCAAUCAACCUACACAUGCAAUUCUAAGAGUAUAGCAGCGGAAUGUAAAACAAUUGCACAUGAAGGUAAAGGGAGGAGUUUGGAGGGAGCAAACGCAAUGUAGACACGAAGAUUUUUUAUCCGUGGUUCCGAUAGGUGGUGCUAUCGUACAUCCACGUUGAUGGAGACUUCAACCCACGAAGGGUAACAAUUUCUCGAGUCCACGGAGGGCUCCACCCAGGAAGGGUCCACGAAAAAGCAACCUUGUCUAUCCCACCAUGGCCAUUUCCUACGAAGGACUUUCCUCACUAGGGUAGAUCUUCACGAAGUAGGCGAUCUCCUUACCCUUACAAACUCCUUGGUUCAACUCCACAAUCUUGACGAUGGCUCCCAAAUGACACCUAACCAAUCUAGGAGACACCACUCCCCAAAAGGGAAUAGAUGGUGUGUUGAUGAUGAACUCCUUGCUCUUGUGCUUCAAAUGAUUGUCUCCCCAACACUCAACUCUCUCUCACGGGAUUUGGAUUUGGUGGAAAGAUCAUUUGAGUGGAAAGCAACUUGGGGAAGGCUAGAGAUCAAGAUUUAUGUGGUUGGAAUGGAUUAUCUUGACCUCAACACAAGUGUAGGUGGUUCUCUCUCAGAAAAUGUAUGUUGGAAGUAUAGGCAUGUUCUGAUGGAUUUCUUCACGAAUGAAGAGUGGGUGGAGGGCUAUAUAUAGCCUCCACACAAAAUCUAACCAUUACACACAAAUCACCAAACUCGGUGGGACCGAAUCAGAAAACUCAGUCAGACCGAUUUAGUUCAAAAUGUGAACAUUAGGAUUUUCGAUGGGAACGACAUGUCAACUCGGUGGGACCGAUUUAGUUAGGGUUAGGGCAUAAAGUAAUCUUGGUGAGACUAAUUACACAAACUCGGUGUGACCGAUUUUGGUAAUAAGCUAACCAGAGAGUUGGUAGGCAAACUCGAUGGAACCGAUUCGCUCAUCUCGGUUAGACCGAAACGUUACGAAGGGGAAACAGAGAGUUUGCAUUGCAAUCUCGGUGGGACCGAUCGCUCAUCACGGUUUGACCGAAAUGUUACGAAGGGAAACAGAGAGAUUACAAUCCCAUCUCGGUGAGACCGAGAUCCAUAUCGGUGAGAUCGAAAAGACUAGGGUUUGUGGCAAUGGCUAUGUUAAUUGAACUCGGUGGCGCCAGAUAGAAAGUUUCGGUGGGCCUAAUUUGACUUUUGGUUUGGGACAUAUUUGGAUGUGAGAAAGUAGUUGAGGGUUUUUGAAGCAUAUCACUAAGCAUUUUGAGCAAGAACCUCAUUAAGAAACACCUCACCCCCUUUUAAUAGUAUUGGCUUUUCCUAUGGACUAAUGUGAUCUUGGAUCACCAAAAGUAAAAUGUAGAGUCUUGUGCUUUGAGCUUGAGCCAAUCCUUUUGUCCUUAGGAUUUUGAGGGGCCACUUUCUAAUCCAUGCCAUGCCAAUCAUUGAGCUUUCCUGAAAUAUUUAUCUUGAAAUAGCAUUAUCUCAAUGAGCUAUAUGUUGUUAGGAAUUACCAAAACCACCCAUGGAUAGUUGCACUUUCAUGGUGAAACAUCGAUUAAGUUAUGUCUCGCCAAAUUUUUAGCACUCGUUAUGUCCAAUUUUUUCGUCGAUAUUUUGUUUAGGGUCAAUUGGAGUAAUGUUGGUUUGUAUUUGCAGGGAUCAAAAUGAGUGACAAUGUUUUGGCAAACAUUGAUUAUUUUUAUUUUGGCAAAUUUCUGGCACUCAUUAUGUUUAAAUUUGUAGAAACAAUCAUGCCUAAUUUUUCCGUCAAUAUUUUGCGUACGGUCAAUUGGAGUACUAUAGGUGUCCUUGGAGAAAAGACAGAGAACCUUUCUACUAUCCAAACUGAAUAUUAAGGGCAUCAGGGAGUUGUUCUUUUUUUGAAAGGAGGACUACCCCUGGCCUCUGCAUCAAGAGAUGCACAUAAUGAUUUAUUUAACUGAAUGAAGUAUCAAACUAUGAGUAACAUAUCAAAGUAUGUGAACAAAAUUAAGAAUGUAAAUAGCCACAAUUGGCCAAAAAAAUAGGACACAACCCCUAUCAUAUUAUUGGACCGCCAUCCAAACUGAUUGUAUAUAGCCCGUGCUAUUGUCUUCCAUCGGUUGCACCCAAAGGCCAUAUGCUCCAUCUCCUCAGCGUGGCGUAGAAGUAAUUAUCAUGCACGGAUCCAUCUAGACGCCUGAUAGAUAAUCUGCAAAAAGUUUGUGAUAUUUGUCCUAUUAAAUACAACAUCAUUCCUUCAGUUUUAAGUAACCCAAAAUAAUGUACAAACUCCCACACGAAUUCAUGAUCAUGUAUUAACUCAAUCCCACCUAACCAAUUGCUAAACAAAUGAAAGAUACUAGUGACUGGAGAAACAUUAAAGGACACAUGUAUUGACAAAGGUAAAUAAUUUGAUGAGUGGGCUCCUUAAAUAAAAAAUGUAAUGGAUGACCAUCAACAAUGUAACUCAUCCAAGCGUCACAAAAGAUUAACCAAACAAUUCAGUCAAAUCAUUGUAUACUAGCAAGCUGCUGAUCCAAAUGUGGAUGAGCCACCGCCAGUCGUCCGAGUGGCACGUUGUGGCUGGUGCACCGUGCAGGAAGCCGGGCUAUUAGAGCAACUCCAAACGUAAGUAUCCAUUUCCUCCACCGCUGUCCAUUUGGGUCGGCUCGGAUAAAAAUAAAGACCCAACGCAUCGACCAAUUCGUAAAAUGUGUCUGCUUCACGUCCAUGCCAACACAUUUGCGUCCCAAAUUUACAGCAGAAAUGUGUCAGCGCAAACGCGAAACGGACGCAUCGCGCGCCUUCUCGGUGUCUGCCGCGUCCCCAUCUAGCGGCCAUCCAAUUACCGCGGUCAGCUUAAUUUAUGACGACCGCCCACCUCGGACCCACACGUCAGUGACGGCGGUCGGCCUUUUUUAAUGCGAGCGUGGGGCAGGGGGAGUCCUCAUCUGCUUCCAGAAGCCCCCCAUCCCCAUCUCGCCACCCUCUGCUCCCCCGUCGGCGGCAACCCUAGCCACCGUAAGGAUGGGUUUCUUCUCAGGCAAAGUGGCACUGGGAAAACCUCGUCCCUCUCCCCUACCCCGACGUCAUCCUGCCACACGUAUGGCACUUGGAUUCGGAGAGGACACCAGUGCCGGCGGUGCCGCGGUCGGCCAGGGUGCACGCGGAAGGAGGUACGACGUCGACUCGCUCUAUUGGGGGCGUUGGUUCCCCUUCGAGCAUGAGGAGGCCAGGUGGCGCGGCGUCUGUGACGUCUCGCAUGGCUCCCCACCGCCGCCCCUCGUCGUUCACGACGAGGACCGGGCAGCCCUGGCGGCUAUCCUCGGGGAGAGUGAGGAGGAAGAGCGGCGUAGGGAGGAGGAGGAGGAGGCGACGUAUGAGGCGCGCAUGGCAGAGGCCAUGGCGCUAUCUGCAGCCGGCGAUUGCGUAGUGCCGCCGCUCGCCCCGCUGUCCCCAGCCAAGGCCUAGCCGGAGCCGAUCCCUAUCGAGUGCUACUCCUAGACUGGAGUGGUGCACGAGUGGUUCAGUGCGCCGCUGGUCUAGAUGCGGGCGACGAAGGUGCAGGAGGCGGCCUACCUUGAACUGUGGUGCCAGCGACGGCUGGCCGAGGAGCGCCGCGAAGGUGAGUACUUCGAGCAGCUGGAGCGCCAUGCCGAGGAGGAGCGCCGCGAGGCCGAGGAGGAGGCGCGCCGUGCCCAGCCGGCGGCGGACGCCCCCGCCUGAAACACUGCGUUCCCCUGGGCCGGCCAUGCGCUGACGCUGAUCGACCUCACCGGCCCCGACGAUGACGACGAGGACGCAUAGGGCAGCGCGUCGCCUCGUAGUUUUGUUUUAUUAAUAUUUAAUUAAUGUAAAUGUGGACGUGUGGACUCUCGCCGGCCUUUGUGACCGUCAUUAAUGUUUUUUCAUUUUUGAAAUAUUUGUGUUCAAUUUUUUUCGCGCGCCGUAAAAAAGGAUCGGGCCAGCGUUAAGCGCAUGUGUAACGCCCCAGAUAUACUUUCCAUAUUUGUAUCCAACUCUUGCCGUCUCCGGCUCUAAGUUGUAUUUAUUUCUCGGGUUUGGGUCUUUGUCUUUGUGUGUUGUUUUUCUUUUUCGUGCAUCUUUUAUCAUGUCAUCACGUGCAUUGCAUUUGCAUACAUGUUCAUCUCAUGCAUUCGAGCUUUUUCCCCGUUGUCCGUUUUGCAUUCCGGCGCUUCGUCCUCCUCCGGUGGUCAUUUCUAGUCUUCUUUCGUGUGUGGGGUUUAAACAUUUCUGGAUUGGACCAAGACUUGCCAAGCGGCCUUGGUUUACUACCGAUAGACCACCUGUCAAGUUUCGUAUCAUUUGGACUUCGUUUGAAACUCCAACGGUUAACCGAGGGAUCGAAAAGGCCUCGUGUGUGUUGCAGCCCAACACCCCUCCAAAUUUGGCCCAAAACCCACCAAACUCUGCUCCAUCGUCUCGGUCGUUCGAUCACGAUCGUGUGGGCGAAAACCGUACCUCAUUUGGACUCUCCUAGCUCCACUUAUGCCUAUAUAUACACCCCCUCCGAAAUCCACGGUUCUUCUCCCCCCUAACCCUAGAUCCAACUCCUACCGCCGCCGCCGGACAAAAAUCGCGUGCCGGACGUGUCCGCCUGGCUCCGCGGGACGAAUCCGCCGCCGCCACGUGUCCCGGGGCCGGUCCCCAGUUCGCCGCCGCCCGCGGGCCCGCGAGGCCCGUGCGGGGCCCUCCCGGCCCGCUACGCCGCCCGCCUCCUCCUCCAGUCGCCGCCCCCGAGCCCGGCGACGCUCGCCCGCUCCGGCCGCCGUGGCGCCAUUGCCGGCCGCCGCNNNNNNNNNNNNNNNNNNNNNNNNNNNNNNNNNNNNNNNNNNNNNNNNNNNNNNNNNNNNNNNNNNNNNNNNNNNNNNNNNNNNNNNNNNNNNNNNNNNNNNNNNNNNNNNNNNNNGGAGCACCUCGCCCCGCCGCCCCAAGCCCUCGCCGGCGCCCGCGCCAGGGAGAGGAGCUCCCGGCUCCGGCGACCGCCCGCCGCGCCGCUUCCUCCUCGCCGUCCGGCCCCCCUCCCCGCUCCGGUUACUUCCUCUCCGGCCGCCGCCGUCGUCUACAGGAAUCCCGGCGAGAUCCGCCGCCGUCUCGGGCCGCGUGCCCGAACCCUAGAUCUGGAUCCUGGGGUAGUUUUUUUUCACUAAGUCCCUAGAUUUUUACUCCAUAUGCUCCUGUUCGAGGACCCGUAUCUCCACAUCCGUAGCACCGUUUUGGGCAUAUGAUAUGUCAAAAUCUUCGCUUCGACAUGUACAUCACUUCAUUCCAUUGCAUCAUUUGCAUUUGAGGUCAUCUUGAUCCCCAAAAUGCUGUUAGAAGGAGGCUUCGUGAGUUAAAUUGCAGAUCCGUUAGUUCAUCAUGCACUUUUGUCAUUUUUGCUAUGUUUAAUUCGUGCAUGAUAUGCCUGUGCCCCUUUGGGAUGAAUUGUUAAGCAUUUUGUCUUCUUUCCAGAGGUGUCACCCAUGCAUUUUUAGGAUGUGUGUGUUGUCUUGUGCAAACUUGCGAAGAGAGGUACCUGAGAAUGCAGAUUUCAGGGACUUAGUGAUUUUCACUAAGUCUGGGAUAUUUUAGUUCAUGAUGCUAUAUGUCCAGCUUGUUUCCUAGUGAUCUGUGCCUCUUUUGAGGAUGAUCAGUAAGGGAGUUUUGAUAUUUAAGUUAUGCUCUAUCUAUCCAUGUCUUUGUUUGCAUAUGUGGAGUGCUCUAGGUUUACUCAAUCGAGCUCAACUUUUGCUUCGUUGUUAAUCUGGGCAGAUCGUCAACUUGUUUGCGAUUUUGCCGAUGCUACCGUUAGUGUUCCAUGCAUGCUAUGCCUUCGUUCUUGCCAUGUGUAGCUAGCACAUUGUGCCUUCUUGCUGGUUAUAUGCUUUCCUUGCCAUGACUUGCACCGUAGUGAGUGCAUCGAGCUCGUUUACAUGCCUUCGUGAGUUAUAUUUCAGCGUGUCUCAGUUUUCACUAAGUCUGAAAACUGAUUGUGUUCGAGCUAUGUUCGUGAGCUCGGUAGAGUAUUUUGUGAACCCUUUUGGCCCCAGGUCACUUUGGGUGUUUUGUUAAGCUUGUUGAGUAGCUCCAUGCCAUGUUCUUACUUGUCAUGUUCAGGUUUUCUAUCAUGUUGUUUUGCUGCUCCGAAGAGAGCAUCGUGAUCUGAAAUUUCAGACUACUGUUAAUUUCACUAAGUCUGGAAUCUGUUUUGCAUUUGCGUUUUAGCCAUGCUUGUUUGAACCUCUUAAUGGAUGAAUUUGCCUAUGGCUCAGUGCUAGUGUUUUGUCAACCAUCUUGUGUACAUCAUUGCCAUGUAUUUUGUUUUCAUGUUUGGUGGUUGUAGCAUGUUCAUUUUGUUGCAUUUAGAUGCCUACUUGCUGUAAAUCGCAGACCGGUGUCAUAUCUUAAAACGCUUGCCAUUUCCAAACCGUAGCUCCGAUUCCUAUGAUCUUUAUAUCGUUUUCAAGCGAUUUCAUCCCCUCUAUCCAGUGGCACACUUGGUUUUUUCCAAGUUGAUGCCAGGUUCAUGCAUUUCCUGUCAUAUCUCGCAUUUUGCAUCCCGCAUCGCAUCCCGCAUAGCAUAUCGUCAUUUCAUCAUAUUGCUUGGACUUGCCCGUGGUUGAUUGUAUCCUUGUUGCUUGUUUGUCUUGUUGGGUAGAGCCGGGAGACGAGUUCGCUACCGAGGAGCCCGUUGAGUUUGCUUGUGAGGAUCCAGUCAACUCUGACAACUGUGCAGGCAAGAUGAUCAUACCCUCGAAAUCACUACUAUCUUUGUUAUGCUAGAUUGCUCGCUCUUUUGCUUUGCCACUGCUACGAUGCCUACCAUUUGCUUGUCAGCCUCCCAAUUGCCAUGUUGAACCUCUAACCCACCAUUGACCUAGCAAACCGUUGAUUGGCUAUGUUACCGCUUUGCUCAGCCCUUCUUAUAGCGUUGUUAGUUGCAGGUGAAGGUUGGAGCCGUUCCUUGUUGGAACAUUUAUUUUACUUGUUGGGAUAUCAUUAUAUUGCUAUGUUAUCUUAAUGCAUCUAUAUACUUGGUAAAGGGUGGAAGGCUCGGCCUCUCGCCUAGUGAUUUGUUCCACUCUUGCCGCCCUAGUUUCCGUCAUAUCGGUGUUAUGUUCCCGGAUUGUGCGUCCCUUACGCGGUUGGGCUAUAAUGGGAACCCCUUGAUAGUUCGCCUUGAUUAAAGCUUUUCCAGCAAUGCCCAACAUUGGUUUUACCAUUUGCCACCUAGCCUCUUUUUCCCUUGGGUUUCCGGAGCCCGAGGGUCAUCUUAUUUUAACCCCCCGGGCCAGUGCUCCUCUGAGUGUUGGUCCGAACCAGGCAGCCUGCGGGGCCACCUCGGGGAAACUCGAGGGUUGGUUUUACUCGUAGCUUGACCUAUCCGAGCGUGCCCUGAGAAAGAGAUAUGUGCAGCUCCUAUCGGGAUUUGUCGGCACAUUCGGGCCGUGUUGCUGGACUUGUUUUAACCUGUCGAAUCAUCUUGUUGUACCAAGAUACCGAGUAUGAUCGUUGUGUCUUGGGUGGAGGUCUAUUCCUUCGUUGACCGUGAGAGCUUGUUAUGGGCUAAGUUGGGACCCCCCUGCAGGGAUUGAUCUUUCGAAAGCCGUGCCCGCGGUUAUGGGCAGAUGGAAAUUUGUUAAUGUCCGGUUGUAGAUAACUUUAACUUAACUUAAUUAAAAUGAAUCAACCGUGUGUGUUACCGUGAUGGCCCCUUCUCAGCGGAGUCCGGGAAGUGGACACGGUGUUGGAGUUAUGCUUGUGCAGGUUGUUCCUUUAGCUUCUCGCUCGUGCUUCGCCUUCUCUUCUCGCUCUCUUUUGCGUAUAAGUUAGCCACCACAUAUGCUAGUCGCUUGCUGCAGCUCCACAUAUAUUUGCCUUAUCCAUUCCUAUGAGCUUAAAUAGUUUUGAUCGCGUGGGUGUGAGAUUGCUGAGUCCCUAUGGCUCACAGAUACUACAACUCCAGAUGCAGGUCCAGGUGUUUCUGCUCCAGUUGACGAUUACGAGCUCAAGUGGGAGUUCGACGAGGACUCUCAGCGAUACUACGUAUCUUUUCCGGAUGAUCAGUAGUGGUGCCUAGUUGGGGUUAUCGAUUCAGGACCUUGUCGCUCGUUGGGUUCUUUUCUAUUUUGGCGCCGUAGUCGGGCCAUGAGUGUUUGUUUGAUGGAUGUUAUUUAUGUACUCUGAUGUGACGUGGCGAGUGUAAGCCAACUAUGUUAUCUCCCGCUUUUAUUAUAUAUUACAUGGGAUGUUGUAAUGAUUGCCUGACUUGCGACAUUGCUUUCAAUGCGGUUAUGCCUCUAAGUCAUGCCUCGACACGUGGGAGCUAUAGCCGCAUCGAGGGCGUUACAAGUUGGUAAUCAGAGCCUUCCCCGACCUUAGGAGCCCCAUUGCUUGAUCGUUUUUAGCAGCCGAGUUGUGUCUAGAAAAAUGUUUUGAGUCAUUUAGGAAUUAUAUAUCGGAGAGUUAGGAAUUCUUUUUACUUCCCAGUCUCCUCAUCGCUCUGGUAAGGCAUCCUGGCGUAGAGUUUUGACUCUUCUCUUCUCAAAUUUCACUAAAAAAAUUUUAGGAUCACGCGAGUAUCUUGGUUUUGUUCCAAUGGUUUUGUGACGAGAACAUUGUUCUUGGUGCCUCCUGUCUUUAGGGGUUGUGGCAGUGUCCCGGGGAGUUGAGCUCCGAGGUGUUGUCGUCACAAUUUUAUCGUUGCAAUUCUGGUAUACUUGAGAUAUGUUCGCCGACAUCGAAAAUCUCUUUUAUGCAGUUCGUUGGUGAGAUAACCUCGACGCCACCCAGUACUGGGGCGGGAGUUCGGGAGUAUCGCCAUAACUUGUAUAACGGAUGCUUUUCGAAGGUUGAGGUAGAUGGUUUCCGAAGUUUUCUUGGUUAUGUGUUGAAGGAUGGAUACAGCUGGAUGUAGGAUUUGCUAGUUUGGGUGAGAUAUUGUGCUUCCCCUGUAUCCCCAACACCUGAUUGCAUAACCGGAAAGGUUCGGGAGUUUCAUAGGUGGGAAUUCUAGUAGCUCUAGUUCUUCUUCCACGGAUAUUGGUUUGAGAUUGGGAUUUCUUACCGAUUAUUCGUUCUUGAUCCGUACCUUGUUGAAUUAUUUCUCUUCCUUAAUUCUUCGUGGCUUCUCAAUUUAUGGAUAUGUGACCAUUUGAAGAGGAAUGCAUUCGUUCAUUUUGUUCGGAUGUGAAGACUAUAUGUUGCAAUUUUCAUUCCGUUGGAUUCAGCUUCUAUAUUGUUGUCUAUCUAUGUGCUAAUGGUGGUCAACCUCUUCAGGAUGGCUCCUCCAACGCGCACGACUCCGAAUCCUGAUCCGCCUCCACCUCCGCCUCCUCCGGAAGCAUGGCAAGCUGUGAUGGCCGCUACUAAUGCAAAUACACAGUUGAUCAUGCAAAUCCUCCAAGAGCGCAAUCAAGGCAGUCAAGGGAAUCAAGGCCACAAUCAGCACCACUUUGCUACUCUGAACCAGUUCCUCGCAAAUGGCCCAAAGACGUUCAGCGGUUGUGUUGAGGCUACCGAUGCUGACGAUUGGCUAGUGGAUCUGGGCAAGCAUUUUGAAUGCAGCAAUGUCAGGCCUGAAGAUUUCGUCAAGUUCGCUUCUUUCCAGCUCAAAGAUCAGGCUGCAGAGUGGUUCCAGCAGUACAAGGAUUCCAGAGGUGGACGUGUUAUCACUUGGGACGAUUUCCGUCAAGAUUUCCGCGCUCAUCACAUCCCUCAAAGUGUGGUUGAGAGUAAGCGUCAGGAAUUCCGCAAUCUGAAGCAAGGCUCUUUGUCUGUCUAUGACUACAACAAGUUGUUCCAGAAGCUCGCCCGUUUUGCCAAGCAGGAUGUUCCUGAUGAGAAGAGCAUGAUCUAUCAGUUCAGGGGUGGUCUUCGUGAGGAAAUUCAGCUCGCUCUUGUCCUCUUUGAGCCGUUGAGAUACGAUGAGUUCUACAACAUGGCACUGAAGCAAGAGGCUGCUCAGAUGAGGUGUGAUGCUUCCAGGAAGCGUGCCAGAGAUGUUACUCCGUCUUCCUCUACUCAAGUGGUCAAGCAGCAGAAGUAUUGGCUUCCUCCUCCUCCGUUCCGUCAGCCGUAUCAGCAGAAGAGUAAAGGUGGCAGUGGUUUCUCCCACCCACCCAACCCAGGCUUUCAGAACAAGUCUUCGUCUCAAGCUCCAAGAUCGAGUGCUCCGUAUCACCGUCCGCUUUCAGAGGUCACGUGCAACAAGUGCCAACAGAAGGGUCACUAUGCCAACAAGUGUACCAACCAGAGGCGUCUUCCUCCUCCUCCUCCUGUCAGAUCGGCAAGUACAGCUGUGGUCAAGCACAAUCCCAAGCACGCCAAGGUCAAUAUGCUGAAUGCAGCUCAGGCUGAGGAUUCUUCAGAUGUCAUUAUGGGUAACCUUCCUAUUAAUGAUAUUCCUGCAAAAGUUCUUUUUGACACGGGUGCAUCGCAUUGUUUCAUGUCAAAGCCAUUUUUUACCAAGCAUGAGUUCGUUUCUUCUCAUUUGGGUAAACAUAUGGAUAGCAUUUCUCCUGGCAAACGUUUGAGCGCAAGUCUGGAGGUGCCAGAUGUCGCUAUCACGAUGGGAGAUUUCAAGUUUCUUGCUUCUCCUAUGGUUCUUGGUAACUCGGAUAUCGAUCUUAUUCUCGGGAUGGACUGGCUCUCUAAGCAUAAAGCUCAGCUUGAUUGUGCAGCCAGGCAGAUUCAACUGACUCAUUCGUCUGAGGAUGUCAUUGUCUUUGCCGCUCGGGAUAAUUACAUCCGGUUGUUUUCUCUCAAUGAGAAGGGUGAAUUGGAUGCUAUUUCGCAGAUUCCGGUUGUUUGUGAGUAUCAAGACGUUUUUCCAGAAGAACUUCCAGGAAUGCCUCCGCACCGGCCAGUUGAAUUUGUUAUUGAACUUGAGCCCGGUACGGAACCUGUGUGCAAACGUCCUUACAAGCUCGGCCCCGAAGAGUUGAAGGAGUUGAAGAAACAACUCGAUGAGCAAGAAAGAUUGGGUCUCAUUCGGCCUAGUACUUCUCCGUGGGGUUGUGGUGUUCUUUUUGUGAAGAAGAAGGAUGGAAUGAGUCGACUUUGUGUUGAUUACCGUCCAGUAAACAAGAAGACCAUCAAGAACAAAUACCCACUUCCCAACAUCAAUGAGCUGUUCGAACAACUCAAGGGUGCUCAAGUAUUCUCCAAGCUUGAUCUCCGUAUGGGUUAUCAUCAGAUUCGUAUUCGUGAGCAAGAUAUUCCCAAGACGGCGUUCAGAACAAGCUUUGGUUCAUAUGAAUACACCGUCAUGUCUUUUGGCCUCGCCAACGCUCCUCCGACGUUCUCUCGCAUGAUGAACUUCAUCUUCAGCCCCUACACCAAUGAAUUCGUUUUGGUCUAUCUCGACGACAUUCUGGUUUUCUCGAAGAACAAGGAAGAUCAUGCCAAGCACUUGCGUUUGGUACUUGACAAGCUCAGAGAACAUCAGUUCUACGCCAAGUUCUCCAAGUGUGAAUUUUGGCUCGAUGAAGUUCUUUAUCUUGGUCAUAUCAUCUCUGCCAAGGGCAUUUCCGUGAAUCCUGAGAAGGUGUCUGCAAUUGUGAAUUGGGAACCUCCUCAGAACGUGAAGCAACUCCGAAGUUUCCUCGGUCUCGCAAGCUAUUGCAGAAGAUUCGUUGAAAACUUUUCUAAGAUCGCCAAGCCUCUCUCAAAUCUUCUUCAGAAGCACGUCAAGUACGUUUGGUCUCCGGAGUGUGAUAUUGCUUUCAACACUUUGAAAGAGAAAUUGAUCACUGCUCCAGUUCUGACUCCGCCUGAUGAAACCAAGCCGUACGAGGUCUUUUGUGAUGCCUCUCUCCAAGGUCUCGGUGCUGUACUGAUGCAAGAGAAGAAAGUUGUUGCUUAUACCUCUCGCCAGUUGAAGCCUAAUGAGAAGAACUACCCCACUCAUGAUCUUGAGUUGGCGGCAGUUGUGCACGCUUUGUUGACUUGGAGACAUCUUCUAUUGGGAAGGAAAGUGGAUAUUUUCACUGAUCACAAGAGUCUCAAGUACAUCUUCACACAGCCUAAUCUCAACCUCAGGCAGACUCGAUGGGUCGAAAUGAUUCAAGAGUACAAUCCGAGUAUCGAGUAUACUCCAGGCAAGGCUAAUGUGAUUGCUGACGCGUUGAGUAGAAAAGCAUAUUGCAACAGUCUGAUUCUCAAGCCUUAUCAACCCGAGCUUUGUGAAGCUUUCCGCAAGCUUAAUCUGCAAGUUGUUCCUCAAGGUUUCCUCGCCAACCUUCAAGUUUCUCCUACCUUGGAAGACCAGAUUCGCCAAGCCCAACUUCUUGAUGCUAUGGUGAAAAAGGUGAAGAUUGGUAUUGCAAAGAGUCAGUCCAAGUACAAGUGCUACCGACUUGAUGACAAGGACACUCUCUUCUUCGAGGAUCGAAUUGUUGUGCCCAAAGGUGAACUUCGUAAGGUGAUCAUGAACGAGGCUCACAACUCUCUCCUCUCCAUCCACCCUGGUAGUACGAAGAUGUAUCAGGACCUCAAGCAAACUUAUUGGUGGACUCGAAUGAAGCGCGAGAUCGCUCAAUUCGUGAACGAGUGUGAUGUCUGCAGAAGAGUGAAGGCAGAACACCAAAGGCCAGCAGGUCUCCUCCAACCUCUUGCCAUUCCAGAAUGGAAGUUUGACCACAUUGAAAUGGACUUCGUGACUGGGUUUCCAAAGUCCAAGCGUGGCAAUGAUGCUAUAUUCGUCGUCAUCGACAAGCUCACCAAAGUGGCUCACUUUCUGCCUAUCAAAGAGUCAAUCACUGCAGCUCAAUUGGCGGAACUCUAUACCUCUCGCAUUGUCUCUCUGCAUGGUAUUCCUCAAGUGAUAUCUUCAGACCGUGGUAGCAUCUUUACCUCCAAGUUUUGGGAUUCUUUUCAGAAGGCCAUGGGCACCAACAUCCGCUUCAGCACAGCUUUCCAUCCUCAAACGAGCGGUCAAGUCGAGCGUGUCAAUCAGAUUCUUGAAGAUAUGCUCAGGGCUUGUGUGAUCUCCUUCGGCAUGAAGUGGGAGGACUGUCUUCCUUAUGCUGAAUUCUCAUACAACAACAGCUUUCAAGCAAGUUCGGGCAAAGCCCCUUUUGAAAUUCUAUAUGGCAGGAAGUGCCGUACCCCUCUCAACUGGUCUGAAACCGGUGAACGUCAGCUGCUGGGCAAUGACCUAAUCACAGAGGCAGAAGAAAUGUGCAAAGUCAUUCGUGAUAACCUCAAAGCAGCCCAGUCCCGCCAGAAGAGCUACUAUGAUAGUAAGAACCGUGAAUUGGCUUUCGAGAUCGGAGAUCACGUUUACCUCCGCGUCUCUCCUAUGAAAGGUACUCGUCGCUUCGGUAUCAAAGGGAAGCUUGCCCCUAGAUACGUGGGACCUUUCAAGAUUGUCAGCAAGAGAGGCGACCUCGCCUAUCAACUCGAGCUUCCUUCAAACUUUGCAAAUGUUCAUGAUGUGUUCCAUGUCUCUCAGCUUCGAAAGUGCUUCAAGACUCCUGACCGCACCGUCAACUUCGAGGACAUUGAGCUCCAAGAAGAUCUCUCCUAUCGUGAGCACCCAGUUGCUAUUCUUCAAGAGACUGAACGCAAGACUCGCAACAAGUCAAUCAAAUUCCUCAAAGUCAAGUGGUCUCACCAUUCCGACCGUGAAGCUACCUGGGAACGCGAGGAUCACCUCCGUUCUGAGUACCCGGAGUUCUUUCAGUCCUAGAUCUCAGGAUGAGAUCUUUUCGUAGUGGUGGAGUGUUGUAACGCCCCAGAUAUACUUUCCAUAUUUGUAUCCAACUCUUGCCGUCUCCGGCGCUAAGUUAUAUUUAUUUCUCGGGUUUGGGUCUUUGUCUCUGUGUGUUGUUUUUCUUUUUCGUGCAUCUCUUAUCAUGUCAUCACGUGCAUUGCAUUUGCAUACAUGUUCAUCUCAUGCAUUCGAGCUUUUUCCCCGUUGUCCGUUUUGCAUUCCGGCGCUUCGUCCUCCUCCGGUGGUCAUUUCUAGUCUUCUUUCGUGUGUGGGGUUUAAACAUUUCUGGAUUGGACCGAGACUUGCCAAGCGGCCUUGGUUUACUACCGGUAGACCACCUGUCAAGUUUCGUAUCAUUUGGACUUCGUUUGAAACUCCAACGGUUAACCGAGGGACCGAAAAGGCCUCGUGUGUGUUGCAACCCAACACCCCUCCAAAUUUGGCCCAAACCCCACCAAACUCUGCUCCAUCGUCUCAGUCGUUCGAUCACGAUCGUGUGGGCGAAAACCGUACCUCAUUUGGACUCUCCUAGCUCCACUUAUGCAUAUAUAUACACCCCCUCCGAAAUCCACGGUUCUUCUCCCCCCUAACCCUAGAUCCAACUCCUCCCGCCGCCGCCGGACAAAAAUCGCGCGCCGGACGUGUCCGCUUGGCUCCGCGGGACGAAUCCGCCGCCGCCACGUGUCCCGGGGCCGGUCCCCAGUUCGCCGCCGCCCGCGGGCCCNNNNNNNNNNNNNNNNNNNNNNNNNNNNNNNNNNNNNNNNNNNNNNNNNNNNNNNNNNNNNNNNNNNNNNNNNNNNNNNNNNNNNNNNNNNNNNNNNNNNNNNNNNNNNNNNNNNNNNNNNNNNNNNNNNNNNNNNNNNNNNNNNNNNNNNNNNNNNNNNNNNNNNNNNNNNNNNNNNNNNNNNNNNNNNNNNNNNNNNNNNNNNNNNNNNNNNNNNNNNNNNNNNNNNNNNNNNNNNNNNNNNNNNNNNNNNNNNNNNNNNNNNNNNNNNNNNNNNNNNNNNNNNNNNNNNNNNNNNNNNNNNNNNNNNNNNNNNNNNNNNNNNNNNNNNNNNNNNNNNNNNNNNNNNNNNNNNNNNNNNNNNNNNNNNNNNNNNNNNNNNNNNNNNNNNNNNNNNNNNNNNNNNNNNNNNNNNNNNNNNNNNNNNNNNNNNNNNNNNNNNNNNNNNNNNNNNNNNNNNNNNNNNNNNNNNNNNNNNNNNNNNNNNNNNNNNNNNNNNNNNNNNNNNNNNNNNNNNNNNNNNNNNNNNNNNNNNNNNNNNNNNNNNNNNNNNNNNNNNNNNNNNNNNNNNNNNNNNNNNNNNNNNNNNNNNNNNNNNNNNNNNNNNNNNNNNNNNNNNNNNNNNNNNNNNNNNNNNNNNNNNNGGAGCACCUCGCCCCGCCGCCCCAAGCCCUCGCCGGCGCCCGCGCCAGGGAGAGGAGCUCCCGGCUCCGGCGACCGCCCGCCGCGCCGCUUCCUCCUCGCCGUCCGGCCCCCCUCCCCGCUCCGGUUACUUCCUCUCCGGCCGCCGCCGUCGUCUACAGGAAUCCCGGCGAGAUCCGCCGCCGUCUCGGGCCGCGUGCCCGAACCCUAGAUCUGGAUCCUGGGGUAGUUUUUUUUCACNNNNNNNNNNNNNNNNNNNNNNNNNNNNNNNNNNNNNNNNNNNNNNNNNNNNNNNNNNNNNNNNNNNNNNNNNNNNNNNNNNNNNNNNNNNNNNNNNNNNNNNNNNNNNNNNNNNNNNNNNNNNNNNNNNNNNNNNNNNNNNNNNNNNNNNNNNNNNNNNNNNNNNNNNNNNNNNNNNNNNNNNNNNNNNNNNNNNNNNNNNNNNNNNNNNNNNNNNNNNNNNNNNNNNNNNNNNNNNNNNNNNNNNNNNNNNNNNNNNNNNNNNNNNNNNNNNNNNNNNNNNNNNNNNNNNNNNNNNNNNNNNNNNNNUUCAUUCCAUUGCAUCAUUUGCAUUUGAGGUCAUCUUGAUCCCCAAAAUGCUGUUAGAAGGAGGCUUCGUGAGUUAAAUUGCAGAUCCGUUAGUUCAUCAUGCACUUUUGUCAUUUUUGCUAUGUUUAAUUCGUGCAUGAUAUGCCUGUGCCCCUUUGGGAUGAAUUGUUAAGCAUUUUGUCUUCUUUCCAGAGGUGUCACCCAUGCAUUUUUAGGAUGUGUGUGUUGUCUUGUGCAAUCUUGCGAAGAGAGGUACCUGAGAAUGCAGAUUUCAGGGACUUGGUGAUUUUCACUAAGUCUGGGAUAUUUUAGUUCAUGAUGCUAUAUGUCCAGCUUGUUUCCUAGUGAUCCGUGCCUCUUUUGAGGAUGAUCAGUAAGGGAGUUUUGAUAUUUAAGUUAUGCUCUAUCUAUCCGUGUCUUUGUUUGCAUAUGUGGAGUGCUCUAGGUUUACUCAAUCGAACUCAACUUUUGCUUCGUUGUUAAUCUGGGCAGAUCGUCAACUUGUUUGCGAUUUUGCCGAUGCUACCGUUAGUGUUCCAUGCAUGCUAUGCCUUCGUUCUUGCCAUGUGUAGCUAGCACAUUGUGCCUUAUUGCUGGUUAUAUGCUUUCCUUGCCAUGACUUGCACCGUAGUGAGUGCAUCGAGCUCGUUUACAUGCCUUCGUGAGUUAUAUUUCAGCGUGUCUCAGUUUUCACUAAGUCUGAAAACUGAUUGUGUUCGAGCUAUGUUCGUGAGCUCGGUAGAGUAUUUUGUGAACCCUUUUGGCCCCAGGUCACUUUGGGUGUUUUGUUAAGCUUGUUGAGUAGCUCCAUGCCAUGUUCUUACUUGUCAUGUUCAGGUUUUCUAUCAUGUUGUUUUGCUGCUCCGAAGAGAGCAUCGUGAUCUGAAAUUUCAGACUAGUGUUAAUUUCACUAAGUCUGGAAUCUGUUUUGCAUUUGCGUUUUAGCCAUGCUUGUUUGAACCUCUUAAUGGAUGAAUUUGCCUAUGGCUCAGUGCUAGUGUUUUGUCAACCAUCUUGUGUACAUCACUGCCAUGUAUUUUGUUUUAAUGUUUGGUGGUUGUAGCAUGUUCAUUUCGUUGCAUUUAGAUGCCUACUUGCUGUAAAUCGCAGACCGGUGUCAUCUCUUAAAACGCUUGCCAUUUCCAAACCGUAGCUCCGAUUCCUAUGAUCUUUAUAUCGUUUUCAAGCGAUUUCAUCCCCUCUAUCCAGUGGCACACUUGGUUUUCCAAGUUGAUGCCAGGUUCAUGCAUUUCCUGUCAUAUCUCGCAUUUUGCAUCCCGCAUCGCAUCCCGCAUAGCAUAUCGUCAUUUCAUCAUAUUGCUUGGUCUUGCCCGUGGUUGAUUGUAUCCUUGUUGCUUGUUUGUCUUGUUGGGUAGAGCCGGGAGACGAGUUCGCUACCGAGGAGCCCGUUGAGUUUGCUUGUGAGGAUCCAGUCAACUCUGACAACUGUGCAGGCAAGAUGAUCAUACCCUCGAAAUCACUACUAUCUUUGCUAUGCUAGAUUGCUCGCUCUUUUGCUUUGCCACUGCUAUGAUGCCUACCAUUUGCUUGUCAGCCUCCCAAUUGCCAUGUUGAACCUCUAACCCACCAUUGACCUAGCAAACCGUUGAUUGGCUAUGUUACCGCUUUGCUCAGCCCUUCUUAUAGCGUUGUUAGUUGCAGGUGAAGGUUGGAGCCGUUCCUUGUUGGAACAUUUAUUUUACUUGUUGGGAUAUCAUUAUAUUGCUAUGUUAUCUUAAUGCAUCUAUAUACUUGGUAAAGGGUGGAAGGCUCGGCCUCUCGCCUAGUGAUUUGUUCCACUCUUGCCGCCCUAGUUUCUGUCAUAUCGGUGUUAUGUUCCCGGAUUGUGCGUCCCUUACGCGGUUGGGCUAUAAUGGGAACCCCUUGAUAGUUCGCCUUGAUUAAAGCUUUUCCAGCAAUGCCCAACAUUGGUUUUACCAUUUGCCACCUAGCCUCUUUUUCCCUUGGGUUUCCGGAGCCCGAGGGUCAUCUUAUUUUAACCCCCCCGGGCCAGUGCUCCUCUGAGUGUUGGUCCGAACCAGGCAGCCUGCGGGGCCACCUCGGGGAAACUCGAGGGUUGGUUUUACUCGUAGCUUGACCUAUCCGAGCGUGCCCUGAGAAAGAGAUAUGUGCAGCUCCUAUCGGGAUUUGUCGGCACAUUCGGGCCGUGUUGCUGGACUUGUUUUAACCUGUCGAAUCAUCUUGUUGUACCAAGAUACCGAGUCUGAUCGGUGUGUCUUGGGUGGAGGUCUAUUCCUUCGUUGACCGUGAGAGCUUGUUAUGGGCUAAGUUGGGACCCCCCUGCAGGGAUUGAUCUUUCGAAAGCCGUGCCCGCGGUUAUGGGCAGAUGGGAAUUUGUUAAUGUCCGGUUGUAGAUAACUUUAACUUAACUUAAUUAAAAUGAAUCAACCGUGUGUGUUACCGUGAUGGCCCCUUCUCAGCGGAGUCCGGCAAGUGGACACGGUGUUGGAGUUAUGCUUGUGCAGGUUGUUCCUUUAGCUUCUCGCUCGUGCUUCGCCUUCUCUUCUCGCUCUCUUUUGCGUAUAAGUUAGCCACCACAUAUGCUAGUCGCUUGCUGCAGCUCCACAUAUAUUUGCCUUAUCCAUUCCUAUGAGCUUAAAUAGUUUUGAUCGCGUGGGUGUGAGAUUGCUGAGUCCCUGUGGCUCACAGAUACUACAACUCCAGAUGCAGGUCCAGGUGUUUCUGCUCCAGUUGACGAUUACGAGCUCAAGUGGGAGUUCGAUGAGGACUCUCAGCGAUACUACGUAUCUUUUCCGGAUGAUCAGUAGUGGUGCCUAGUUGGGGUUAUCGAUUCAGGACCUUGUCGCUCGUUGGGUUCUUUUCUAUUUUGGCGCCGUAGUCGGGCCAUGAGUGUUUGUUUGAUGGAUGUUAUUUAUGUACUCUGAUGUGACGUGGCGAGUGUAAGCCAACUAUGUUAUCUCCCCCUUUUAUUAUAUAUUAAAUGGGAUGUUGUAAUGAUUGCCUGACUUGCAACAUUGCUUUCAAUGCGGUUAUGCCUCUAAGUCGUGCCUCGACACGUGGGAGCUAUAGCCGCAUCGAGGGCGUUACAGCAUGUGCCGACCCAAACACGGAAGCGGGCGUGGGUGUCCGUCGAGCCGACCCAAACGGACAAAAGGUGAACAAAAUCGACGUCCGUUUGAGUCGGCGCGUUGAAGUUAGCUCUUAUUACAUGCGUAUGCAGUAUGCUAACUAGACUAGAAAUCGCACUAGUUUGAAACUUGAAACUGACCGUGCAGCUCAUUAGAAAGAGCAGGCUAGCUAGGUUUUCACUGCACCGUAUCCGUAUGCAUGUGCGCGUGCUAAGUUUUUACGUUUUUGUCAAUCUGCAAAGAAAUUGAGUGUGCCACACGCCCACACCUCAUUGCCAAAGAGGGUAUGGGUGUUUCGCGGUAGUUUCCUUCGUCACUGCCAUGAGAUGAACCGGACACUCCUUCCUGUUUUUUUAGAAAAGGAGGAAGCACCCCCGGCCUCUGCAUCUGGAUGAUACAUACGGCCACUUUAUUAAUUAUUAAGCACAAAAGACCUUACAAAGUAAUACAUCAAUAAGCCUGAAGCCACCAUCUAGGCAACAUCUAUCGCUACUCCUACCCCUUGAUGCAGUGGUGCCGAAUGUCCGAGUCUAAUACCAAAGACGUCGCACCAAAUUCUAACAUCUAAUGCCGGAUGCCCCAUCCUAGCCACAUACCAGGACUGGGUCACACGCCGGUCCGGCGCACUCACCGAGGCUGCCGCCGCCUUCUUCCACCGAUCCAUCUCCAGAGCAGGUACUGACGCACAGACCUUGCCAGACCUGCCGUCGACGCCACCAUGGCGCCAGACAGCUCGACCACCCUGCGCUCGUCCAUCCAGCCGCAUCCGUCGUCGAUAUGCAGCUACACCAUGCUGCCACCACUCGUCGUCAAAGACGCGGUAGAUACAACACCGCACCACCUGGCAACCUCCACACCAUCGCCACUGCUGGAGCUACUCGGAGCCCACCAUCCACGACAUCUCUCCCCCGAACAGCAGUUCCUCCCAAGACGGCGCCUCCAUGGAGGAUACGACGCGCAGGACGCCGCCGCCGCCCAAUCCAGACUGAAUUUUGGACAUUCGUCCGGGAGGGGUUCGGGGGUGGAUAGGGGGGACCUCGGCUUCGCCUCCAGGAAGGGUAAUGGCGUCAAGUGACGUCGCCGAUGCCGGGCCAAACACGCCGACCAAAGUUUCCUCCGGUCCCCAUCCUAUGCCACCAAACCUCCGUGUACUCCGGAUCCGGCAAGCCACGAUCCGAAACCCGCGAAGAUGAAAGAGCCAUGGGGCUCAACUCACCAGAAAGGAGGAUCGAGAAGAGCUCCUUGUAGAUCUCUAGACGCCGAAUCUAACGAUCCGACGUGGCCAGCGACGAUCAUCACCACCCCGCCGCGGCCGACGGAGUCCGAAGAAAGGAUCCAGAUGUUACCCCUAAUCUAGAGCUCGAUCUAUGGCGAUGAGAAAGGAGGGAGUCUGAACUUUUGUGCAGCGCACUAAACUGCUGCGUUUUCUUCUUCCUUUAUUCACUGAUAAACUGGGAAACCGGAUCGAGGACCAUCCCCUCUACUGGAUGGUGCCAUCCCACGAUCAGGGGCGUGCUCUCGCCGUGAGCUGCGGCCGCGGGAUCGCACAGAUUGCGUCCUCGGGCUCUCUAACUGAAACCGAUAAAACAGCUAACUAACCUGACAGCUAACUAAAAGUACUAGGCUGCCGUGGCAGCCCUGACUACUUGUCACGCUAGAUUAUUAGCCAACGAUCUCCCCCUAAGCUAGUCGUGACAUAAAACUUAAACUUCAACCAUACCAAUGCAUGCACGAAGCUGCUGAAACCGCGUGCGCCCUAGUGACUUUGUGAAGAUGUCCGCAAGCUGAUCACCCGUGGUGAUGUGCUCUACCAUGAUCUUGCCUUCUUCCACACACUUGCGGAUGAAAUGGAAUCGAACGUCGAUGUGCUUGCUGCGAUCAUGGAACACCGGGUUCUUGCACAACUGAAUUGCAGACUUGUUGUCGAUGAGGAUGGUGGUGGCACCGGCCUCCUCUUUCAGCAAGUCCCUCAUGAGCCUGACCAAAUCGCUUGAUAUGCCGCCGUAGUUGCUGCCACAUACUCCGCCUCACAUGAUGACAAAGCGACGAUCUUCUGUUUCUGUGACUGCCAGGUGAUCGGUGCUCCUCCCAGGAAGAAAAGAUUGCCGGACAUGCUCUUGCGGUCGUCGAUGUCGCCGGCCAGGUCCGAGUCACUGUACCCAAUGAGCUUUCCCUCACUCUUCUUGACGUACCUGCAGCCAAACUCGCAUGUGCCUGCAAUGUAGCGCAGCAGAUGCUUGACGGCGGCGAGGUGCGCCGUGGUCGGCGCCUCCAUGAAGCGGCUUACGUACCCCACUGCAAACGUGAUGUCCGGGCGUGUGUGCGUGAGGUAGCGAAGCCCUCCGAUGAUCCUGCGGUAGUGGGUGGCGUCCACCCGCGACUCUGGCCCCUCCUUGCUCAGCUUAAGACGCGGCUCCAUGGGGACAUGCACAGGAUUGCAGUCAGCCAUGCCCGCGCGCUCCAAGAGCUCGCCGGCGUACGCCGCCUGUGACAGGGUGAUCUCCCCGUCCCCCUGCUUCACCUCUAUGCCAAGGUAGAAGCUGAGCAGGCCGAGGUCGCUCAUGCGGAACCUGCCCAUCAUCUCUGUCUUGAAGCCCUGAAUCGCCUUGGUGUCGGCUCCGGUGACGACAAGGUCGUCGACGUACACGCCAACCAGGAGCCGAGCUUUCCCUUCGCCGCGCGUGUACAUGGCAUGUUCUGACGGGCAGCUCGUGAACCCAAGUUGCUGCAUAGUGAGGUCGAGCUUGGCGUUCCAGGCCCGCGGUGCCUGCCGCAGCCCGUAGAGUGCCUUGUGGAGGCGAUAAACCUUGUGCUCAUCGCCGCUCCGCACGAAACCAGGGGGUUGCUUGACGUAAACCUCCUCCUUGAGCUCGCCGUUGAGGAAGGCCGACUUGACGUCGAGGUGGUGCAGCUCCCAGCCACGCUGAGCCGCCAUGCCCACCAUGACACGCACGGAGUCCAGUCUGGCCACGGGCGCGAACGCGUCAUCGUAGUCCACGCCCUCCUUCUGCACGAAGCCUCUCGCCACAAGCCUCGCCUUGUGCUUGACCACGACAUCGGUUGCGUCUUUCUUCACUUUGAAGACCCACUUGAGCCCGAUUGCCUGGUGACCUGCUGGCAAGUCAGUCAGUGUCCAUGUAGCAUUCUCCUCGAUCGAAGCCAGCUCAUCUAGCAUGGCACGCCGCCAACAAUCGUGUGGCUCAGCAUCAGCAAAGCAGAGUGGCUCCUCCUCCACUAGCAGUAGCUCCUCGGCCAUCUGCACCAGCUCGUUUGCCCUGUGCAAGACGUCCGAGACGCGGCGGAACCGGUGCGCAAUGGCCGGAUCGUCGUAGGCGUCGAAGAGAUUUGGCUGCAUGGUCGGCGGCGUGACGAAGCCUACUCCCUCCGGGGUGUCCAUGGGCAGCACGCUGCCGCCGGGCGAGUCCACCGUGGAUGCGCUCGUAGCAGUCUGGAGCUCAACUGGUGUCCCCAGCGUCCUGACAGCGGUCUUGGACGCGGCCAGAGUCGCUCCCGUGUCACCAUUGCCUCCUUCGCUCAGGUUGUCCCUGUGUCGUGCAUUCUGUGUGCUCCGGUGACAGACGGGAGCUUGUGAUGGACGACGAGCGGCUCAGCAAUGGGCUCGCCGCCAGCGCCCCAAUCCCAGCUUGCUGCCUCGUCGAACACCACGUCGUGUGAUGCGUACACCCGCUUGGUCAAGGGGUCAUACACGCGGUACGCCUUCGAACCCUCCUCGUAGCCGAUGAAGAUCAUCUUCGUGCUGCGAUCGUCGAGCUUCUUCAGCCCGGGCCGCGUGUUCUUGACGUAGGCGAUGCAGCCGAAGACACGCAGGAAGUGCACAUCGGGAUUCUUGCCGUGCCAAGCCUCGUACAGGGUCUUGCCAUCGACGAUGCGGGUGUACGAUCGGUUGAGGAUGAACACCGUAGUGGCCACGGCCUCCCCCCAAAAGCAGCUCGGCAUAUUCUCCGCCUUGAGCAUGCUCCUGGCCAUGCCCACGACGGUCUGGUUGCAUCGUUCCACGACGCCGUUCUGUUGCGGCGAGUAGGGCGCCGUCAGGUGCCGCUGGAUGCCUUGGUCCGAGAAGUACUCACCGAGCGCUGUCGACGUGAACUCGCCGCCCCGGUCCGUCCGGAACGUGUGCAGCUUAGCUCCCCGCUCUGCCUCUGCUGCGGCGACGAAGUGUCUGAUGCUUGCCGCAGCGGCGUCCUUCGCCGGCAGCAUCAUGGCCCACAUGUAGCGGCUGUGAUCGUCGACGAUGCGCAUGAAGUAGCGCUUGCCUCCCGGAGUGCUCGGGGUGAUUGGCCCGCAUAGAUCGGCGUGCACCAGCUCGAGCGGGUCCUGCGCUCGGUAGCGCGCCUGUGAGGGGAACGGCGCACGCUGCUGCUUCCCCACCAAGCACGCGUCGCACAACUCCUCGGCAUGCUGCACGAGGGGCAUCCCGCGCACCAAGUCCGCGUGCCCCAUGCGCCGGAGGGCGUCGAAGUGUUGGUGACCGAGCCUUGCGUGCCACCUCCAUGCCUCGUCGCCAGCGUGUGCCGCCAGAGAAAUAGGGUGUGAAAUGUCCGAGCGAACCACAUAAAGGCAUUUGCCAUUUUGGCGUACCUGGGCCAGCUCGUGUUGAUGACGAUCGUACAGAGUCAGGAGGCCGCCUUGGAUCUUGACGAUGCAGCCGUGCUCAUCAAGUUGCCCGAGGCUGAUGAUGCUGGAUUUCAAACGCGGGAUGAAGUAGACGUCUGUCAGAGCGCGCUGAUCGCCACUGCGCACGGUGAACGUGAUCGUGUCGUGGCCUUGGAUGGCCACGCUUGAGCCAUCACCAAACCUGACACUUCCAGUGACGGCCUCGUCCAGCUCUGCGAACGCCGUGCAAUCGCCGGUCAUGUGGUUGGACGCGCCGGUGUCCAGGAACCACCGGCCAUCGCACGGCUCCUCGUCCGUGCCUAGGUUCACCUCUGCGCGCUCCUCGUUGAGCGUGAUGUGCUUCCCCGCGGUCGGUGUCGAGUCCGUAGCGAUCACCGCCAUCAGGAGCAUCGGGUCGUCAUCGGGCCCGUCCGCGGCGUGCUCGCCCUGCUCGGCGAGGUUCGCCUCCUCGCGGAUGCGUGUAUGGCACUCACGUGCCCAGUGCCCGUACUUCUUGCAGUGGCGACACUGAUCAGUAGGCUUCGCGCGGCUGCCGGUGUCGCGCCCACCACUGCGUCCACGGCCUCGUCCGUGACGUCCCCCUCCGCGCCCUGACCCGGAGCCACAGCCUCCGGAUCCGUCAUUCUUGUGGCGCCCGAGGCGCGCAUUCCACUCCUCCUCCGUCAUGAGGAGUUGGCCGCCGCUGGUGUUGACGAAGUCGAGGCUGUAGCGCUCCUCCGCCACCUUGAGCCGCCCGACGAGCUCCUCCAUCGGGAGUGUGUCAAGAUCAACAAGCAUCUCAAUAGAGAGCGCGAUCUGGGAGAACUACCGAGGCACGAUAGAGAGAAACUUGCGGACGACCUUCUUCUCUGGAAUCGUCUCUCCAAGGAGACUGAGCUGGUUCACCAUACCUGUCAGACGCAUGGCGAAGUCAUCGAUGCACUUGCCGUCGUUGAACGUCACGACGGUGUACUGCUUGCUGAGAGUCGCUGCCUUGGCCUCCCUCACACGCGCCACGCCAAGGCGCAUGGUCUUGAUGGCCUCCCAGGCCUCCUUUGUCGUGCUCUUGGCCGCAAGAGUCGCCACCUGUCGGUGUCAAAACCGGCGGAUCUCGGGUAGGGGGUCCCGAACUGUGCGUCUAGGCGGAUGGUAACAGGAGACGAGGGACACGAUGUUUUACCCACGUUCGGGCCCUCUUGAUGGAGGUAAAACCCUACGUCCUGCUUGAUUGAUAUUGAUAUUGUGGAUGUUUACAAGAGUGGAUCCACCACGAGAUCAAGGAGGCUAAACCCUAGAAGCUAGCCUAUGGUAUGAUUGUUGUUGUUGUUGUUGUGUCCUACGGACUAGGGCCAUCCGGUUUAUAUAGACACUGGAGAGGGCUAGGGUUACAUAGAGUCGGUUACAAUGGUAGGAGAUCUACAUAUCCGUAUCGCCAAGCUUGUAUUCCACGCCAAGGAAAGUCCCAUCCGGACAUGGGGCGAAGUCUUCAAUCUUGUAUCUUCAUAAUCUUGGAGUCCGGUCGAUGAUGAUAGUCCCGCCGAUGAUAGUCCGGCUGAUGAUGGUAGUCCGCCUAUCCGGACACCCCCUAAUCUAGGACUCCCUCAGUAGCCCCUGAACCAGGCUUCAAUGACGAUAAGUCCGGCGCGUAUAUUGCUUGGCAUUGCAAGGCGGGUUCCUCCUCCGAAUGAUAGAAGAUUGUGAACACCAGGAUAGUGUCCGGCUCUGCAAAAUAAAUUCCACAUUUCACCAUAGAGAGAAUAAUAUAUACACAAGUUCGAUCUGCUGACGUUUUUUGUGGCAUGAUGUCACGCCACUACCAAGCCAUUACUUGAAUCGUUUUUUACUCUACCACCUCAGCGCAUUUAGCGAAGCGGUUUCCUCGGCACGUCUUGUCGAAGCAGAGAUCGUGUUCCCCCUUAAUCCGGGAUUCUCAUCAAUACAGAUGUGGGUAACCCAACCGCGCCAUUGAUGGUGACGCUUGGGGGAUAAGCGAGUUUUACCAGGCCGGUGGGGGACGCAUAGACUUCGCCCUCCCAUAUAAGGGAUAAGGAUUCACCUUUUCACCUACGCCUUCUUCCUCCUUUGCUUAUCCAUCUCCGCACACUCGAGCUCCAGCGCCCAAGCCCGCACAUCCCGUCUCAACCUUCCCCAGUCAUGUCUGGAGCGGGAGGCAAGUGGAUGACCUCCUCCGUUACGGAGGAGCACAUCGAAAGACUGCGCAGCGCCAGAUACCUGUCCGGCGACAUCGCGCACCGGCUGCCCGACGAGGGGCAGCUCAUCCCCACCCCCAGGCCCCAUGAGAGGGUCAUUUUUCUUCCCCACUUCCUUCGCGGACUGGGCUUUCCACUUCACCCCUUUGUCCGGGGGCUCAUGUUCUAUUACGGCCUGGAUUUCCAUGAUCUGGCGCCGAACUUCAUCCUCAACAUAUCGGCAUUUAUCGUCGUGUGCGAGGCCUUCCUCUGCAUCCAGCCCCACUUCGGCUUGUGGCUCAAGACCUUCAAUGUCAAGCCGAAGGUAGUGAAGGGCACUCAAGCGGAGUGCGGAGGCGCCAUGUUGGGCAAGAUGCCCAACGUCCUUUGGUUCGAAGGGGCCUUCGUGGAAUCCGUCAAGGGGUGGCAAUCGGGGUGGUUCUAUAUCACCGAGCCGCGCGACCCUAAGUGGGCGGCGGCCCCCGAGUUCAGAUCUGGUAUCCCCGCGCAGCUCACCUCCUGGAAAGAGAAGGGCUUGCUGUGGGGUAGUUCGGAGGAGGUGACGGGACUCCAAGCCUGUAUCUAGAAGCUGGUGAAGAAGCUCAGGCUGGUUAACGUGGUCCAAGUCAUGCUCGUCCACCGGAUUCUCCCAUGCCAAGAGCGGGCAUUCAAUCUGUGGGAGUUCAAUCCGGAACAGCACCAGGCGCUGAGCGGGCUCUUCGACACGACGUGCGAAGGCGCCUGGAGGGUGCUGUUUAAGGGCGCCGAAGUCCCCGCAUCCGCGACUGAAGAUCGCGGAUUUCACUCGCAGCGCCAAGCCGACGAGGUAAGUGAUUCUACCCCUUUACGGGACACUUGCUUUUCAUAGUUUGACUCUAUGCGGGUUUUAAUUUCCCCUUUUCCUUUGACAGGACUGGAUGAGGAAGGCGGAGCAGAUUAUCUGCCCGGCCCCUAUGCCAGAAAACCCAGUAGACACCCGUCCAGCGAGGCUGCUGGUUCCGGCACCGCACGUGGUGCCGGAGAAGAAGGCCAAGAAGGAGGCCACGGGUGCUCGAAAGAGUUCCCGUUUUCAGGUGUCCGACGACUCCGGGGCGGACUCCUCCCCCGAAAACGAGGAGGAGAAAGUGGACUCUCUCCCAGAGGGGGGAGAGAGGAAGAGGAGGGCUUCCCCCACAGGGGAGGCCGAAGGGUCCAAGAGGGGAAGGACUAUUCCCCCGGACAGCUCCGCCAACAUCAACGUUGGCGAGGAAGAAUGGUCUUCAAGGGCCAGGCCUCCGGCGAGAUCGUAAGUAUCUGGAUUCCUGAAUGAGUUAUAAUUUCUUUUUAUGCGUCACAUAGUGUCAUUCUGAUGCCGCAUGCUGCCUGUAGUCCGGCCAAUGAUGAUCUCCCCGCUUCAUCGAGCGGGUCGUUGGCUCCGUCGGAGGUAGACUCCAUCCCGACCGCCUCCACCCCUCGCGACACCGAGGACGCCGAGGUGGGAUCCCAAGAAGGGGCCCAUCAGGGGGAGGCUCCGGAGGCGCCACGAGGUGGCCUCACGGACUUUGCGCCGGACUCCAUAUCAGAACCCGCAGUGGCUCUGGAGUCCGGCUGGCGGCCCCUUUGCACGAAGGGCAAGACCGUGACGCCGGCGGCUUCCGUCCAACCGGACGCGCCGGAUAAGUUGUUGGAGGUGCUCCAGAGCGCUUCCAUCGAGGAAGAACACCGCACUAUUAUGAGUGCGGUGAUUCAGAAGGUACAGCUUGCCAAGAGCGGGCUGACCGAAGCCUGCAGUAGCCUUCUAUCAGGCUUUGAGGUAAGAAGUUAAAAAUAUACAAUGUAAUACCGCAUAGACAGUAUCCCCUGAUGCUCGAUUCGGUGUUCGGAAAGAAAAGCCGGACUAAGGAUCUGGAAAAAAAAGAUAUACGCAGGGUUGCUAAAAAAUUAUGUCAAUAUGGGUUGCAGGCUGCGCUGCUGACCUCUGCCGCACUGACUGCGGAGGUCGGUGCUUUGAAGCAGGAGCUCGAGUGGUCCGAGCAAGAGCUCGGCCGCGCCAAGAAGCAGCUCCAGGACAAAGAAGGUGAGUGACACCACUUUGAACUUGUACCUUACAGAAAAGGAUUUAGGUUGCAACAAAAGAUAACAAGGAUAACAUGGGUACUGCAGGGGCCACGAACGAGGUGGCGACCCUAAAGGAGGCCGUGUCUGCGGCCGAACGCAAUGCGGCCGCGGAACGAGCAGAGCGAGAAAAGCAGGAGGCGCGGGUGGCGGUGGUUCAGCAAGAGCUCCAGGCUCUCAUGGAAAAGUAUGAGAGUUUGGAGCGUGACUCAAAGACUCAAGAGUCCGAGCUUGCCUCGGCUCUCUAAAGUGCCAAGACUGCCAAGGCCGAUGCCCAUAAGUCCCUUCAGGAGAUUGAGUUGGUCAGGAAGAUAGCGGCGGGUAAGGCAUUUUUCAUGCAAAGCAAGCAUGUGAAUGUAAAUUACGUGUUACUUACCCGUAUUCGGAGCUCUCCAGGGGCAUUUGCAGAUCUGCCUCGCAGUGUAUCUGAUGCCGCCGCAUUCUAUCGAGCCGAGGAGGGGAGCUCAACAGAGAAGGUCUUCUGGUCUCAGUAUGCUGAGGCCGGCCAUCCAGUGCCCCCUAGCGACCAGCUGAAGCAGCUGGUCAAGCUCCACAAGGCGGCCGAGGAGGGCAUGAAGGGCCUCAUAGUCUGGCUGUGGCCUGGAGAGGCCAUGCCUGGGAGCUACUUCGGCCUCGUGAGACAGUUGGUGGAUGUGUGCCCCUGGGUGGAGGUUAUCAAGCGCUCCGCCUGUACUGAAGGUGCUCGUCGGGCCCUUGCCCGCGCAAAAGUGCAUUGGGGCAAGCUGGAUGCGGAGAAGCUAAUCACUGACGCGCCACCAGCGGGCAAGGAAUAUCGUACGCCUGAAAUGUACUAUAGGACUGUCCUGAAGGGUGCCCGCAAGAUUGCGGAUGAGUGCCCCAGGGAUGUAAUUAUUGAGUAAAUUCGCAAUGUUAUCCUGUGCGCUGAAAACUUUGUUCAUAUGCGCUAAGCAACGCUUGUUAAUUUAAAAUAUUACCUUAUGUGCGGCCGUUUAUUAAAUCUGAGAGAUGGCAAGUCGUCGGCUUCAGCCCCCAUGCCACGAGUGCUGGGGUGUUCGGGAUAAACUUGAGCACUCUUGUUCCCAUUUUUGGGUCCAUCUAGGGAGGCGCUCAACACAACGAACAAGGCAACCGGACUUAUAGUGCUUGAACACUCUCACUUAGCCAUAGAAUUCUAUAAUUUUAAAUUUCGGCGAAGCCCCUAGUAUUCAGAAGACCGAAUUAGGGGCGCUAUCCACGCCUUCGUCGGACAUUAUCCGGAACUUCGCUCAAACCGGCGUAGGUCUUUAAGGACCCGAAAGGACCUCUCGAACAGCGACCAGUCUCUCGCCUUAUCAUGACAGUCAGUUUUAGCUUUCUCCACUGAGGCGUUAACCCGGCUCAACUGGGGCGCAAUCACAGUGGUUCUCCCAGUGCUACCUUAGCCGAUAGAACGGAACGUAAGGUGCCAAACAUGGGAGCCGGGAAAACCCAACUAUUGCCCAAGACAUGAUUCGGAGCCGAUUCAUAUAAUGCUAUAAGUUCGGGGUGCCGCACUUGUGAAAGUGUUCGGACUUUAUCACACCAUAAUGCGGGGAACAUAAGCCCCUGGUGUAUUUGGCCGUACCAAAAUGUACGGAUGCAACAUGUCGUAAAUGAACAUAUAUAUAUAAGGUAAUGCAAUUAUGGGCAGAAAGUGCUGCAUUUUAUUCGAGAAGAUCUGUUAUGAGUACGGAAUGAUACAAAUAGUGCGGAAAGCAAGGGAUUGGACGAAUUAAAGGCGUCUCCCUCCAGGGGUAGGCCACGGAAUGGUGUAUUUAACAAAUUUAAUGCUCGUAAUGGAGACCACCUGAGUGUUCGUCGCGGCCUUUGUCCCUCCCUGGCUGUUGCAUCAUGAGUUCGACAGGUUCGCCGCCGGACAGAGUUCUGUAUAAAAGAGAGAGAAAUAAAAGAUAAAAAGAGAGACACACUUGGGAGCCCCUGGUGUGGUCGAAUCGCACUCUGGGUCUGUUGUGGUUGCGCCUCUCCCCCUAUGCCCAUGGUAUCUCCAGGGCGUAAUUAUGUACGCGGAGAGUUUGUCUUACAAUUGAGCGAGGGCUGGGGUUGAGGCCGCAUUGCUACGCGUGCUCGGAACGUGCCAGGUGGUCUUGGUUGAUGUUGCUCCGGGCGCGUUUGGCCGUGUCCGGUCAUUUAACGGCUGGACUCGAAAAUUGCCUUAAAAGGCUGCUCUGUACUUCUGCCGCGAGAGCCGCUGUAUGUUCCUCCGUUCGGAGGGAGCGUUCGGUGUUUCCAUUAACCGUGAUGACUCCACGAGGGCCUGGCAUCUUGAGCUUAAGGUAUGCAUAAUGCGGCACCGCGUUGAAUUUUGCGAACGCGGUUCGUCCGAGCAGAGCGUGAUAGCCACUGUGGAACAGGACGAUGUCGAAGAUUAACUCCUCGCUUCGGAAAUUAUCCGGGGAUCCGAAGACCACUUCCAGUGUAACUGAGCCUGUACAACUGGCCUCGACACCUGGUAUGACGCCUUUGAAGGUUGUCUUUGUAGGUUUAAUCCUUGAAGGGCCUAUGCCCAUCUUGCGCACUGUAUCCUGAUAAAGCAGGUUCAGGCUACUGCCGCCGUCCAUCAGGACUCUCGUGAGGUGAAAUCCAUCGACGAUUGGGUCUAAAACCAAUGCGGUGAAUCCGCCAUGGCGGAUACUAGUCGGAUGGUCUCUUCGAUCGAAAGUGAUCGGGCAAGAGGACCAUGGGUUGGAUUUUGGGGCGACUGGCUCCAUCGCGUAUACGUCCCUUAGUGCACGCUUCCGCUCCCUCUUGGGAAUAUGCGUUGCGUAUACCAUGUUUACCGUCCAAACUUGAGGGGGGAAUCCCUUUUGUCCUCUGUUUUUCGGCGGCCGGGUCUCUUCCUCGUCAUCGCUGUGUAGCACCUUGUCACUGUUUUGGGCGAUCAAUUUGCCUGCCUGCUUGAAUACCCAACAAUCUCUGUUGGUGUGGUUAGCUGGCUUUUCGGGGGUUCCAUGUAUUUGACAGGAGCGGUCGAGUAUUCGGUCCAAAUGGGACGGGCCCGGAGUGGUUCUUUUGAAUGGCUUCUUCCGUUGACCGGGCUUGGAGCCUCGGAAUCCGGCGUUGACUACCGUAUCCUCAUUGUUGUCGCCAUUAAUGCGGUGUUUGUUUUUGUUUCGACGCAACCUGCCAUUCUGGUCCUUGGUAUCCGGACUGCCAGCAUUUUUGCUGAGGUUGUUGCUGCGAGCUGGCCAGCUAUCCUCUCCGGCACAGAAGCGGGUCAUGAGUGAUGUGAGGGCUGCCAUGGAUUUCGGCUUCUCCUGUCCUAGGUGCCGGGCCAGCCACUCGUCGUGGAUGUUAUGUUUGAAGGCAGCGAGGGCCUCUGCAUCCGAACAGUCGACGAUUUGAUUUUUCUUUGUUAGGAACCGUGUCCAGAAUUGCCUGGCCGAUUCAUCUGGCUACUGGAUUAUGUGGCUUAGGUCAUCUGCGUCCGGUGGUCGCACAUACGUGCCCUGGAAGUUGUCGAGGAAUGCGGCUUCCAGGUCUUCCCAGCAUCCAAUUGACUCUGCGGGCAGGCUGUUAAGCCAUUGCCGAGCUGGUCCUUUAAGCUUGACCGGGAGAUAUUUGAUGGCGUGAAGAUCGUCGCCGCGGGCCAUAUGUAUAUGGAGGAGAUAAUCCUCAAUCCAAACCGCGGGGUCUGUUGUGCCAUCGUAGGAUUCGAUAUUAACAGGUUUAAACCCUUCAGGGAUUUGAUGAUCCAUUACUUCGUCAGUGAAGCAUAGUGGGUGUGCGGCGCCUCUGUAUUGAGCAAUAUCGCGACGUAGCUCGAGAGAGCGUUGUCUGCUGUGUUCGGCCCGGCCGGAGUAGUUGUAUCCGGCGCGACGGUAUUCGUCGUGGGUCUUGGGGCGCCCACGUGAUCCAUAGAUAGAUCUGGAUUGUCUCACCUUGUCCUCCAAUAUAUCUCGCAAGUCCGACGCGUUCCCCCGUGGCUUCAUGCUUUUUGAGCGAUGCCGGGGUACGGUUUUGGUGGAGGGCUUGCAUGCCUCUCUGUCGCGGCCACGAGGUGGUCGGUCUGCCGUAUUGUGCGCUGGUGAUGCAGGUUUGUACGCUUCCUCCUCUAGUCGGGGGAGCAACUUGCGUUUUGGGUAACUUUUGGAGGGGCGUUUGAGUUCAUACUCUUUGGCCGCGAGGACCUCGGUCCAUCUGUCGGCUAGUAGGUCUUGAUCAGCUUGAAGCUGUUGCUGCUUUUUCUUUAGGCUGUUUUGCCAUGGCCAUUAGCCUGCGUUUGAAACGCUCUUGUUCGACGGGAUCCUCAGGCACGACGAAUUCAUCGUCGUCGAGGCUUGCCUCGUCUCCGGAGGGAGGUAAGUAGUUAUCAUCCUCGACCUCUUCGUCUGCCGCCCUCUCGUGAGGGCUUGCUUCUGCCUCCUCCUGCGUUGGAUCGUGCUGGAGGGGGUUGUCUUCGGCACUUUCCGAGGUGCUAUUAUCUCCUGUGCCGGAAUCUCCAUUCUUGCUGUGGCGGGAUUUAGAGCGGCGCCGCUGACGUCGGCGCUUGGGCUGUUUCUUUAAGGAAUCGGCCUCCGCUGCUUCUUUGCCAUCCCCAUCUUUUGGGGUGUCCACCAUGUAUAUGUCGUAUGACGAGGUGGUCUUCCAGUGUCCUGUAGGCACUGGUUCUUGAUAGUCUCCGGCAUCGUCGUCCAUACCGUCGAUGUCUUCGGAGUCGUAGUCGUGUACGUCGGUUAGAUCGUCGACGGUGGCUACGAAGUGGGUGGUGGGUGGGCUCUGAAUUUCUUCGUCGUCCGCGUCCCAACCGUCCUGGCCGUAGUUCGGCCAGGGCUCUCCGGAUAGCGAGAGAUGCUUCAGCGAAUUUAAGAUAUCGCCGAAGGGUGAGUGCUGAAAGAUGUCCGCAGCGGUGAAUUCCAUGAUCGGCGCCCAAUUGGAUUCGACUGGCGGGGGCGCAGAAGGUUCGGAGUCCGGCAGAGAGUCCGGCACCUCGGAGUCAUGAGCUUUAUGCAGGACAAGGUAAGUGUUUGGCUCCAUCGCCGUAGAAGUUGUAGCUCCCGAGGCGGUGUCCAGCCAUCUGUCCUCGAUCUGAGCAAUCGGCUCCGGACUAUGGGUUGGAGCGGAUUCGUGUGCGGCCUCCAAGGUGAUGUCCGGCGGCAGAGUUAGGUCGUGCGAAUCGUGACAGCGCGGCAUGCUCGGCUGUGGCUCAGGUCCAUCGAAGUUCAAGUCCCCGCGGAUAUCGGCCGUGAAGUUUAGGCUUCCAAACCUGACCUGACGGCCAGGGGCGUAGCUUUCGAUCUGCUCCAGAUGGCCAAGUGAGUUGGCCCGCAGUGCGAAGCCGCCGAAUACGAAGAUCUGUCUGGGGAGAAAAAUCUCACCCAGGACUGCUUCGUUGUCGAUUGAAGAGGCCAUCAAGCCUAUCGAUGACGACACAGAGGAACUCUCAAUGAAAGCACCAAUGUCGUUGUCAAAACCGGCGGAUCUCGGGUAGGGGAUCCCGAACUGUGCGUCUAGGCGGAUGGUAACAGGAGACGAGGGACACGAUGUUUUGCCCACGUUUGGGCCCUCUUGAUGGAUGUAAAACCCUACGUCCUGCUUGAUUGAUAUUGAUAUUGUGGAUGUUUACAAUAGUGGAUCUACCACGAGAUCAAGGAGGCUAAACCCUAGAAGCUAGCCUAUGGUAUGAUUGUUGUUGUUGUUGUUGUGUCCUACGGACUAGAGCCAUCCGGUUUAUAUAGACACCGGAGAGGGCUAGGGUUACAUAGAGUCGGUUACAAUGGUAGGAGAUCUACAUAUCCGUAUCGCCAAGCUUGCCUUCCACGCCAAGGAAAGUCCCAUCCGGACACGGGGCGAAGUCUUCAAUCUUGUAUCUUCAUAGUCUUGGAGUCCGGUCGAUGAUGAUAGUCCGGCCGAUGAUAGUCCGGCUGAUGAUGGUAGUCCGGCUAUCCGGACACCCCCUAAUCCAGGACUCCCUCACCACCAUCUCAGGCGGCACCCCGGACAAGAUCGCCUCCAUGGCGAGCCUGUCGUCACUGCGCACUGCCGUGCCGGUCUCGAUCGCCUCCCACAGGUGCCGCCCCUCGAGCUUCACCUGCAUCAGGAGGGCCCAGUCCCCAUAGUUGGUAUGGGUGAGCACCGGCCACGGCGAUCCGCCGCCUCCCUCACGCACUACCCGAGUCUGCACGAUCAUCCCCGGCUGCUCAUCGCCGUCGGUGAUCUGCGCUCGCGGUGUGACGCCCGAGGUCUGCGGCGACUUGGACUUGUCGUCGUUCGCCAUCCCUGAACCUGGCUCUGGUGCCAAUUGUUGCCCCUAAUCUAGAGCUAGAUCUAUGGCGAUGAGAAAGGAGGGAGUCUGGACUUUUGUGUAGCGCACUAAACUGCUGCGUUUUCUUCUUCCUUUAUUCACUGAUAAACUGGGAAACCGGAUCGAGGACCACCCCCUCUACUGGAUCGUGCCAUCCCACGAUCAGGGGCGUGCUCUCGCCAUGAGCUGCGGCCGCGGGAUCGCACAGACUGCGUCCUCGGGCUCUCUAACUGAAACCGAUAAAACAGCUAACUAACCUGACAGCUAACUGAAAGUACUAGGCUGCCGUGGCAGCCCUGACUACUUGUCACGCUAGAUUAUUAGCCAACACCAGAUGGAUCCGAUCUGAAUCCGGCGGCCCCGCGACCACCGGUCAGGCCAACGCAGCCACCACCUCACGACACACAGGUCGCCACCGCCGCGCCACGCACGACACCGAUGGGAGACCCGUCCGCCGCGCCGCUGGACCCCACGUUUGCCCACGUUCCUCUGGAUCCCGCUCUCCCGCGCCAGCCAGGAAUGAGAGGAUGGGGACAAGCCCCGCCGCCGUCCAGCCGGCCAGGCUUCGGCCGGCGGCGCUAUGGACGGCGGCGAGGAGGGGGAGAGGAGAAUGAGAGGCGGCGGCUAGGGUUUUCCCCCUCAGGUCGCCCGCGUGCGUGUGUGUGUGUAGUCGACGGCUAUGUAGCCGACUGCUGUGCUGAAGGUGUUGAGAAGCGCCAAUCCAGAGGCGUAGCAGUCAGCACAGCAGUCGGCUACCAACCCGUGUACUGCCCUCCGAUGCUUGACAUUUUGACCGAUCCAUCAUGCGCCCUCUGCACUGCAGUCCUCCUUCAUUCUGCCGUGCAUCGAGCUGACGGACGCGGAGGAAGCCAGGGUAAGCGCCCUCUGGAUUGGGAUGCUGUGCUGCGCCUCAUUACAGGCGGCCGCGGCGGCGCUGGCACUGCUGCUCCCAGGCCACCGUCGCUGGGCCCGCUGUGCGUCGCCUACCUCGCGCUCGCGGUCACCGUCCUCGACCAUUGCAUGUACGCCAGCACCGUUUGGGUCUUCCUCGCCGCCGACCCAGGAUUUAUCUUCGGCAAGAUCUACUUCACCACGGGCUUCUGCUUCUUCGUGGUGGGCGACCUCCUCAGCUUCCGGGCCCUCCUGGGAGGUGAUGGGUGCGGCAUGAAGUACGUAGCCUAUUUCUUCUGAUCAUGUUCGUGGAUCAG